rnacentral:lncRNA from 1 species
UUCGUGCCAUGAACCGGUACUAAUGCCUCAAACCCCAUUAGUACCGGUUGGUGGCUCGAACCGGGACUAAAGGUCUAACCUUUAGUACCGGUUGGUGCCACAAACUGGUACUAAUGGGCAUCGCACCCUUUAGUCCCGGUUCGCGGCACCAACCGGGACUAAAAGGUCCAGAAGAACCGGGACAAAUGGCCCACGUGGCCCCUGGGCGCACGAACCGGGACUAAUGCCCCCAUUAGUCCCGGUUCUAGACCGAAUUGGGACUAAUGGGCUAACCCGGCCUAGACCAAAGCCCUCUUUUCUACUAGUGCACCAUUAAGAGGUUGUAGCUCAAAUGAUAUGUGUUUUCGUUCUAACUGGCAACCGUAACUCAUAUGUCACUCAGGAUGCUAGAUGUAUGCAGUUAAAUGAUAUAAAUUCUUAUUUCUAGAUCAUAUAAAAAUAUAUUACUCUCUUCGAUCGAUAUUAGUUGACACUGCUUUAGUUUCUCCAUUAAUAGCAUCAGCAUGAAACCCACCACACACAUUUUUGUCGAACAGCUACUGGUUUUGAGGGAAACCUACUGGUACAACUAUAACAGUAACAUUAUCACCAAAUGUGCUAAGAAUUUUGAUGCAAGCUGGAACAUGAGAGACUGCACAGUAAGCCAAAACAGAACCACACUGGACAAAGGGUGGUAAAAGCCUAAAGCACGUACCGCACUUUUAUCCUGAGCAUUCAUCGCCGUCAUAACUUGAUUCAGAAGCAUAUCGACACCUAGAAGAAGAGCAUCCUUGGCUGCACCCGAUAACGUGUCUGCCUAGUACAUUAGCAAAGAACAUAGGUCAACAUGGUCACAGAAGGGGUAACAUAUUUCUAAGAGCAAGAAGUAUUGUACAUCCUGCCUAAAAAAACUAUACAGUACUUAUUACAGUCCAUGGUAAGAUCAACUAGCAGGACACACAAGAAGGUAAAGCUCCAAUUUUCCUCUGUCUUUCAGAAAACAUGUAGCCAACAAAUAUACAAUGACAUGUAAAAAAGGUUUGUAACUAGAAGAACCGGUGUGUUGAUUCAGUAACAGUAGCAACUAAUACAUUGGCUGGGAUAGGGUUUUUCCCCCUCGCCCCUCCCCCGUCCCGCCCGCGCCGCCACCCGCGAGGCGGCCGGGGCGGGCGCCCAGAUCCCGCCGCCUCCGGUCUCCCCUCCUCCUCCUUCCUCCCUCGCCGCCGCCAGGGGGCACGGCCGGGCUCGCCUGACCGGCGCCGGCGGCGGCGGGGCCCUGCUCUUCCUCCUCCGCGNNNNNNNNNNNNNNNNNNNNNNNNNNNNNNNNNNNNNNNNNNNNNNNNNNNNNNNNNNNNNNNNNNNNNNNNNNNNNNNNNNNNNNNNNNNNNNNNNNNNNNNNNNNNNNNNNNNNNNNNNNNNNNNNNNNNNNNNNNNNNNNNNNNNNNNNNNNNNNNNNNNNNNNNNNNNNNNNNNNNNNNNNNNNNNNNNNNNNNNNNNNNNNNNNNNNNNNNNNNNNNNNNNNNNNNNNNNNNNNNNNNNNNNNNNNNNNNNNNNNNNNNNNNNNNNNNNNNNNNNNNNNNNNNNNNNNNNNNNNNNNNNNNNNNNNNNNNNNNNNNNNNNNNNNNNNNNNNNNNNNNNNNNNNNNNNNNNNNNNNNNNNNNNNNNNNNNNNNNNNNNNNNNNNNNNNNNNNNNNNNNNNNNNNNNNNNNNNUUCCGCACGGCAGGCGGCGAGGGCCGUGGGCGGCGUGGGCGGCGGUUGGGGUCCGGCUUCGGGCUGCCGGCGGCUGCGGUGGUUCCUCUCCGUCGUGGGCGUGCGGCGGUGGUGCGGCUCGACCGGUGGCGGUCCGGCGACCUGGUGAUGGUGGCCGGCGGUGCGCGUGUUGGUGGUGCCUCCCUUGGCGGCUUUCGGUGUGGGGAGGAAGGGGAGUGGCUUGGACAGGGGCGGCGGAGCCGACGGCGUGCCGGCUGCAGCGCGAAGGCGGGAGCUUUACGGGCCUCUGCGUUCCCGGGUGGGCCUGUGCGGCCACGGGCCUGGUGUGUUCCUGCCAUUGCGUCCGGUCAGCUACCGUCUCCGGCGGUGGAGGUGGGGCCCUCCCGCUUGCCGAUGGUGCUGUUGCCUGGUCCCGGCUCCUCUUCUUCAUCGUGCCGACCAUGCUUCACGGUGCCGUGGUGAGACAGCGUUGAACGCUUCGUGUCCGGGCUGGCGCAGGGUGAGGGUCUGUUUGGCGGCGAGCUUCGGAGUGCCUGAGGUGGAGGUUGGGAUCGGGAGAAAUCUCUGUUGGCCUGGCCGACAUCGACGCGGUGGUGCUUGUGGGUGCCGCCAGACCUUCCUGGAGGGCAUCGGAGCUACCCUUCCUCUCCCCUCACUGUACCGGGGGAAACCCUUGGCAGCAGCGUCGUCUUCGUCGCGUUCCUUCUUGGAGGUGUUGAUUGGUACCGGUGCUUCGGAGGCUCGGAGUCUGGUGGGAGAUCUCCGGUGGGUGCAGCGGCCACGAGGCUUCUUCGUUUCUUUGUCGAUCCGCCGUUGUCGGCGUUUGUUUCUCUUGUAUUUUCUCUUUCUUUUCUUUUGGGCGUGACUGUGCUGUUUCCGCCCCAGCACCUAUCGUUGGAUGGUUCGGUUGGUUGCUUUGUAUACAAAGCGGGGGGAAACCCUUUUUCGGUAAUACAUUGGCUGGCAGGCUAGUUACAUGCAACGACACACCAAGUUUAUCACUGACAUAGAACAAGUGCUAUCGUUGUAAAACUGAUACGAGAAAAAUCACAUCAAAAUUAAUUUUAUUGGAACCACAAAAUUUUCUGGUUCUGCAGCUGUAUAAUAAUAUAAUUAGACAAAUAUAAAUUUCUUCAAAACAUAGUGACCUUGCCUCCUGUCAAUCGGAGGUAUUAAACACGCAACAAUCCUAGAAAACAGCCCAAAGGAAAAAAUGUGGAAGUACAGAUGCCAAAUUUGAUAGUUAUUUAUUAGAAAGAGCCACCUUGUUUAUACAUCUUUCUGCUUGUUCGUAGUGGUUGGUGUGCUACUCUCUGAACCUGGAGAUCCCGAGUUUAAAAGGACCUUCAAUUUGGCGCGUGAGAUGCUGGGGAACAUGCGAGCACGCAGCAGCCUUCUCCAGCACGCCCCUAUUGGGCUGGCCAAUGAGCGGGACUGGACACCCCAGUUUUUUUAUUUUGUUUGUUUGCUUUUACUUUUUUCUGUUUUUUAUUUUUUAAUCUUUGAAACUAUUGCGAAUUUAAAAAAGUUCGAAAUUUCAAAAUAGUGAAUUUUUGAAAAAUGUUCCAGAUAUAAUAAGAUGUUCGUGGUUUAAGAAAUUUUCAUAACCUCACUGUCUUCCAUACAAACUUGGCACAAUCAACAUGUGAUCCAUACGUAGUUUUCUCAUCAAGGUUACUGCCCUCUCUUCAUCCUAAUGCAUUUCACACAGAAAAAAACGUGUCUUGUUAAUGACGCCUCUUGAUAUCCAGAAGCGAGCCAACUGUCGGAGCACUAAGGAGGCCCUUGUCGUGAAACAAAAUGGCUGCGCGACACCGCGAUAACUAUCAUGCUUUUGUGAUGACGAACAAUUGCUUUACGAGCAAAGAAACAAUGAUUCCUCGUUUUCGUAGAGGAGCGAUGACCUUUUUUAAGCGCAAAAAGCAAAGUUUAACCAAACUCUAGGGCUGCUAGGGCUUGGCAGAGAAACAAACAUAAGAAAAACCACGCAUGCAUCUCCCUCAAAUGCCCAGGUUUUCGCUAAUUACAAGCGCUCGUAGAAACCACUUUACUCAAUUCCGCGUGGAUGAUCAGAUACGUAACACCUCGUGCUGCUCGUGGAUGAAGUUUGUGCUGACUCAUCAUUGACGGCGGCCGCGGCAAGAUGCAUCGAGCUGCUCCAUGCCGUUCCACUCGCUUACGGCGGCGAACUCCAGGCAGGGGAUUCCAGCGUCACCCUAUUAGUGUGACCUUUACCUAACACUAUUAGUGUGAGUAUGACCUUUAACUAACACUACUACUAGAAGUACUAUGAGUAAUAAAUGAUGUUUACUCGAUCUAUUUCUAUGCCUAACCAUAUACCGUAUAUCUUAGGACUUUAAAGCGACAGAUGUGGACACCCAUGUUUGUUGAGGUGCUGCCAUCCCCGAUCGAUCUGUGAUGGCUCUAUAAAUGUGUUCGUCAAAAAGCAGCUAGUUCUGAGUGCCAAACACAAAGAACGAAGGAACCAUGGCUGCUCUGAACGCUCUCAUAUGCGUCGUGUUACUACUUGGAGUCAUCAGCUUCGCCUCCCCUCACAUCUCGGCGGGGCGUAUUACUCCGGUGGUCGCUCCGGCAUCCAUUGUGCAUCGACUGCCGAACCGAGCACCAUAUCUACUGUAACAGGUGAGUUUAAUUGUUCCUUAGUUUUGUUUGCACAAGCUCCGGUGAAACGUUCAAUCAAAUUUCUUGCUACAAAUUCUUAUGCUCCAAAUUUAGCACUAAAAGAAAUUUUGAAUGACAGACGCAAAUAUCAAAAAUGGAGUGGCUGUAAUUCAAAGAACAAACAAAAAUGUGCUCGAUUUUGUGAUGGUAUGGGUCGAGAAGCCACAUGUUCGUUGUAACCAAUAAUUGUGCACCUGAUGGAGUUCAUCCUACGAAAAGGUCACAUGUCUUCUCAAAAAAGAAAUGAAAAGGUCAGAUGUUAACACCCUAGAGAACUGGGGUGAACUUCCUAACAACCUGGUAAACCAUGUUAUAGAAUAUAUUAGCUUCUCUUAGUCAAUCCUGUAGUUUACCAACUUCCAAGGCACAGAAUAUUUGUGUAGGUCAUUUUCCUCAAAAUAUCUGCAUAGACGAGUAAAUAGGUAACUGCGUAAGGAUGUUACCACAUUUUUCAGUUAGUGAAUUGUGCAUAUGAACUUAUCUCUGUGCUACUACAUGAAAUCCUCAGUUAAUCAUAUAAAGAAGACAUUGAAUAGUUGGUUUUCUAUUUCCCUCAUCCAAGAGGCAUCUAGCAAGUGGGCCAACUUAAUAGUGUCUUACAAUAUUGUAAGGCAAAUUAUCAGUCGAAACUAUUACUUGAAUAAUUUGACUUACUUACGAGCCCUUUUACGGUAAUUGGGGAGGUACCACCAGUACUUUAAGGUACCACCUCUGAAUUUGGAUGUAAGUUUUUGAGUAGAUGAUUUUUCAUAUAAAAAACUUUUUCAUCCGAGUUAGUAUGCAAAAGUUAUGCCAAUUUUACUAAAUUCUAGAGUGAUUUUGCAAAUAAAGUCGAAAUUCACAUUUGCAAACUUUCCCAACAACUAGACCACAUAUCACAUGGGAAACGUAUUUUUUUUGACAUUUUCAUCAUUUUUCUUUUUUUUUAAACUGAAAAGGNNNNNNNNNNNNNNNNNNNNNNNNNNNNNNNNNNNNNNNNNNNNNNNNNNNNNNNNNNNNNNNNNNNNNNNNNNNNNNNNNNNNNNNNNNNNNNNNNNNNNNNNNNNNNNNNNNNNNNNNNNNNNNNNNNNNNNNNNNNNNNNNNNNNNNNNNNNNNNNNNNNNNNNNNNNNNNNNNNNNNNNNNNNNNNNNNNNNNNNNNNNNNNNNNNNNNNUGCCAUGAACCGGUACUAAUGCCUCAAACCCCAUUAGUACCGGUUGGUGGCUCGAACCGAGACUAAAGGUCUGUAGCGACCCGACCUCAGACGGUCAAGUCUCUGUACAUCAGUGUCAUCCCUGGAUCAGUAAUUCUGACACGCAAAGUACUCGAAGAAUUUAUAACAGAGUAGCAAUCACACAGUUAUUACAUCGAAUGUCUCAAAAGAGAACUUAUUACAAUAAUAUGGCUUAAGGCUAUCUAAUGCGAAAACAGCGGAGGGCUUGGAAGAUAAAGUAAGUCCAUCAACUCCAACGGCAUAGCUGAGCUACACGACAACAACCUAACGAACCUUACUCCUCGUCUGAAAAGUCUGCAAUAUAAUACGUUGCAGCCCGAGAAACGGGUCAGCACAUGGAAUAUGCUGGCAAUAUAACACAGUAGAGUAAAAACAGAAUAAUGCUAACACUACAUGCAUAUUUGGCUGGUGGAAAUCUCUACGGUUAUAGUUUUGCAUAAAGCCAAUUUUUCCCUACUGCAAAGGAAUAAAUUUUAUUUAACUAUCAUGGUAGUUGAACUACAUUGAGAAGGUAACCCCAACUCAAUCCCAAUUAAAGUGAUUAACAACCCAACAAUAUUAAUUAAGAGUGAUGAGACACAUAAGAUACUUCAAGUACUAGACACUCAGAAUUGUCCAUAAUCGGGGACACGGCUAACCAUGAUUAGACUGUACACUCUGCAGAGGUUUGCGCACUUUUCCCCACAAGACUCGAUCGCCUCCGUUGAUUUCUCGCACUGCAUGGUGUUUGAGAAACGGAUGACCGAGACACAGUCUUUCAGAAACAUUAACUCUCUACUCCGAGUAGACCAUACCAAACCUACAAAACCCACUACCUGCUGAUCUACCUGUUCAAGAGCUUCACAUAACUUACUCAACUAUGCUAGAGCCCAUAAUAGCUUGUGGCUGCACACGGAAGUUUCUAGCAUGAAUCAUCUCAGUUCCCUUUGAGCCUAGGUGGCGGUCCAUAGGAAAAUCACACGGUAACCCCGGGAUUUCCAAAAAAAACAGGCAAUCACUGGUAUCCCCAGGUCCCUCAGUCCACCCAGAUGUGUAUUAAAGUUGCCACCUUAGAUUGAACCAUUAAUUAACAAUCUCACAUCUGUCAUGGAACACUCAAACCCAACCACGUCUACGAGCAUAGCAUAGCAAUAUAAGCAUAACGUAGAAGUAACUCCCAAGGGUUUGAUAAUAAACAGGACAAUAGGUUCUACCUCAUCAGCUACUUCCCAAAACCCACAUGUUAAAGACAUCCUAGUCAUGCAAUGUUUGAGGAUUGGACUAAUGCAAUGAUAACUGGGUAUGAAAAGAGUAUGAUCAAUGUGUUACUUGCCUUGCUGACGAUCCGCGAAACCUAGUGACUCGUAGUAACACGCUUCGCACUCCGGGAAUUCUAUCGCAAACAAACAAUAACAUACAUAAGCAACUAGCAAAGAUGCACGAGCAAAACUUCAACGAAAAGCCCAGCAAGUUCAACUUAAGAACUCUGGUUAGCAAAAAGAAUCGAAUCAACCGGAGCAACGAAACUCAAACGGCGAAAGAAACAAAAUCCAUUUACUAAUCUGCACUAAGGUCAAAUUUUUACAGUACCAAAACUUAUUUUAAGUUGGUUAAGCAGAAAGAGGGUCUCGAGACGAAACUCCAGGCUUUUGAAUCACCUGAUUCCGACUAACGAGCGAAAAGAUAAACAGAAACUAAGAUUGGAUCAGAAAUCGCGAUCAGAAAAGUCGCAGAAUAAAUCUGACAAAAGAAAAAGUGACGAACAGAUUAACGAACGAACAUUCGUUAACUGAAACUAAACUAAGAACACGUUCGUUAAAAUGAACGGAUGAGCGAACGCUCGCUAAAUAAAUAAACCGGAGAAAUAAACUGAUCUAUAAAAAACACGCAACUAGGGUUUCAAAAAAAACCGAACGGNNNNNNNNNNNNNNNNNNNNNNNNNNNNNNNNNNNNNNNNNNNNNNNNNNNNNNNNNNNNNNNNNNNNNNNNNNNNNNNNNNNNNNNNNNNNNNNNNNNNNNNNNNNNNNNNNNNNNNNNNNNNNNNNNNNNNNNNNNNNNNNNNNNNNNNNNNNNNNNNNNNNNNNNNNNNNNNNNNNNNNNNNNNNNNNNNNNNNNNNNNNNNNNNNNNNNNNNNNNNNNNNNNNNNNNNNNNNNNNNNNNNNNNNNNNNNNNNNNNNNNNNNNNNNNNNNNNNNNNNNNNNNNNNNNNGCGGCGGCGGAGUCGGAGCCGGACUACGGCUGCGGCGACGCGCGGGAGGAAGGCGGCGGCGCGGGGUUGGUCCGGCCUGGCUCGGCUGGGCCUCGGCCUAGUCGGGCGCGGGAAGUUUUUUUUUAAACAAUUAUGCCGGCAGAAAUAAAAUCCUAGAAAAUAAAAUAAAACCCUAAAAAUGGCAAAACAAAUUUUCACUAUCUAAAUAAAAUAUUUAGAAUGAGAUGAACAUUUUUCUUGGCCCUAAAAUGCAAUUUUUGGAAAACGUGCAAAUUUUUCUAAUGCAAAUAAAAUCCAAAUAAAAUCAACUAAGGUCAAAUAAAUGAUUUUAACAUUUUUCCUCCAAUAUUUCAAUUAUUUUGGAGAAGUCAUAUUAUCUCCUCUCAUUUAUUUUUGGUACAAAAUAUUUUUCGGAGAAAGAAAUAAUUAAAAUCAAAAAUCCUCGUUUCAUUAUUUGGUACGAAAAUCCAAAUAUGAGACCGGAAAAAUCCCCAACUCUCUCCGAGGGUCCUUGAGUUGCUUAGGAUUUCGAGGAUUGCAAAGCGGAAAAGAAAUAAAAUAUGAUAUGCAUGAAUGACCUAUGUAUAACAUUCCAAAUUAAAAUUUUGGGAUGUUACAAACCUACCCCCCUUAAGAUGAAUCUCGCCCUCGAGAUUCGGGUUGGUCAGAAGAUAUGCUCUGUCCUCUCUUUCCUAGGUGGCUUCAUCUUCCGUAUGGUGGCUCCACUGAACUUUACAGAACUUGAUGACCUUACUGCGAGUUACUCGGCUGGCAAACUCAAGAAUCUUCACUGGCUUCUCCUCAUAGGUCAAAUCAUUGUCUAGCUGAAUUGCCUCCAAGGGUACGGUAUCGCUUAACGGUGUAUCAGCCAUCUCCGCAUGGCAUUUCUUCAGCUGUGAGACGUGGAACACGUCGUGAACUCCCGAUAGUCCUUUGGGUAAUUCCAACUUGUAGGCAACUUCUCCCAUCCGUUCCAAAACACGAUACGGUCCUACAAAUCUCGGGGCUAAUUUUCCUUUAACUCCAAAACAUUUCACACCUCGCAAGGGUGAUACUCGCAGAUAUGCUCUGUCUCCCAUUUCAUAAGUUACCUCCUUGCGUUUUGAGUCUACGUAGCUUUUCUACCUUGACUGAGCUACCUUUAGUCUAUCGCGAAUCAAUUUAACUUUCCCCUCAGACUCUUUGAUCAAGUCUGGUCCGAACAACUGACGAUCUCCUACCUCAUCCCACAUUAACGGGGUCCUGCAUCUGCGUCCAUACAAAGCUUCGAACGGUGCCAUCUUCAAACUGGCUUGGUAGCUAUUGUUGUAUGAAAAUUCUGCGUAAGGCAAAUUGUGAUCCCAGCUAGAUCCAUAAUCUAGCGCACAUGCUCUUAACAUAUCUUCCAGUAUCUGGUUGACUCUCUCAGUCUGACCAUCAGUCCGUGGGUGGAAGGAUGUACUGAACUCCAAUCUUGUACCCAAGGUCUGGUGUAACUGAUGCCAAAACUUUGAAGUGAACUGAGUCCCUCUAUCAGAUACGAUGCUCCUCGGAACUCCAUGCAAACAUACAAUUCUGGUCAUAUAUAUCUUGGCCAAAUUAGCACUUGUGUAGGUAGUUUUCACUGGAAUAAAGUGAGCCACUUUAGUCAAACGAUCCACUACUACUCAUAUUGAGUCAUAUCCUGCCUUGGUCCUGGGGUAGUCCGGUGAUAAAGUCCAUACCAAGUUUAUCCCACUUCCAUUCAGGUAUCGGCAUCGGCUGUAACAGUCCGGCUGGUUUCUGAUGCUCUGCCUUCACUCUCUGACAUACAUCACACACGGCUACAUACUCGGCAAUAUCCUUUUUCAUACCAGUCCACCAGAAACGUUCCUUCAAAUCCAAAUACAUCUUGGUGUUUCCGGGGUGUAUCGAGUAUGGUGAGUCAUGUGCCUCCUGAAGUAUUAACUUCCUCAUUUCAGCGUUAUUGGGUACAUAAACCCGGUCCUCAAACCAUAAGGUAUCGUGCUCAUCCUCGCGAAAACCUUUGGCCUUUCCUUCGCUCAUCUUCUCCUUUAUUUCGGCAAUCUCUUGGUCUUCCUUCUGAGCUUCUCGAAUUUUGUUCAACAAGGUCUACUUAACCUCCAAUGUUGCAACAAAACCUCUUGGAACAAUCUCCAAUCGAAGUUCCAUGAUAUCCUCAGCUAACUUCUUUGGCAAACCCUUGCUCUCAAGCAUAUUGGCAUAACUUUUCCGGCUCAAAGCGUCUGCUACAACAUUGGCUUUUCCCGGGUUAUAGUGUAGCUUCAUGUCAUAAUCUUUUAUAAGUUCCAACCAUCUCCUCUGUCUAAGGUUCAGCUCCUUUUGCGUGAAAAUGUACUUCAAACUCUUAUGAUCCGUGUACACAUCACAACGAUUUCCAAUAAGGUAAUGUCUCCAAGUCUUCAAUGCAUGCACUACGGCUGCUAAUUCCAAAUCAUGCGUGGCAUAGUUCAACUCAUGAGGCUUCAGUUGUCGUGAAGCAUACGAAACAACCUUACCAUCCUGCAUAAGCACAUAUCCCAGUCCCAAACGAGAGGCAUCGCAAUACACUUGAAACUCCUUAUGUAUAUCUGGCAAUGUUAGCACUGGGGCUGUAGUCAAACGUUUCUUCAACUCCUGGAAACUUGCCUCGCAAUCCUCUGUCCAUAAAAACUUAUUGUCCUUCUUCAAUAGUUCAGUCAUUGGUUUUGCCAGCUUGGAAAAAUUCUCAAUGAAUCUCCAAUAAUAUCCCGCGAGUCCAAGGAAAUUGCGGAUCUCGCCAACUGAAGUGGGUGCCAACCAUUCAGUGACUGACUGAACCUUGCUGGGGUCCACUGCUAUACCUUCUCCUGAUAUAACAUGCCCAAGAAAUCCAACCUCCUUCAACCAAAAGUUGCACUUGCUGAAUUUGGCGUAUAACUGCUGUUCUCUGAGUUUCUCGAGAACUAACAGCAAAUGCUCCUUGUGCUCCUCUUCAUUUUUCGAGUAUACCAUAAUAUCAUCGAUAAACACUACUACAAACUUGUCCCAAUACUCCAUGAACACUUUGUUCAUCAUACUCAUAAAAUAGGCAGGGGCAUUUGUCAGUCCAAACGACAUGACCGUAUACUCGUAUAAUCCAUACCGCGUAGUGAAUGUUGUCUUUGGUAUAUUCUUCUCUCGGAUCUUUAAUUGAUGGUAUCCUGACCGUAGAUCAAUCUUUGAAAACACCUUAGCUCCUUGCAGCUGAUCAAACAGAUCAUUGAUCAUCGGUAAUGGAUAUUUGUUCUUAAUUGUUACUUCGUUCAAGGCACGAUAAUCCACAACCAUCCUGAGGGAUUUAUCCUUCUUCUCGACCAGAAGUACUGGGGCUCCCCAAGGUGAUGAACUCCUCCGAAUAUAACCUUUCUCCAACAACUCCUUGAUCUGUUUCUUAAUUUCCUCCAGAUCAUUUGCGGGCAUCCGAUAGGGUCUCUUGGAUAUAGGCCCUGUACCUAGCAACAGUUCUAUCAAAAACUCAAUGUUCCGAUCCGGAGGCAUCCCUGGUAACUCUUCUGGAGAAACAUCCGGGUAAUCCUUUACUACAGGCACUUCCUCCUGCACAACUCCCGUGAGGGCAUUCACUUGGGUCCUCCUAGGCACGUACUUAAUCCUUUUACCCUCCGGGGUGGUGAGAUGAAUUGACUUGCUAGCACAGUCAAUAUUUCCUCCAUACCUUGACAUCCAGUCCAUACCUAAUAUCACAUCCAAUCCUUGUGACUCCAAGAUAAUUAGGUCGGAUGGAAAAACAUGAGUUCCAAUGGUUAAAGGUACCUGGUUGCACCACCGGCUAGCCAUAUACUCAGCUCCAGGCCAGCUUAUUAAAAGAGGGGUCCUUAGGGUUUGGGUUGGUAGCUUAAACUUGUCCACAAAUCCCCUUGAUAUGUAUGAAUGCGAUGCACCAGUAUCGAAAAGAAUAAGAGCGGUAAAUGACUUAACCGAAAACUUACCUAUCACCGCGUCUAGCUGAUCUUGAACCUCCUCCACGUUAACGUGGUUCACCUGUCCUUUGUUGAAUGAAUUAGGCUUCUUUCCGGCACUCCCGUUUCCAUUUCCAUUCCUUCCUUCAAGGCAAUCAUUCGCAUAAUACCCGGUCUUUCUGCACUUAUAGCAAGUAACUUGACUCAGGUCUCUCUUGGAGGGUGUGGCUGGAUUGGAGCGAUUCUGAUUGUUGUUAGCUCCGUUCCCAUUUCCAUUCUUACCACCAUUGUGAUUAUGCGAUCCUCCUCUAGUGUGGUUGUGACCUCCAUGAUUAUGAACAAGCCCUCCCGUAUUCGGGGUUAAGCGAGGCUUAUGCUGAGCUCCGGAGUUAUACUUCCCUUGACCAUACUUCCUCUUACGACUCUCAAUCUGCUGCUGCUUCCCUUCGAUCAUAAGGGCCUUAUCUACGAACUCCUGGUAGUUGUUGAAAGUUGCCACCAUCAACUGCAUACUCAUCUCAUCAUUCAACCCUUCCAUAAACUUCUCCUGCUUCGCGGCAUCCGUGGCCACAUCAUCAGGGGCAUAGCGUGAUAGUUUGCUAAAAUCAUCCACGUACUGACCUACAGUACGGUUCCCCUGACGUAAAUUGCGGAACUCCUGCUUCUUCAUCUGCAUAGCUCCAGUGGAAACAUGGGCAGUACGAAAAGCCUGCUGAAACUGUGCCCAUGUGACCGUGUCGAUAGGAUAGGUGGCUGUGAAAUUCUCCCACCAUGAUGCUGCCGGUCCAUCCACUUGGUGUGCGGCAAAACGCACCUUCUCCGCAUCUGUGCAUCCAGCUGUGGUCAACUCCCUUCCGAUACAGCGUAGCCAAUCAUCAGCAACUAUUGGCUCGGUGCUACUGGAAAACACCGGCGGUUGUAACCUUAGAAAGCGGGUUAGGUUGUCCGCUGGUGGAGCGUUAUUGUUGUUAUUGUUGUUGCCUUGGUUCUGAACUAGCAAUUGCAUCAAAGCAUUCUGCUGCUGGAUCAACUGGGUGAGCUCCGACGGGAAAGCAAAACCGGUGUCACGUCUCGGAGGCAUCUGAUGGGUUUUAGAGGGAAGAGAUUAGAAUAGAAAAAGGUCUAGUGAGAAAGCACUACCCAUAUGCACAUGAGACAAGCACAAUCAUAACACUCAAUCAAUCAAGCAAGGGCUUACAACAAUCUAUAACUAUCGCAAAAGUGCUCAAUUACAUGGGAAAAAUACUAGUAGUAUAUGGUGGUCAUCUAGAAAAUUUUGAUCGAUGGAAGAUUCCAUAAUGUCAGCUCCAGCUUCAUCUUCAUAAUCAUCAUCACUAGGGUCCGAAUCAGUGUCGUCGAUGAUGAUGUAGUUGUCCGGGCAAGUGGGGUCGUCAUCUUCCUCUUCUGGUGCUGCUUCUCCCAUGAAUACUCCGAUCUUCUUAACCAGGUCGUCGUUCUUCUCCAGUAGCAUCUUGAUUUCCUCCUCAUAUCCGUCGCGGGUGAACUUGAGUUCUUCCUCCAGCUCGAUGAUCCUAGUCUUUGCCUUCUUCAAUUCCAUCAUGUCUGCGCACAUCUGGUUCUCCUGUUGUCAAAUGUGCUGGUUUUGCUCCUGGAUAAAAGCUGCAAUGGAUCUAUCCUUCUUGGUGCUGAUCAUAUCCCAUUGCUCGUCUCGGCACCCACAUAUUUGAUAGAUGGUGUCCUUGAGUUCCUUAUUGUAGACUUCUCCAAUGCGUCCCAUGGUAAUGUGGGCUGCCAUGCUCUUGCCUAGGCUCCAGGUUGGUGCAUCGAAAGAAAAUUCUAUGGGUUUAGAAGUUGGCGAAAACGUCCUUCCUGGUACUUGUACUUGAAUCAUCCAACGCUCCUCUUCUGGUAGGGUGGCGUUGUACGUCCCGGUGAAACUUGGUAUUCCAAUGUUCAGGUAUCUUGUGACUUCCUUCAAGUGGCGUCCAAAAGGUGUAUCCUCAUCUGGUUGCGCAAACUUGUUCUUCAUCUCCGGCAUCCUAAAGAGUGGAAAAGAGAAGAGAAAUCAGAAAUAAGUAGAGAAGAGUGACCUAUGGUUUGUCUUAGUGGUCGUGUCCUACACUCAGCGUGUGCUGUGAUACCAUUUUGUAGCGACCCGACCUCAGACGGUCAAGUCUCUGUACAUCAGUGCCAUCCCUGGAUCAGUAAUGCUGACACGCACAAUACUCGAAGGAUUCAUAAGAGUAGCAAUCACACACUUAUUACAUCGAAUGUCUCAAAAGAGAACUUAUUACAAUAAUAUGGCUUAAGGCCAUCUAAUGCGAAAACAGCGGAAGGCUUGGAAGAUAAAGUGAGUCCAUCAACUCCAACGGCAUAGCUAAGCUGCACGACAACGACCUAACAAACCUUACUCCUCGUCUGAAAAGUCUGCAACAUUAUACGUUGCAGCCCAAGAAACGGGUCAGCACAUGGAAUAUGCUGGCAAUAUAACACAGUAGAGUAAAAACAGAAUAAUGCUAACACUACACGCAUAUUUGGCCGGUGGAAAGCUCUACGGUUAUAGUUUUGUAUAAAGCCAAUUUUUCCCUACUGCAAAGGAAUAAAUUUUAUUUAACUAUCAUGGUAGUUGAACAACAUUGAGAAGGUAACCCCAACUCAAUCCCAAUUAAAGUGAUUAACAACCCAACAAUAUUAAUUAAGAGUGAUGAGACACAUAAGAUACUUCAAGUACUAGACUCUCAGAAUUGUCCAUAACCGGGGACACGGCUAAGCAUGAUUAGAUUGUACACUCUGCAGAGGUUUGCACACUUUUCCCCACAAGACUCGAUCAUCUCCGUUGAUUUCUCGCACUGCAUGGUGUUUGAGAAACGGAUGACCGAGACACACUCUUUCAGAAACAUUAACUCUCUAGUCCGGGUAGACCAUACCAAACCUACAGAACCCACUACCUGCUGAUCUACCUGUUCAAGAGCUUCAUGUAACUUACUCAACUAUGCUAGAGCCCAUAAUAGCUUGUGGCUGCACACUGAAGUUUCUAGCAUGAAUCAUCUCAGUUCCCUUUGAGCCUGGGUGGCGGUCCAUAGGAAAAUCACAUGGUAACCCCGGGAUUUCCAAAAAAACACAGGCAAUCACUAGUAUCCCCAGUUUCCUCAAUCCACCCAGAUGUGUAUUAAAGUUGCCACCUUAGAUUGAACCAUUAAUUAACAAUCUCACAUCUGUCAUGGAACACUCAAACCCAACCACAUCUACGAGCAUAGCAUAGCAAUAUAAGCAUAACGUAGAAGUAACUCCCAAGGGUUUGAUAAUAAACAGGAUAAUAGGUUCUACCUCAUCAGCUACUUCCCAAAACCCACAUGUUAAAGACAUCCUACUCAUGCAAUGUUUGAGGAUUGAACUAAUGCAAUGAAAACUGGGUAUGAAAAGAGUAUGAUCAAUGUGUUACUUGCCUUGCUGACGAUCCGCGAAACCUAGUGACUCGUAGUAACACGCUUUGCACUCCGGGAAUUCUAUCGCAAACAAACAAUAACAUAAAUAAGCAACUAGCAAAGAUGCACGAGCAAAACUUCAACUGAAAGCAAAGAACCAGCAAGUUCAACUUAAGAACUCUGGUUAGCAAAAAGAAUCGAAUCAACCGGAGCAACGAAACUCAAACGGCAAAAGAAACAAAAUCCGUUUACUAAUCUGGACUAAGAUCAAAUUUUUACAGUACCAAAACUUAGUUUAAGUUGGUUAAGCAGAAAGAGGGUCUCUAGACGAAACUCCAGGCUUUUGAACCACCUGAUUCGGACUAGCGAGCGAAAAGAUAAAAAGAAACUAAGAUUGGAUCAGAAAUCGCGAUCAGAAAAGUCGCGGAAUAAAUCUGACAAAAGAAAAAGCGACGGACAGAUUGACGAACGAACGUUCGUUAACUAAAACUAAACUAAGAACACAUUCAUUGAAACGAACGGACGAGCGAACGCUCGCUAAAUCAAUAAACCGGAGAAAUAAACUGAUCUAUAAAAAACGCAACUAGGGUUUCAAAAAAAAUAAUUAACCGAACGGUUUUAAAAAUAACUGGCGGUCUCGGAUUCCGGCGGAUACCUCCGGCGAGGGGGGUGGUCCGGCGAGGCGGGGCUCCGGCGGGCGGUGGCGUGGGGCGUCGGGGCUCCGGCGGCAGGCGCGACGGCGGAAAGCGACGGCGGCUGCGGAAAGCAGCGGCGGCGGCGGCUCGGCUGCGGCGACGGGCGACGGCGGUGGCUCGGGCUUCGGCUCCGGGCGGCGGCUGGUGGUGGUGGCUAGGGAGGGGCCGGCGGUAUUUAUAGGGGGGUCGGUGCCUUGGGGGAGGGGGCAGGCGGCGGCGGAGUCCGAGCCGGACUCCGGCUGCGGCGACGCGCGGGAGGAAGGCGGCGGCGCGGGGUUGGGCCGGCCUGGCUCGGCUGGGCCUCGGCCCAGCCGGGCGCGGGAAGUUUUUUUUAAAAACAAUUACACCGGCAGAAAUAAAAUCAUAGAACAUAAAAUAAAAUGCUAAAAAUGCCAAAACAAAUUUUCACCGUCUAAAUAAAAUAUUUAGAACGAGAUGAACAUUUUUUGGCCCUAAAAUGCAAUUUUUGGAAAACGUGCAAAUUUUUCUAAUGCAAAUAAAAUCCGAAUAAAAUCAACUAAGGUCAAAUAAAUGAUUUUGACAUUUUUCCUCCAAUAUUUCAAUUAUUUUGGAGAAGUCAUAUUAUCUCCUCUCAUUUAUUUUUGGUACGAAAUAUUUUUUGGAGAAAGAAAUAAUUAAAAUCAAAAAUCCUCGUUGCAUUAUUUGGUACGAAAAUCCAAAUAUGAGACCGGAAAAAUCUCCAACUCUCUCCGAGGGUCCUUGAGUUGCUUAGGAUUUCGAGGAUUGUAAAGCGGAAAAGAAAUAAAAUAUGAUAUGCAUGAAUGACCUAUGUAUAACAUUCCAAAUUACAAAUUUGGGAUGUUACAAGGUCUAACCUUUAGUACCGGUUGGUGCCACGAACCGGUACUAAUGGGCAUCGCACCCUUUAGUCCCGGUUCGUGGCACCAACCGGGACUAAAAGGUCCAGACGAACCGGGACAAAUGGCCCACGUGGCCCCUGGGCGCACGAACCGGGACUAAUGCUCCCAUUAGUCCCGGUUCUAGACUGAACCGGGACUAAUGGGCUAACCCGGCCUGGACCAAAGCUCUCUUUUCUACUAGUGCACCAUCAAGAGGUUGUAGCUCAAAUGAUAUGUGUUUUCGUUCUAAUUGGCAACCGUAACUCAUAUGUCACUCAGGAUGCUAGAUGUGUGCAGUUAAAUGAUAUAAAUUCUUAUUUCUAGAUCAUAUAAAAAUAUAUUACUCCCUCCUAUCGAUAUUUGUUGAUACUGCUUUAGUUUCUCCAUUAAUAGCAUCAGCAUGAAACCCAUCGCACACAUUUUUGUCGAACAGCUACUGGUUUUGAGGGAAACCUACUGGUACAGCUAUAACAGUAACUUUAUCACCAAAUGUGCUAAGAAAUUUUAUGCAAGCUGGAACAUGAGAGACCGCACAGUAAGCCAAAACAGAACCACACUGGACAAAGGGUGGUAAAAGCCUAAAGCACGUACCGCACUUUUAUCCUGAGCAUUCAUCGCCGUGAUAACUUGAUUCAGAAGCAUAUCGGCACCUAGAAGAAGAGCAUCCUUGGCUGCACCCGAUAACGUGUCUGCCCAGUACAUUAGCAAAGAACAUAGGUCAACAUGGUCACAGAAGGGGUAACAUAUUUCUAAGAGAAAGAAGUACUGUACAUCCUGCCUAAAAAAACUAUAUAGUACUUAAUACAGUCCAUGGCAAAAACUAGCAGGACACGCAAGAAGGUAAAGCUCCAAUUUUCCUCUGUCUUUGAGAAAACAUGUAGACAACAAAUAUACAAUGACAUGUAAAAAAGGUUUGGAACUAGAAGAACCGGUGUGUUGAUUCAGUAACAGUAGCAACUAAUACAUUGGCUGGCAGGCUAGUUACAUGCAACGACACAGCAAGUUUAUCACUGACAUAGAACAAGUGCUAUCGUCGUAAAACUGAUACGAGAAAAAUGACAUCAAAAUUAAUUUUAUAGGAACCACAAAAUUUUCUGGUUAUGCAGCUGUAUAAUAAUAUAAUUAGACAAAUAUAAAUUUCUUCAAAACAUAGUGACCUUGCCUCGUGUCAAUCGGAGGUAUUAAACACGCAACAAUCCUAGAAAACUGCCCAAAGGAAAAAAUGUGGAAGUACAGAUGCAAAAUUUGAUAGUUAUUCAGUAGUGGUUGGUGUGCGACUCUCUGAACCUGGAGAUCCCGAGUUUAAAAGGACCUCCAAUUUGGCGCGUGAGGUGCUGGGGAAACAUGCCAGCGCGCAGCACCCUCCUCCAGCACGCUCCUAUUGGGCUGGCCAAUGAGCGGGACUGGACACCCCAGUUUUUUUAUUUUGUUUGUUUGCUUUUACUUUUUUCUGUUUUUUAUUUUUAAUCUUUGAAACUAUUGCGAAUUUAAAAAAGUUCCAAAUUUCAAAAUAGUUAAUUUUUGAAAAAUGUUCCAGAAAUAAUAAGAUGUUCGUGGUUUAAGAAAUUUUUAUAACCUCACUGUCUUCCAUACAAACUUGGCACAAUCAACAUGUGAUCCAUACGUAGUUUUCUCAUCAAGGUUACUGCCCUCUCUUCAUCCUAAUGCAUUUCACACAGAAAAAAUGUGUCUCGUUAAUGACGCCUCUUGAUAUCCAGAAGCGAGCCAACUGUCGGAGCACUAAGGAGGCCCUUGUUGCGACACAAAAUGGCUGCGCAACACCGCGAUAACUAGCUAUCAUGCUUUUGUGAUGACGAACAAUUGCUUUACGAGCAAAGAAACAAUGAUUCCUCAUUUUCGUAGAGGAGCGAUGACCUAUUUUAAGCGCAAAAAGCAAAGUUUAACCAAACUAUAGGGCUGCUAGGGCUUGGCAGAGAAACAAGAGUGAAUUCCAUUUUUUACCUUGUAGUUGUACAUUUGUGACACAUAUUACCCUAUUUAGCGGAACUUUUAUCGAAAUGUCAGAUUUUGGAGACUUUUAACACGGUUUUACCCUAGUUUUACAUUUUGUCUGUUUAUGGUCGAUAGGAUCGGCAUGUUGCGUCAUUGAUUUGUAAAAAAAACUGUAAGGAUCGGAGGGCAUCAUUGGCGAUCUUGUCCAAGCUUCUCUUGUCUAUCUGUUCCACUCCUUCUGGCCGUCCACAUGUUUUUGGAUACAGAGCGUCACCUCACACCUUACCUGAUGGACACGCAUCAAAAAACAAGGGUCCAAAGAUUUCAAAAGGGGUAUUCUAGAUGAAUUUUCACUCGAAGGGGUAAUUAGUGUCACAAAUGUAUAAAUAUGGGGUAAAAAGUGGAAUUCACUCGAGAAACAAACAUAAGAAAAACCACGCAUGCAUCUCCCUCAAAUGCCCAGGUUUUCGGUAAUUACAAGCGCUCGUAGAAACCAGAUUACUCAAUUCCGCGUGGAUGAUCAGAUACGUAACACCCUCAUGCUGCUCGUGGAUGAAGUUUGUGCUGACUCAUCAUUGACGGCGGCCGCGGCAAUAUGCAUCGAGCUGCUCCAUGCCGCUCCACUCGCUUACGGCGGCGAACUCCAGGCAGGGGAUUCCAGCGUCACCUCACGUACUACUAUUAGUGUGAUCUUUACCUAACACUAUUAGUGUGAGUGUGACCUUUAACUAACACUACUACUAGAAGUACUAUGAGUAAUAAAUGAUGUUUACUCGAUCUAUUUCUAUGCCUAACCAUAUACAGUAUAUCUUAGGACUUUAAAGCGACGCAUGUGGACACCCAUGUUUGUUGAGGUGCUGCCAUCCCCGAUCGAUCCGUGAUGGCUCUAUAAAUGUGUUCGUCAAAAAGCAGCUAGUUCUGAGUGCCAAACACAAAGAACGAAGGAACCAUGGCUGCUCUGAAAGCUCUCAUAUGCGUCGUGUUACUACUUGGAGUCAUCGGCUUCGCCUCCCCUCACAUCUCGGCGGGGCGUAUCGCUCCGGUGGUCGCUCCGGCAGUCCAUUGUGCAUCGACUGCCGAACCGAGCACCGUACCUACUGUAACAGGUGAGUUUAAUUGUUACUUAGUUUUUUUUGCACAAGCUCGUACGUGACCCUUGCCACGGCCGUGAUAUCUAUCUGCUAUGAAUAGGAGGAUGCAGUGGUAGCGCUCCAGCUACCACAGAAGAGAAGGGACUGCUACCUUCGAGAGGCAUCUUCCUUCCGCCCCGCCUCCCGUCGUCGCGUGAAAACCUGCUGAAAGUUCCAACAGGAAGCACCCCGUAAGGUGAAGGAAAAACAAGAUGGAACCACUAAGUCAUAAUAUUGAAUAAUGAUGUAACAGUUCUGGUUAUCGUGCAUGUAUGCCACCAUGGGGAGCCACGUAUGUUUCAAUUCACUGGUCUGUUCCGACAUACACCUAUAUGUUUUGAUCGCAACUCGAUCGUUCGAAUGUUACAUCGAAUUUAUUAGCAGAAGUUUUUAUGCUAGCUCCGGUGAAACGUUCGAUCAAAUUUCUUGCUACAAAUUCUUAUGCUCCAAAUUUAGCACUAAAAAAAAAUUUUGAAUGACAAAAGCAAAUAUCAAAAAUGGAGUGGCUGUACGUUCAAAGAACAAACAAAAAUGUGCUCGAUUUUGUGAUGAUAUGGGUCGAGAAGCCACAUGUUCGUUGUAACCAAUAAUUGUGCACCUGAUGGAGUUCAUCCUACGAAAAGGUCACAUGUCUUCUCAAAAAAGAAAUGAAAAGGUCAGAUGUUAACACCCAGGAGAACUGGGGUGAACUUCCUAUCAACCUGGUAAACCAUGUUAUAGAAUAUAUUUAGCUUCUCUUAGUCAAUCUUGUAGUUUACCAACUUCCAAGGCACAUAAUAUUUGUGUAGGUCAUUUUCCUCAAAAUAUCUGCAUAGACGAGUAAAUAGGUAACUGCGUAAGGAUGUUACCACAUUUUUCAGUUAGUGAAUUGUGCAUAUGAACUUAUCUCUGUGCUACUACAUCAAAUCAUCAGUUAAUCAUAUAAAGAAGACAUUGAAUAGUUGGUUUUCUAUUUCCCUCAUCCAAGAGGCAUCUAGCAAGUGGGCCAACUUAAUAGUGUCUUACAAUAUUGGAAGGCAAAUUAUCAGUCGAAACUAUUACUUGAAUAAUUUGACUUACUUACGAGCCCUUUUACGGUGAUUGGGGAGGUACCACCCCUGAAUUUGGAUUUAACUUUUCGAGUAGAUGAUUUUUCAUAUAAAAAACUUUUUCAUCCGAGUUAGUAUGCAAAAGUUAUGCCCAUUUUACUAAAUUCUAGAGAGAUUUUGUAAAAAUAAAGUCGAAAUUCACAUUUGCAAAUUUCCCCAACAACUAGACCACAUAUCACAUGGGAAACUUAUUUUUUUUUUAUUUUUUUGACAUUUUAAUCAUUUUCUUUUAUUUUAUUUAAAACUGAAAAGGCAAUCCACUGGGGGGUGUUGUUUGAAAUGGGACCUUUAGUACCGGUUUGUGCCAUGAACCGGUACUAAUGCCUCAAACCCCAUUAGUACCGGUUGGUGGCUCGAACCGGGACUAAAGGUCUAACCUUUAGUACCGGUUGGUGCCACGAAUCGGUACUAAUGGGCAUCGCACCCUUUACUCCCGGUUCGUGGCACCAACCGAGACUAAAAGGUCCAGACGUACAGGGACAAAUGGCCCACGUGGCCCCUGGGCGCAGGAACCGGGACUAAGGCCUCCAUUAGUCCAGGUUCUAGACUGAACCGGGGCUAAUGGGCUAACCCGGCCUGGACCAAAGCCCUCUUUUCUACUAUUGCACCAUCAAGAGGUUGUAGCUCAAAUGAUAUGUGUUUUCGUUCUAACUGGCAACCGUAACUCAUAUGUCACUCAGGAUGCUAGAUGUAUGCAGUUAAACGAUAUAAAUUCUUAUUUCUAGAUCAUAUAAAAAUAUAUUACACCCUCCGAUCGAUAUUAGUUGACACUGCUUUAGUUUCUCCAUUAAUAGCAUCAGCAUGAAACCCACCGCACACAUUUUUUGUCGAACAGGUACUAGUUUUGAGGGAAACCUACUGGUACAACUAUAACAGUAACAUUAUCACCAAAUGUGCUAAGAAAUUUGAUGCAAGCUGGAACAUGAGAGACCGCACAGUAAGCCAAAACAGAACCACACUAGACAAUGGCUGGAAAAAGCCUAAAGCACGUACCGCACUUUUAUCCUGAGCAUUCAUCGCCGUCAUAACUUGAUUCAGAAGCAUAUCGGCACCUAGAAGAAGAGCAUCCUUGGCUGCACCCGAUAACGUGUCUGCCCAGUACAUUAGCAAAGAACAUAGGUCAACAUGGUCACAGAAGGGGUAACAUAUUUCUAAGAGCAAGAAGUAUUGUACAUCCUGCCUAAAAAACUAUACAGUACUUAUUACAGUCCAUGGUAAGAUCAACUAGCAGGACACACAAGAAGGUAAAGCUCCAAUUUUCCUCUAUCUUUCAGAAAACAUGUAGCCAACAAAUAUACAAUGACAUGUAAAAAAGGUUUGGAACUAGAAGAACCGGUGUGUUGAUUCAGUAACAGUAGCAACUAAUACAUUGGCUGGCAGGCUAGUUACAUGCAACGACACACCAGGUUUAUCACUGACAUAGAACAAGUGCUAUCUUUGUAAAACUGAUACGAGAAACAUCACAUCAAAAUUAAUUUUAUUGGAACCACAAAAUUUUCUGGUUCUGCAGCUGUAUAAUAAUAUAAUUAGACAAAUAUAAUUUUCUUCAAAACAUAGUGACCUUGCCUCCUGUCAAUCGGAGGUAUUAAACAUGCAACAAUCCUAGAAAACUGCCCAAAGGAAAAAAUGUGGAAGUACAGAUGAAUAAUUUGAUAGUUAUUCAUUAGAAAGAGCCACCUUGUUUAUACAUCUUUCUGCUUUUUCGUAGUGGUUGGUGUGCUACUCUCUGAGUUUAAAAGGACCUCCAAUUUGGCGCGUGAGGUGCUGGGGAACAUGCCAGCGCGCAGCACCCUCCUCCAGCACGCCCCUAUUGGGCUGGCCAACGAGCGGGACUGGACACCCCAGUUUUUUUAUUUUGUUUGUUUGCUUUUACUUUUUUCUGUUUUUUAUUUUUUAAUCCUUGAAAAUAUUGUAAAUUUAAAAAAGUUCCAAAUUUCAAAAUAGUGAAUUUUUGAAAAUGUUCCAGAAAUGAUAAGAUGUUCGUGCUUUAAGAAAUUUUCAUAGCCUCACUGUCUUCCAUACAAACUUGGCACAAUCAACAUGUGAUCCAUACGUAGUUUUCUCAUCAAGGUUACUGCCCUCUCUUCAUCCUAAUGCAUUUCACACAGAAAAAAACGUGUCUUGUUAAUGACGCCUCUUGAUAUCCAGAAGCAAGCCAACUGUCGGAGUACUAAGGAGGCCCUUGUUGCGACACAAAAUGGCUGCACGACACAGUGAUAACUAUCAUGCUUUUGUGAUGACAAACAAUUGCUUUACGAGCAAAGAAACAAUGAUUCCUCAUUUUCGUAGAGGAGCGAUGACCUUUUUUCAGCGCAAAAAGCAAAGUUUAACCAAACUCUAGGGCUGCUAGGGCUUCGCAGACAAACAAACAUAAGAAAAAGCACGCAUGCAUCUCCCUCAAAUGCCCAUGUUUUCGCUGCGCUCGUAGAAACCAGUUUACUCAAUUCCGCGUGGAUGAUCAGAUACGUAACACCCUCGUGCUGCUCGUGGAUGAAGUUUGUGCUGACUCAUCAUUGACGGCGGCCGCGGCAAGAUGCAUCGAGCUGCUCCAUGCCGCUCCACUCGCGUACGUCGGCGAACUCCAGGCAGGGGAUUCCAGCUUCACCUCACAUACUACUAUUAGUGUGACCUUUACCUAACACUAUUAGUGUGAGUGUGACCUUUAAGUAGCACUACUACUAGAAGUACUAUGAGUAAUAAAUGAUGUUUACUCGAUCUAUUUCCAUGCCUAACCAUAUACAGUAUAUCUUCGGACUUUAAAGCGACGGAUAUGGACACACAUGUUUGUUGAGGUGCUGCCAUCCCCGAUCGUGUUACUACUUGGAGUCAUCGGCUUCGCCUCCCCUCACAUCUCGGCGGGGCGUAUCGCUCCGGUGGUUGCUCCGGCAGUCCAUUGUGCAUCGACUGCUGAACCGAGCACCGUAUCUACUGUAACAGGUGAGUUCAAUUGUUACUUAGUUUUUUUUGCACAAGCUCGUAUGUGACCCUUGGCGCGGCCGUGAUAUCUCUCUACUAGGGAAAACCUUAUACACAGAAUCUUACCAGUAGCGCGUGUGAAAAUGAGACGCUACUGCUAAUUAGCAGUAGCGCGUCUGCCAAAACUGCGCUACUGUUACCCCCUUAGCAGUAGCGCGGCGGGAACUGUACGCGCUACUACUAUAAUUGCCACACCGUUCCCGACAUGCUAGGUAUAGUAGUAGCGCCCUUCUAGAAACGACGCUACUACUACCGAUUUUAGCAGCAGCGCGUUUUCCCCUCCCACACUACUGUUAAAUCUAUUCUCACCUAACCCCCCGCGCGGCCUGAUUCCCUCCUCUUCCUCCCCCAAUUCACCACUCUCUCUUCUCCCCCUCGUCGCCUCCGCCUCGCCGCCGUCUCCCCCGACCCCGCCUCAUGGCCGUCUCCCCCGACCCCGCCUCGCCGCCGUCUCCCCCGACCCCAUCUCUCUCCCCGCCCUCUGUAAGCACUCUCCCCUUCCGAUCCCUCUUGUUAAUUUGCUUAGUAUGAACCCUAGCUAUUUAGUGCUAGUUAGUACGAACCCUAGGCUAUUUUUAGUGUUAGUUAGUUAAUUUAGUGUUAGUUAGUUAGUUAGUAUGAACCCUUAGCAGUAGUUCCUAGGUACUAAUUAGUUAGUAAGAACUAGGUACUAAUUAGCUAGGUACUAGUUUAUUUUUAUUUAUAGUAAGUUUAUUUUCAGUAAGAACUAAUUGAAUUAAUAGAACAUGUUAGUAAGAACUUGUUGCUAUUUUUUUAGUUAAAGCAAUUUUUCCUGCAUCGACGUGGACAAUGCCUAUCCCGCAUCCUCGUCGUCGAGUCGGUGGAGGACGACACCUGCUUGACCAGAUGGGCCAUGUUCGGGACUGGGCUCCGCCGGGGUGGUACUGGGAGGCGCUACCUACUGGGGGGCGCAGGUUGGUGAGGAGCCAGCCUGUCGUUGACCCGAACCUUCUUUGGUGGCGGUCGCGUGGGCCAGUGACGGUCCAGAGGCUCAAGGACCCCGCGGAGGUGGUGCGUCACCGUGUCAGUCAGGAGGACGCGCACGUCCGUCGCUACUUGUUUGCGUUGGAGCACAGGUUCUCCAAUACCUGGCAGGUUCUCCAGGGAUCUCACUAGAGCUAUGAUCCCGUGAUGGUUCCUUCUCUGUGGGUGUCCACCGCCCGCGCCGAUACCCGUCGUGUGCUAGGGUUUUAGUUGUAUUAGUGAUGUUAUAUGUAUGACACUAUUCGGGAUGUAUUAGUUAUAAUAUUCGACGAUGUACGAACACGCAUGAGAUGAUUUACUUUUGCUUAUUCAAUGCAUGCUAAUUUCAGUCCUAUAAGAUAUUUUCAAAUGUAUGUCUUGUGUUGCUCAAAUAUGAUAUGUGCUUGCCCAAGUGGCCGGUCAUGUUUGCAGGUUACACCUCCGAGUGGCCUAUGUUUUGCUGGAGUGUUGAUUCAUUUCCGUUCCGGCAAAUCUCAGGCGCUCGAUAUGUCCUAUUUUAGCAACGGUCAUGCCGGAUUUUUCCGUGAAUUUUGGCAUGACUUGUGCCAGAAUAUGUAGGAAAUAUCGACUGCCCCGGAUUCGUGUGUUGAGUAUCCUGGUACUUGUCUUCGAUCGAUUUUCAAUUAAUGUUUUAAUGAUGAACAUAGGAAAUGUCUGAUGACGAAAAGGAUUUCGGUAUUUGCAAAUACUGCGAAGACGAGCGCGGCCUGUGCGACGGAAUCUUCCUAGAUGAUGAUAGGCACUUCAGCAUCAAGCUGGACGAGAACUUCGAAGUGGAUACAGUAAGUCACAACGACAAGUCUUUUUUCGUAAUUAAGCAUGACAUAUGCUUCAUUUGCUUCAACUUAUAAUUUGUUUUUACUAUUCUACUAGCGUAUCCCCUGCCAUGCAAGAGUUUUUGUAUUGGAUAAGAUAGGUUGCAUUCAUACUAUGGAGGUAAAGAAAUAUUACUGGAAGACCGAGCAUGGUUAUAUUUUCCACACAAAUUUAUACAAUUCAGUCAACUACACCUAUUUUGGAUGCAAAACAUGGCGAGCACUAUGCAAGACUUAUGCAUUUGAGCCUAAUAUGGUUAUCACCUUUGAUAUUCGUCCGGAAGAUGAUAUUGAAGGUAAUACCGACAUCUGGGUCGAUGUGCAGACGCCUCCAGUUAUACCAAAAUGUGAGUUUUUCAACCAUAUUUAUGUCUUUGAUAUUGUUUACUCAAAAAUAGUUGACAAUUAAUUUCUAUUGAUAGCUUAUUUCGGUGCAAGCAAACAUGUCUAGCGCUUGGUAGAUAGGACCGUAUACUGUGCCGGGGCUGAAAUCAACUGCGAGGAGCUCAGUCAUUAUGUUUCAUGGCUUGCGGAUCUUGAUACUAUCAAGACAAAUUUUCUUCCUCGAUUUAGAAAUGUUAGUACUGAAACGGUGCGACAAAUAGUGUUCGUACUGAACUACGGUCACAUCUAUUUAGGAAGGAUGGUAAGAUUUUUAAUAUUUGUCCUCAGUGCAUCUUUUCCAUACAUUAUUUUUGAAGCUAAACUUCAUUGCUAAGUAUGUUACCAUACGAUGUUCUUCAAUAGGGAGUCCCGAUGAAUGUUGUGCCUUAUGGGAUCGAGACUAAAGGUACCAUGAGUAUUAUUAGCUUACGGCCAAGAUAUCCUACAGAUUGUUGUAGUGCAUUCAAGAUUAGCGACGGAUGCUUAAUAGUGCAAGACUGGACCAAAUAUGUGAUGGGGGAGCGCAGAGAAGUACUAGGGGGCAGCAAACAGAAGCGCAUCCCAUGAUUAGGAGACAGGUUCAUCUGUAUGCUCCAACUUGAUCAAGGAGGAGAGCUACACAUGUUUUAUGUUAUUUUACAUAAGAGAGAGCAGCAAGAGUGAUUAGCUAGCUAGAAAUGAGUUUGAGGAUGAUGAUGUGCUACACUAUUACUAUGAUGAUAAAAUAGCUAGUGUUGGUGGUAAUGACUAUGAGGAUUAUUAUUAGCUAGUGUUAGUGGUGAUUAGAUAAAUAAUGUUGGUGGCAAUUACUAUGAUGAUGAUUAAAUAGCUUGUGCUGGCAGAUUAGAUUCAAGUGGAGGCAACAUGUGGUGCACAUCGAAAGUACUACUAGUCCAAACUAGAUCCAGUUUGGAUUAGUAGUAUACUUUUGACAUGCACCACAUAUUGCCUCCACUUGAACCUAAUCCACCUUCAUUUGACACACUGGACAUAAUGAUGUAAACCUCAUAACUGGUAUUGUACCAAUAUUUGUACGAUGGAGAGAAAACCGCAUAAAUACACUGAAAAUAAAAAAAUAAAAAAUGAAUACUAGUAGCGAUGGACAGAAAACGCGCUGCCACUAGUUUCAUUAGUAGUAGCGUGGGGGUGAACAAAAACUACAACUAUUCGUCCUAGUAGUAGCGCGCCCCUGCAUGCGUCACUACUAAGCAAUGGCUGUAGCGCCUUAUUAGUAGCGCGCCUACCCGCGCUACUAGUGACCACAAAACCAGCGCUACUGCUAGGAUUUUCCCUAGUAGUGUCUAUCUGCUAUGAAUAGGAGGAUGCAGUGGUAGCGCUCCAGCUACCACGGAAGAGAAGGGACUGCUGCCUUCGAGAGGCAUCUUCCUUCCGCCCCACCUCCCGCCAUCGCGUGAAAACCUGCUGAAAGUUCCACCAGGAAGCACCCCCUAAGGUGAAGGAAAAACAAGAUGGAACCACUAAGUCAUAAUAUUGAAUAAUGAUGUAACCGUUCUGGUUAUCGUGCAUGUAUGCCACCAUGGGGAGCCACAUAUGUUUCAAUUCACUGGUCUGUUCCGACAUAUACUCCUAUAUGUUUUAAUAGCAACUCGAUCAUUGGAAUGUUACAUCGAAUUUAUUAGCAGAAGUUUUUAUGCUAGCUCCAGUGAAACGUUCGAUCAAAUUUCUUGCUACAAAUUCUUAUGCUCCAAAUUUAGCACUAAAAGAAAUUUCGAAUGACAGACGCAAAUAUCAAAAAUGGAGUGGCUGUAAUUUCAAAGAACAAACAAAAAUGUGCUCGAUUUUUUGAUGAUAUGGGUCCAGAAGCCACAUGUUCAUUGUAACCAAUAAUUGUGCACCUGAUGGAGUUCAUCCUAGGAAAAGGUCACAUGUCUUCUCAAAAAAGAAAUGAAAAGGUCAGAUGUUAACACCCUAGAGAACUGGGGUGAACUUCCUAACAACCUGGUAAACCAUGUUAUAGAAUAUAUUUAGCUUCUCUUAGUCAAUCCUGUAGUUUACCAACUUCCAAGGCACAUAAUAUUUGUGUAGGUCAUUUUCCUCAAAAUAUCUGCAUAGACGAGUAAAUAGGUAACUGCGUAAGGAUGUUACCACAUUUUUCAGUUAGUGAAUUGUGCAUAUGAACUUAUCUCUGUGCUACUACAUGAAAUCCUCAGUUAAUCAUAUAAAGAAGACAUUGAAUAGUUGGUUUUCUAUUUCCCUCAUCCUAGAGGCAUCUAGCAAGUGGGCCAACUUAAUAGUGUCUUAAAAUAUUGUAAGGCAAAUUAUCAGUCGAAACUAUUACUUGUAUAAUUUGACUUACUUACCAGCCCUUUUACGGUGAUUGGGGAGGUACCACCAGUACAUUAAGGUACCACCCCUGAAUUAUUAGUUAACUAGUUCCCUCAUCCAAGAGGAAUCUAGCUGAACAUUCUCUAAAAAAUAUUAGCUGAAUGAUUUGACUUACAAUAUUGUGCUAACCUUUUAUGGUUUUGAAAUUCUAAAGAAAAAAGUUUUAUUAAAAUAGUGUCCGGUUCUAGAAAUAUGAAAUUUGGUAUUAAAGGCAUAUUAAUACAGAAUUGCAAAGCAAUUUCCUAGAUCACAGUUUCUUCAGGAAUGCAACUACAUCUGUAAAAACAAAUAAAGAAGACAUCCUACCAAAUGAACGCAAAGAUCACACAUAGCAGUGGAAUGGAAUAGAUAGUCGGUGCCAAAACUUAUUGAUGAAUCUGCAUUUGGCAACAAAAUAUAUGUGCAUGUACGAAACAGAUGCAUGUCUGGCAAGUCAUGAGAUGAACAUUAUUUUGUGAAGCGUAGGCUAGAGCUGAAAAUCAUAGGAUCUUGAAACCAGCUCACGAUUUUCGCACAUGGAUAGCUGCCUUCCACACACCCCUGUCCAUGGCUAGUCUGCAAACUAUGUCUUAUGAUGAACCCAAGGAUAUAUGUUUAGCAUUCUAGAUGUAAAUAUUUUUUUCCACAAACUUGGUCAAAGUUUUUGAGGUUUCACUUUUCAAAACAAGUUAUAUACACUAUAUUAUGAAACGAAGGGAAUACGUACUUACGUGGUAACUGGAAAUCACAUCGACGGCCAAUCAGAAAGUUUUCAAUUAGCCUCACUGGCUCCUUGCACGCGGCCUCCUCGGUACGUCGGCUGUCAGCAUGCCGCUCCCCGCACACGGCUCGCUGUUGCGUGCCGCCCCACUUGCUGCUAGCCCUCCAAAAUAACAAUUGAUUUCAGUGUAUAAUGUACUGUUUUCGUAUAAAAUAACAAUUGAACAAAAACAUGUGUCUUGCCCGUCUAACGCCAUCCUCAACAACGGUAAUACUGAGCACAACAGAAACCUGACACUCUACAGCACCUAAGACUAACGCCCCAGAAUCUUAAUCCUAUCUAGUGAUCUCGAAAUGAAUUUCUUGAAUGUUCGACGCGUGGUUUGGCUUCGUUGGUGAGGAGAUAAAUAAGCACGCAAGCAUAAUUUGACAAAAAUGCUGCGCUAGCGACGCAUCCAGGGCCGCAGAAAAAGCCUCCUCCCCUCAUGCGGCGGCGAUGCCCCGCACCAGGGCCAACCCGCCGGGCCUCCUCCUCCCCCCAGCGAGCGACUCUCUUGUCGCCGUUAAGGGCGUCGCAGGCUAAGCCUGCGUGCCGCUACGGCGGCCGCGGCAAUCUUCCUCUCACCGGUGAUCAUAUCUGAGUGGUGGUGAUCCAUUUUUGAUGAUUCAAGGGCGGUGGCGUGGGCCGGCGGCGACCAGGGUUGUCAUCUUGGCGGCGGCGACGACGGAAUCGUGGGGGCGGCUAGGGCGCCUGAUCUGCAUCCAUAUCGGAUUUGGGUGGUGGUGCUCCUCAGGCCGUCAUGCGUAUUCUUUGUUCCGCUGCAGCAAGGGCCUUUGGACUAGGCCAGCGACAUGAGGACGUCGGGGGCUCCGGCCCUGAGCGCGGAGGUGGUGGCCAUCCUCUUCGCCGGAGGUGGUAGGCUGGAGGGUCGUGGCUUCUCGCGUCCAGUCCCGGCGUCGAGUGGGGAGGCGAGGCUGCCGGUGAAAACCGUGCUAUGACUCCGGUCAUGUUGGGCGAUGGCGGCGUCUUUGCGUCGUUAUCUUGUUGAAGACAUCGCAACUGCAGCUUUCGUCGACUUGCUUGCGCUGCUCUUGGUGAAAACCUAGACCCGGGAUUCCCGGAUAGGACGAUGGCGCCGCUUUUGGCGUCCUUCACCCUCAUGGGGGCAUCGUUUUUGAGCAGCAGCUGGAUGGAGGAGACAAGUGGUGGAGCGGUUUUACAUUUACCACGUUGGUGACGGCGGAUCUCGACGGCGUGGUGUAGUGGAGACUCGGCACCCGAUGCGCGGUGAUGGACUCGCGCAGGAGGGUGACGCUGUCUGGCGUCAUGGUGGCAUCGACGGUAGCGAGAUUGGGCAAGGUAGAUGCAACAGUAUAGCUCUGAAGAUGGAUUGGUGGCAGGUGGUUGCGGCGGCCUCAUACCCGGCAGGCGUCCUGAUUGAGGAGCACGCCAGACUGGUGGGUGCCCCAUACCUGGCAGGCGACCUGGUUGAGACCUCAGAUCUUAGAUGUUAGAUUUGGCUGGGAGGUCUGUUUGGUAUUAGGCCCAGACUAUCAGCAUCCCUUCAUCAACUGGAUAGAAGUAGCGACAGAUGUUGCCUAGACGGUGGCUUUAGUUUUACUAUUGUAUGACUUCGUAAGGUCUUGUGUCUAUAAUUAAUAAACGGGCUGUAUGCGUCGUCCAGAUGCAGAAGCUGGGGGUCUUCCUCCUUUUCUAAAAAAAUAAUAAUUUGACAAAAUAAUCCCAAUAGUAAAAUGACCAUACGAGUUAUGGUCAGAAGAAUGACCAUACAAGUUACGGUCAGAAUGACCAGCAUAAUUUUUCGUAUAAAAUUCUGGCAGCAGCAAACUGGUGAGCUGGCUGGCCGAGCCUAUAACUAUGGCUUGCCAGGGUGUCAAGAUCGGUUUGGCUCAGUCCAUGUCCAAGGUGAGAUGAGCUUCUAGGAAUGUAGGGCCGAAACCGACUCUGCUUGACCCCAGGUUUAGGCAUGUACAGUGCUCAAUGCUUCUUGAUCAGGGUUUGAAGAGGAUAAUAGCAUCGUGUCUCAAAAAAAUGUAUCGGAGUUUAAACAAAAAUAUGUUACUUGCCCGUUUAACGCCUUCCUCGGCAACGGUAUACUGCACACAAGAGAAACCUGACACUCGCUAUGCCCGACACCCUUAAUCCUAUCUAGUGAUCUUCAAAAGAAUUUCUUGAAUGUUAACCGGUGUGGCUCGGCAUAGCUGGUGAGGGAGAUUAAUAAGCAUGCGAGCAUAAUUUGACAAAAAAAUCCCAACAGUAAAAUGAUAAUGACAAUACGAAUUAGGGUCAGAAGAUGGAGCAAUUCUGAUAUUGUUUAUUCUAUCCUGAAAUGUCCAUUGCUGAUUACAAUGUUCUCAUGAGUCAUGACUAGCAGACUCAGGCCUGCCUAUGUAUUGCACAUGGUUGUAGACAAGCAAUAGCAAUGUUGCGAGUAAAUUAGUUAACUAACAUUGUCGCCAAACUUUCGUCUGGAUCCUUUUGAUUUCUGUCACCUCUGUUUGACGGCUCCGAGGUCUCUUGUCACGCAGUGCAUGAAAUGUACAGUUCAUCAUCAAGGUAGAAAGCAGCAUUUAUGUUAUGUUAUGCUUCAAAUUUAAAUACAUUAAAACUGAGAACCAUCCCAACCCUCUCAGGCCAUCAGCAUUUCUAAUAGUUGGAUUGCCACUUUUAAUCAUUUUCGGCCGUCGGAUUUGUUGUUAGUCCCACCUACAUCUCGUGUGCAGGCUAACUCGCACGUCAGGCUAAGCUAAACUUUUCCGGCCACUGCUUCCGUGGCUUUUUUGGGAGUCUUACGUUCAAUUUGGCCUACUAGCCUACUGGGCCUAUAAAUUAAAACCGAGAACCAUCCCAGCCCUCUCAGGCCAUCAGCAUUUCUAAUACUCGCUCCAUUUUUGUAUACAAGGCCAAAAAGCCAUAUUACAGGUACGAAGGCAAAAAUUAAUGCCAUCUAAGUCAAUGUUGCAAGCCACCUUGUUUCUUUGUUUGCCAUGUAAAUUACUGUGUAUUCUUCUCUUUCAUGCACAUCAAGCCAAUGCUCACACUCCCGCACGUAUGCAAGGGAUAAUUAAUGCCCUCUGCUAGUACUAUGAGGCGAACACCAUUAAUAUUGUAUCGAUUAGUGUUAGCGGCCUUGUAUAUCUGUAAAUUAUAAUUUUGAUAGUGGCCUUGUAUAUAAAAAUGGAGGGAGUAGUUGGAUUGCCACUUUUAAUCAUUUUCAGCCGUCGGAUUUGUUGUUAGUCCCACCUAAAUCUCGUGUGCAGGCUAACUCGCACGUCCGGCUGCGCUAAACUUUUCGGGCCACUGCUUCUGUGGCUUUUUUGGGCGUCUUACGUUCAAUUUAGCCUACUAGCCUACUGGGCCUAUACAACCAUCGUAAAACAAAAUGCAGAAACUGCUCGGUCGGUAGGUCUGCGAGAGAAAGAAGGGGAUCCGGCGCUGCGCGAGGGGUGAGAGGCCGGUGCAGACAGUUGCAGAGAGAGAAAGAGGAGCAUGGCUGAAAAUCAAGUAGAUUGUUCCGUCCUGAUGGGGAAUGGCUCGCGUGCUUCUGUUCAUGGUGUUGGCACGCACUAGUAGAAAACAGGGCAUUUGUCCCGGUUAGUGAGGCCCUUUUGUCCCGGUUCAUGAACCGGGACUAAAGGGUCGUUACUAAUGCCUCCGCCUUUAGUCCCGGUUCUAACACGAACCGGGACAGAUGGGCCUCCACGUGGCCACUGCGAGCAGCCCAGUCAAGGGGGCCUUUGGUCCCGAUUGUUGACAUGAACUGGGAAGAAAAGGCUUCCACGUGUCAGCAGCUGGCUGGAGCUGAGGUUUUUCUUUUUUUUUUAAAAAAAAGUGGCUGGUUUAGGGGUUUUGGGGGUUAAUUUUAGGUUGUUAUUAGCUAGCUAAUAGAGAGAAGUGUCCUCUCUUAUAUCUUCGUCCUUGGUUUACCAACGCUACUACUAUGUUCAUUUCACCUGCUGUUAUAUAAUAACACAUGCAUGCUCGCAUCAUACAUCAUCAUAUAUAAUAACAAGUCCUACUAAUCAUGCAUCAUCAUACAACUUCUACUCGUUAUUAAUAACAAGUCAUACGAGCAUCAUCCUCAUAGUCAUUGAACCCAACCCUACAUAAUUGUUCUUAGCACAUGAUCAUCAGUAUCAGGUAGGACCUAAACACCCUUAAAGUAAAAUAGCAUAAAACAAUAUAGACCAUGACUCUCCAUUAUGAAGAAUGGAGAUCAUCCUGUCUCCAAUUCUUGCGCUUCGCCUCCUUUUGCUUGCAAGAAGCUCCUUACGACUGUCCAUACAUUUUUUCCAUGCUUUGAUUGUCAUGUCUCCACUUCUUUUAGAAAUCCGGUAUGGACAGUUGAGAUUCGUAGGACGACCUGGUUGUAUGUUCAAAACAUCAAGGCGACCGUGCGUAUACAUCAGAUGAGGCACACAAUAAUUCGAGAUUAUCUGUUGAAAAACAUAGUAAUAACUUCGUAGUUAGCAAUGGUGUACUAGUUUUAGAAGUCUUUAAAAAGAUGGAGGGAUGUCGUAAUAGUAAAAGAUCUUACCAGGGUAUCUCCAUGGUAGUUACCGUAGUUCAACACGUGCACUAGUGGCACGUAUUGACCAUAAUGUUGAGGAGUUCGAUUGUAGACAUUGUAAUUCUUAAGAUCAGUACAAAAUGCGAUCAGAUGAUUUUUCUCCAUAUAAGUUAAUUCGGAGCCAUCGGUGUAGUGGGUUUUUUCUACCAUUUUCCGCACAUUCUUUAAAGAAUGAAAAUAAGCUGUUAAUGGAAACAAGCUGUCAACUAUUUUGAAAUAAACAAUAUAAAUUACUUAAUAACUAUGCUAAGCUCACAUGGGGGAAGAAUUGGAGUUGUAUCCACAAGGACCCAAAUGCCCAUGUUGUCUUGCUGGAUUGUAGGAUCACCAAGAUCCAUGGUGACAAGCAUACCCUCAUCAAAACCAUACAUCUUGCAAAGUGCUUCCCAAUUUUUGCAACCAAAAUGGGUUACACUCUCAGCAUUGUACAACUUUACUUUAAAAUCCACACCAUGAUGGGUCCUUAGGAGAUUUUUUUUGGUUUCCAUACUUUCAUGGUCUUCAAAACCUAUCCUCUCCAAGACAUAGCGUCUUGCAUAGCAUGGGAUAAGCUAGUCGAAUUGGAAAAGAUGGAAAAUACACGUUAAAAUAGUUGAAGUCGUGCUUAACUACAAAAAAAACUAUUGUCGUCGUUGUGUACCGUAUGAACAUCGAAGGUCUCCUCGAGCUUAAUGCUGAAGGGCCGAUCUUCGUCCAGCUCAAUGAACCUGUCGCACAUACCUCGAUCGUCGUGGCACCAGUCGCACUCCCCCGGGCAGUUUUCGUCGUCCGAGUACGACAUUUCCGGCCAAAGUUCAUAAUUCGAAUAUUAAACUUGUACAAUUAAGUAUAUGUACUAAAAAAACCUAAAUUAGAUCAUUAUUAUUAAUCAUGUGUUGACUAUCGGUGAUGGUACGUAGCUCCUCCUUUCAUUACCGAGUGCAUUAUUACAAAAAAUUGUCUAGCACACGGGAAUGAAGGAGAAAUUACCCUCACGACGGCGUGGAUGAUGGAGGGGGCUCCUAGAUUUCUGCAUAGAGUGCUCUUCAAUUUUAGCAUUCAAAGUAGGAGUACUUUUCCAAUAUGAGCAUUCAAUAAGAAAAACCAAAUCGUAAAAUAAAGUAGUAUUCGAAUUAGCAUGCAUUCAAUUAUAACCGAAAGUACAGCAUCUCUUGUGUCCUUACAUCGUCGAAUACUCCUCGAAUACUAUCAUACAUAUAGCAUCGCUAAUUAAUACAGCUAGAACCGUAGCGCCCGACGGGUAUCGUCGCGGGCGGUGGACACCCAAAUAUAAGGAAUGAUCACAGGAUCAUAGCUCCAUUGAGAUCCCUGAAGAACCUGCCAGGUAUUGUCGAACCUGCCCUCCAACGCAACCAUGUAGAGACGGACGUACUCGUCCUCCUCGCUGACACGGUGACGUACCACCUCCGCGGUGUCCGGAAGCGUCGGCACCGUCACUGGCCCACGCGACCGCCACCAAACAAGGAUCGGGUCAACAACGGGCUGCCUUCUCACCAACCUACAUCCCCCAGAAGGUAGAACCUCCCAAUACCAGCCCGGCGGAGCCCAGUCCCGAACAUGGCCCUGAUCAAGCAGGCCUGCACCGCCGAGUCGACGACGACGAGGAUGCGGGAUAGGCAUCGUCGACAUCGACGUGGGAACUACUUCUAUAUAUAGCUAAAUAAAGUAGUUUUAUUAAUUAAAUCAAUUAGUUCAACUACUAAGCACUUACUAUAAAUAAAUAAAGUAGUACUUACUAAAAAUAAACUACUUCUAUAUAUAGUAAAAUAAUUUGGUUUAUUAAAUCAACUAGCUAGUUCAACUAUAUAUGAAGCACUUACUAUAAAUAAAAUAAAGUAGUACUUACUAAAAGUAAACUAGUUUAACUAUAGUUCUAUUAUUUUUCUAACUAAUUAUGUUAAACACUUUCUCUUCUUAUUUUUUUCCUUUUUCCUCUAUUCUAUAUAUGAACAUAUUGAUAAAUGACUUUGAUCAUGCACAAUUUUCCUAUACAUACACAAUAUGAACAUACAUAAAUUGAGAAAGAAAAUUCUAUGAACUAAAAAAUCACUAAAAUUCUAUGAACAAAAUUACAACAGAAAAAAAUCAUAAAAAUUCUAAGAACAGAAAAAAAAUCAGAAAAAAUUGACAUAUUCGAUCUUUGCAUAUAUACGAACAUACAAACAUGCAUAUUCAACAAUAAUAUCACCAAAAAAAUCUAUUAACAGAAAAAAAAAUCUAACAAAAUAUGAACAAAUUACAGAAUAUGAAAAAAAAUCUAUGAACUACACAUCUAAAUUACUACACAUCUAACAAAAAAAUCUAUGAACUACAAAAAAUAUCUAACAAAAAAAUUUGCUCACGGGAUGGCCACGGCGUGAGGGGCGCGGCGAGGGCGACGGGCAGGGGACGGCGACGGCAACGGCGACGGGGCGGCGCGGGACGGCGUGGGGUGCAGACGGCAUCGGGGCGGCAACGGCGACGGCAUCGGGGCGGCGCGGGACAGCGUGGGGCGACGACAAGGCGGAGACGGGCAGCCUGGCGGCGUCGGGUGCGGGGAAGAAGGAACUGAACCAAAUUUUCACGAGUGCUGCUUAUAUAGGCAAAGCAUUGGUCCCAAUUCGUCAGACCAACCGGGACCAAUGCCCGCUUUAGUCCCGGUUGGUGCCACCAACAGGGACCAAAGACCUCUUUUCAGCAGCCCAAAGGGCGGGAAGCGGCGGCCUUUGGUCUCGGUUCGUGGCACGAACCGGGACUAAAGGGGGUCAUUGGUCCCGGUUGGUGCCACGAACCGGGACCAAAGGGUGUCAUUGGUCCCGGUUCGUGCCACCAACCGGGACCAGUGGCCUUGCACAGCGGCGUGGUGGUGGGAAAUUAGUCCCACCUUGCUAGUUGAGAGCGUCGACCACCUGCUUAUAAGCACUGCUGCCUCCUCUCUCUCGAACUCCUCGGAACUGCAGGCCUAUGGGCCUAAGCUGACACUACUUUGCCUUUGGGCCUGCUGGGCCUUCUGCGGGCCUAAAUCCUGGCCCAUGGUAGGGUUUCUAGUCGUAUUCAGGCCGUGGGGGCCCAGUAGGAGGCACUUUUUUUUUGUUUUUUUGUUUUCUUUACUUAUUGUUGCUAUUUUUAUUUUUUCCAAUUUUUUUGUUUUGUUUUCUGCAUUAUUUGUUUUCUUCUGUUUUUGUCUUUAUUUUUUAAUUCUUUUUGCUUUUCGUUUUAGAAAAAAUAUAAACUAUCUGUUAGUUCCAUUAGUUUUCAAAUUUGAAAACACUUUUUUUGUUUUUUUGUUUUCUUUCUUGCUUUAUUUAUUUUAUUUUAUUUCUACUUACAACAAAAUACUUAUUGUUGCUAUUGUUAGUGGCCCAAUGUCUGAGCAUGUCCCCGCCAUCAAGAAGAAUCUCGUUAGUGGCUCCCUUCUAUGUAAAGAAGGGUUUAAGUUAGUAUUUGAGAAUAACAAAGUAGUCAUAUCUCGGUAUGGAUUGUUUGUUGGAAAAGGAUAUGAUUGUGGUGGUUUGUUCCGCCUUUCCCUGGAGGAUUUCUGUAAUAAAGUCGUGAACCAAAAUCAUUCUAAUGUGAACGAAUCUGAGGUUUGGCAUUCACGUCUUUGUCACAUAAAUUUCGGUUGUAUGACACGGCUAGCUAAGAUGGACUUAAUCCCGAGUUUUACUUUAGCCAAAGGCUCUAAGUGCCAUGCGUGCGUGCAAGCGAAGCAACCUCGUAAGCCCCAUAAGCUUGCGAAGGAGAGACACCUGGCACCGUUAGAGCUCAUACAUUCAGAUCUCUGUGAGAUGAAUGGUGUGUUGACUAAAGGUGGAAAGAAAUACUUCAUGACUCUCAUUGAUGACUCCACUAGAUUCUGCUAUGUGUAUUUGUUAAAUACUAAGGAUGAGGCUCUACACUACUUUAAAGUCUAUAAGGCUGAAGUUGAGAACCAACAUGAGAAGAAAAUAAAACGGGUCCGGUCUGAUCAUGGAGGAGAAUACUUUUCUAAUGAGUUUGAUUUAUUCUGUGUGGAACAUGGUGAAAUCUGAUGUACACGACAUGAAGGUCGGUACGAUCAUGGAGUCUAGGGAUGCUACAUUCCUUGAGGAUAUUUUCCCCAUGAGAGAUAUGCAAAGCAUCUCUAGACUGGAAUCGGAUGAGACUCCUGAACCUGCCAUUCUGAUGGAAUAUUAUGAACAUGAAAGUGAUGAGAGUUCCAUGGAGGAUGACGAGGAAGCUCCUAUUAGGAGCAAGAGACAAAGGACCGCAAAGUCCUUUGGUGAUGCUUUCCUCGUGUACAUCGUGGAUGAUGACACUCCCAGUUCCAUUUUAGAAGCUUAUGCAUCUCUGGAUGGUGACUACUGGAAGGAUGCGGUCCGUAGCGAGAUGGAUUCCAUCUUGGCUAACGGGACAUGGGAGAUCACUGAUCAUCCUUAUGGUUGUAAACCAUUGGGAUGUAAGUGGGUGUUCAAGAAGAAGCUUAGGACCGACGGUACUAUUGAAAAGUACAAGGCUAGGCUUGUGGCCAAGGGUUAUACCCAGAAUAUCUGCAUAGACGAGUAAAUAGGUAACUGCGUAAGGAUAUUACCACAUUUUUCAGUUUGUGAAUUGUGCAUAUGAACUUAUAUCUGUGCUACUACAUCAAAUCCUCAGUUAAUCAUAUAAAGAAGACAUUAAAUAGUUGGUUUUCUAUUUCCCUCAUCCAAGAGGCAUCUAGCAAGUGGGCCAACUUAAUAGUGUCUUACAAUAUUGUAAGGCAAAUUAUCAGUCGAAACUAUUACUUGAAAAUUUUGACUUACUUACGAGCCCUUUUACGGUGAUUGGGGAGGUACCACCAGUACUUUAAGGUACCACCCCUGAAUUAUUAGUUAACUAGUUCCCUCAUCCAAGAGGAAUCUAGCACAUGGACCGAGAUAGAAUACUCUCUAAAAAAUAUUAGCUGGAUGAUUUGACUUAUAAUAUUGUGCUAAACUUUUAUGGUUUUGAAAUUCUAAAGAAAAAAGUUUUAUUAAAAUAGUGUCCGGUUCUAGAAAUAUGAAAUUUGGUAUUAAAGGCAAAUUAAUACAGAAUUGCAAAGCAAUUUCCUAGAUCAUAGUUUCUUCAGGAAUGCAACUACAUCUGUAAAAACAAAUAAGGAGACAUCCUACCAAAUGAACGCAAAGAUCACAAAUAGCAGUGGAAUGGAAUAGAUAGUCAGUGCCAAAACUUAUAGAUGAAUCUGCAUUUGGCAACAAAAUAUAUGUGCAUGUACGAAACAGAUGCAUGUCCGGCAAGUCAUGAGAUGAACAUUAUUUUGUGAAGCGUAGGCUAGAGCUGAAAAUCAUAGGAUCUUGAAACCAGCUCAUGAUUUCCGCACAUGUAACUUUUCGACUAGAUGAUUUUUCAUAUAAAAAACUUUUUCAUCUGAGUUAGUAUGCAAAAGUUAUGCCCAUUUUACUAAAUUCUAUAGAGAUUUUGCAAAUAAAGUCGAAAUUCACAUUUGCAAAUUUUCCCAACAACUAGACCACAUAUCACAUGGGAAACUUAUUUUUUUAUUUUUUUGACAUUUUCAUCAUUUUCUUUUAUUUUUUUAAAACUGAAAAGGCGAUCCACCGGGGGGGGGUGGAGUUUGAAAAUGGGACCUUUAGUACCGGUUCGUGCCAUGAACCGGUACUAAUGCCUCAAACCCCAUUAGUACCGGUUGGUGGCCUUUAGUACCGGUUGGUGCCACGAACCGGUACUAAUGGGCAUCGCACCCUUUAGUCCCGGUUCGUGGCACCAACCGGAACUAAAACGUCCAGACGAACCGGGACAAAUGGCCCACGUGGCCCCUGAGCGCACGAACCGGGAUUAAUGCCCCCAUUAGUCCCGGUUCUAGACUGAACCGGGACUAAUGGGCUAACCCGGCCUGGACCAAAGCCCUCUUUUCCACUAGUGCACCAUCAAGAGGUUGUAGCUCAAAUGAUAUGUGUUUUCAUUCUAACUGGCAACCGUAACUCAUAUGUCACUCAAGAUGCUAGAUGUAUGCAGUUAAAUGAUAUAAAUUCUUAUUUCUAGAUCAUAUAAAAAUAUAUUACUCCCUCCGAUCGAUAUUAGUUGACACUGCUUUAGUUUCUCCAUUAAUAGCAUCAGCAUGAAACCCACCGCACACAUUUUUGUCGAACAGCUACUGGUUUUGAGGGAAACCUACUGGUACAGCUAUAACAGUAACAUUAUCAACAAAUGUGCUAAGAAUUUUGAUGCAAGCUGGAACAUGAGAGACCGCACAGUAAGCCAAAACAGAACCACACGGGACAAAGGGUGGUAAAAGCCUAAAGCACGUACCGCACUUUUAUCCUAAGCAUUCAUCGCCGUCAUAACUUGAUUCAGAAGCAUAUCGGCACCUAGAAGAAGAGCAUCCUUGCCUGCACCCGAUAACGUGUCUGCCCAGUACAUUAGCAAAGAACAUAGGUCAACAUGGUCACAGAAGGGGUAACAUAUUUCUAAGAGCAAGAAGUACUGUACAUCCUUCCUAAAAAAACUAUACAGUACUUAUUACAGUCCAUGGUAAGAUCAACUCGCAGGACACACAAGAAGGUAAACCUCCAAUUUUCCUCUGUCUUUCAGAAAACAUGUAGCCAACAAAUAUACAAUGACAUGUAAAAAAGGCUUGGAACAAGAAGAACCGGUGUGUUGAUUCAGUAACAGUAGCAACUAAUACAUUGGCUGGCUGGCUAGUUACAUGCAACGACAGACCAAGUUUAUCACUGACAUAGAACAAGUGAUAUCGUUGGAAAACUGGUACGAGAAAAAUCACAUCAAAAUUAAUUUUAUUGGAACCACAAAAUUUUCUGGUUCUGCAGCUGUAUAAUAAUAUAAUUAGACAAAUAUAAAUUACUUCAAAACAUAAUGACCUUGCCUGCUGUCAAUCGGAGGUAUUAAUCACGCAACAAUCCUAGAAAACUGCCCAAAGGAAAAAAUGUGGAAGUACAGAUGCAAAAUUUGAUAGUUAUUCAUUAGAAAGAGCCACCUUGUUUAUACAUCUUUCUGCUUGUUCGUAGUGGUUGGUGUGCUACUCUCUGAACCUGGAGAUCCUGAGUUUAAAAGGACCUCCAAUUUGACGCGUGAGGUGCUAGGGAACAUGCACUAGUGCAGAACCGGGCAAUAGCACCGGUUCGUAAGGCCCUUUAGUGCCGAUUCCACAACCGGCACUAAAGUGUGGUCACUAAAGGCCCCCCCUUUAGUACCGGUUCAGCACGAACCGGUGCUAAAGGCUAACCACGUGGCACGAGCCAGCUCCCGGGGCCGGGAGUCCUGUAGUACCGGUUGGUAACACCAACCGGUACUAAAUGUUUGUGGGUUUUUGUUUUAUUUUUUAUUUUUCAAUUAAAUUUGUGUUAUCAAUUUAAUUCUUUUUCGUUUGCUGGUAUUUUACGAUACUACACAUUGUACACGUUNNNNNNNNNNNNNNNNNNNNNNNNNNNNNNNNNNNNNNNNNNNNNNNNNNNNNNNNNNNNNNNNNNNNNNNNNNNNNNNNNNNNNNNNNNNNNNNNNNNNNNNNNNNNNNNNNNNNNNNNNNNNNNNNNNNNNNNNNNNNNNNNNNNNNNNNNNNNNNNNNNNNNNNNNNNNNNNNNNNNNNNNNNNNNNNNNNNNNNNNNNNNNNNNNNNNNNNNNNNNNNNNNNNNNNNNNNNNNNNNNNNNNNNNNNNNUAUAUAUAUCAUUAAUGUCUCACAAACCAUCAUAUUAAUUAAUUCACACAUACACACAUGUAUAGCUAUAUACAAUUUCUCCUACAUAUGCAUGUUGCCUUCGGAGCGAGUGGCAUUAGCCUAAUUGGUGCCUUCGGAGCACGAUGACAAUUGGAAGUGGUUUUCAUGGGGCGGUAGCGGGUAAUAGUAUUCUCCCUUCGGAUUUAUGACCUGGUCGAGCAAAAAUCCCGCUAUUUCCUCUUGAAGUGCUUCUACGCACUCCGUUUCUAGGAGCUUCUCCCGCACCUCUUUGAACUGUUAAGAAGGAGAUCAAUAUGCAUGUGUAUUAGUUGUGUGACUAGAUAUCGAUAAUGGUGUAAAAAUUGUGAAUAGUGUUCUGACAAGCGUACCCAUUCCUGUCUUUGAGAUAUGCUCCUUUCGGACGCCAUCAUGCGAAUGUUCUCGCAAACGCAGAAUGCAUACAGAUCAGUCCCCUGCGCGUGCUUCAGGGCCUUUACGAGAAUGGAAUUUGAUCAGAUAAUAAUUAAUCAAGCAUGAUAAUUAAAGAGAUGGCAGCUAGCUAGCUAGCUAGCUAGUACUACUUAAUUACUUACCUUGGGUCGAAACCAUUUAAGCUUUUUUUUCCAUUCGCCUUCCGUGACGCUGAUGAACCUUGCCCAAGCCCUGCCCGCCGACAAAGAAAAUGAAUAAAGGGGUUAUUAAAUAUAGUUCAUAUCAUGAAAAUGAUGAACUAAAUAAGCCGAGAUAUAUAGUUAAUAAUGAUUGAAAUUACCUGUUGACUAUCCCAAACAAGAUGUUAUAGUCAGUUUUUUCUUUGAGUAGUGAGUCCAGUAUUUCAACUGUUCCGGCGUCAACUUUAAUGAUACACAAGACCCAGUGAAAUCUGCAUGCACACACGUUUGCAUGUCUUAAUUAAGCGGGCAUAUGUAAAGCAAAAACAUGUAGCUAGCUAGUAGGCAAAAACAGAGAAUUUGUAGUACAAGACAGUGUGACUCACUGGAAGUUGUAAGGAAGUAGUAUAUCUUCAUUGUAUUUGAGGCGCUUCAAGAACCGUAGCAUGCUGUCCUCUACGGCCUUUUGAUGACGUGCAUCUAUAUUCCAUGUGUAUUCAUUAACGGUGUUUGGGUCAAUGAACCCAAUGCCAAAGCGUCCACCUUUUCUCAUUUCAUACAUCUUCAUCCUGCAUAUAAUACCACAGAAAAGAAUAUAGUGAGGAUAAUUACAGGUAAUGAUUGAUCAAAAGGAUCACCACAGCUAGCUUGAGACUUAAAUUACAGAAAGAAAUCACUUACAGACAAUAGCAACUGACGAUAGAUUUGUCGAGUGCGUCUUGAUUGUAUAACUGAAACAGUUCAGAAUACUCAACGGACACAGCUUUCUCAUGGUAGUAAUGCUCCUUCUUGACAUUCACCAUGAGGGACAAUCGAUCGAAAAUCUUGGUAAUGUUCAUGUACCAUUGAUGCAAUUCAUACAUUCUCGUUGGGAGGUUCUUGAUCUUGUCUGGCUCGACCAAAGGUUUGCCCCGGACAUAUUUCCGUUUUAUUUCAUCCUCUCUAAGCACAGGCAUGGGCUCGAUCUCGAGGAGUUGUCCAACAGUGAUUUUGAGAACUUCAGCCUAUAUUAUAUGGUCCUCCGUUAUUACCACAUUGCCCACCUCAGGAACGUAAACUGUUUGCCCACAAUAAUAUUGGGCGCGCGUACUGUCACGUGUUGUUGGCACAACAAGCGAGGGGAUCGAUUGCGCCUCCUGUUCUCCCACCUGGGGAAUGGUUUUCCCGCAUUUUUUGACAGCUGCUUCUUGUUUGCUCGAUCCCGAGCUCGCCUCCUUACGUAGACGUGCUCGAUUUAACUUCCUGAUGUGGCGCUCAUAGUCUGGGUCAACAAGCUUGGGAGCUGGUGGUUGAGCCAUACGAAUGAAGUGGUCAAUCGUUUCCUCAGGCACUUUCUCCCUUGGCGGCGGUGGCGGUUUCGGUGCAAAUGGGCUUCCACCUUGGACUUCGAUAUGGCUGCGAUUUCCUCCUCGGGCCUGUCAUAAGCCCUCUGUGGAAGAGGUGUGAGGCUUGGACCAUAUUUAUAUCGCUUGCCUCCGCCUGUACUUCCUGUACUACCUCGACUCGUACCGCUACGCACCAUAGCUGCGGGGUGUCUCUUCUGCGAUUGCUGAGGCGGCGGAGACGCCGGCUGACGGGGCUGAGUUGGACGAGGAGGAGUGGCCGCCUGAAGAUGUGCCGGACUUGGAGGAGGAGUGGCCUGAGGUUGUGCUGGACUUGGAGGAGGAGGAGUGGCCUGACACUUUGCCGGACUUGGAGGAGGAGUGGCCUGACACUUUGCCGGACUUGGUGGACUUGCAGGAGCGGGAGACUGCUGACUCGGUGGCGAACUUCGACGAGGAGUCAGAUGACGCGGUGUCGGUGGCCUUCGAAAGAUGAUGCAAUCCUUUUUCCAUAGGAUGAUACGAUGGUUGGAGUCUCCGAGAAAGCGCUCGUCCUCACCUCCAGGAAUGUCAAGCUCUAGCCCCGAAUAUGGCUGCACCACCUCGUCAACCAUGAGACGAGCAUAGCCCUCUGGAAUUGGGAUGCAAUGGUAGAUUGCUUUGGGGGUAACUGGAAAAGCUUCUCCGUCCGCCACCUUCAUGGAUAUGUUCUUCAUUUUGACGUGUAGCUCGCAGCUAGUGUUCUCUGUGAUGUCAUCCACGGGGUAUCUACCCAGCAUUGCGUCGUCCGGGGGGGAACCCACGCUGCUUCUCUGCAUGGAUGGGGCGGUGCUAUCCAAUGCUGGAACAUCCGCUAGCUGUUGCAGCUGCUGAGACCCCCUUUGCUGGCUAAGUGAGUCGAUCUGCUCCUGCUGCCGCUGGAAUUUGACUGCCAAUUCCGCUUGACUUGCUUCUAGGCAUUGAAGGUGUUCAUAUUCCCGCUUCCUCUGCUCCUCCUCCAUCUUCCUCUUCUUCUCCUCCGCAAUCUUCUUUCUCGCACGGGUUCUGUAGUCGUUGUUCCAGUCUGAAAACCCUCAUACCACGGAAUAGCGCCCUUGCCUCGUGUUCUUCCCGGGUGUUCAGGAUUUCCCAGGGCACGCGUAAGCUCGUCGUUCUCUCUGUUGGGCUGGAACACCCCCGAUCGUGCCUCUUCUAUUGCAACAAGUAUCGCAUCGUCGGCUCCGUUCAGACAUGCCUUCGUCGAAACUUUGCCUGUCUUCGGGUCCAACUCCCCCCCAUGCGCAUAGAACCAAGUCCUGCACCUGGGGGGCCAGCUCUUAGUAACCGGAGUGACACCUGCAUCCUCCAUCUCUUUCUCAGACUUAUCCCACUUAGGCAUUGCCACCGCAUAGCCACCUGGCCCGAGCUUAUGGAACUUAUCCUUUUUUUCGGCAUUCUUCUUGUUUAUUCUCGACCGUUCCUUAGCUAAUUCUGAAUCCUUGAAUUUCACAAAAUCAUCCCAAUGAGCACGUUGGUUCUCUAGUGUUCCCUCGAAUACCGGAGUCUUCCUUCCUCCCUUGACGUACUUGUCCCAUUCACGAUUCUUGUGGUUCUUGAAUGCAACCGCCAUCUUCCUAAGAGCAGCGUCCUUGACUUUCUGCACAUCUGCUUCUGUGAAAUGAUCUGGUAGGGUGAAAUGUUCCAUGAGAGUAUCCCAAAGCAGAUCUUUUUGAUUCUUGUCGACAAAAGUAACGUCUGGACGUGGAGCAGCGUCCUCUUUGCCUUUUUGUCCUUUGUCUUUUGCUGGCUCUCUCCAUUCUUGAAGGGAGAUCGGGAGUUGGUCAUUCACAAGAACUCCGCACUGACGAAUGAACAUGUCCGCAAUCUUCUUAGGCGCUAAUGGUUCGCCAUUAGGUCUGACUGCCUCGAUAUUGUACUUUACGCCCUCCUUCAACUUUUUGUUCGGGCCUCGUUUCGUCCUUUUGCCUGAAGAUUUGCUCGACCCGGAUGGAUGAAAGAACAAAGAUCGAUUCGUUAAUAUAUCUUCAAGUCAUUUAAAACAUGUGAUGAUCACCAGAAACCUGCUUAUAUAAAUAUAUAUACCUCGCCGGUCUUUGUUGUUUCAGGAUCAACAUGUUCUUUGUCAUCGUCAUAAUCGUAGUUCAUGACUUCAUCAAUUCGGUUGUCGCGAUCGAAUAUCAUAUCACCCUCUCCGGUGUUGUUUAGAAAUUCGGAGCUGUCAUAAUCUUCUUCAUUCUGAUUAUCAUUUGGCCCGCGUAUCAUAUCGAACAUGGUCUGUUCUCCCUCUCUGUCGGUAUUGUCUGCCAUAGAUUUUAUUUAACUAAUUCAAAAGAAAUAUAAAAUAAUUUAGUAUUCAAAUUACAUCGUCUCGAAUAAUAGAUACAAUCUCGAAUACAUCGUCUCGAAUAAUAUAUAAUAUUGAAUAGUACAUCACUGGCUAGCUAAUUAAAGAUCGAAUACUACAGAAGAAUCUAGGACACUCGUGGUUCCUGCGUCGCGGGCGGUGGACACCCAAAGAGAAGGAACCCUCUCAGGAUCAUAGCUGAUGUGAGAUCCCUGAAGAUACUGCCAGGUAUUGGAGAACCUGCCGCCCUCUAACGCAACCAUGUAGCGAUGGACGUGCUCGUCCUCCUCCCUGACACGGCGACGUAUCUCCUCCGGCGGGGCCGGGUCCCUCCGCACCGAGACUGGCCCACGCGAACGCCACCAAACGAGAUCAGGGUCGACGACGGGACCCGGGGCCGGGUUCCUCAUCAAGCGGCGCUCCCCUCCAGGCAGUACCUCCCAGUGCCAGCCCGGCGGAGCCCAGUCCCGGACAUGGGCCGGCUGGACGUCGUCGCGGACGGGUCGAAGACGAGGAUGCGGGCCGGGCAUCGUCGAUAACAAAUACUAGCUAUAUGCCCGGAAAAAGUAAUAUUUUUUUAAUGAUUGGAUUUUGAUAACUAAAAUUUAUAACAUUUCUACUAUUUCAAAAAUCUAUAUACUAUUUCAUACUAAUUAAGCAUCUAACACUAAAAACAUAAAAAAGAAUUUCUAUACAUCCAUUAAAAAACAGAAAAACAACAUUAUAUAAAAAAAUUCCAUACUAAUUAAACACUAAUUAUAUCCAUCUAACAUGCAUUCAUACAUAUAUACUAGUGAAAAAACAAUAAUCUAAAAAAUCUAAACUAAUUAAACAUACAAAAUCUAAACUAAUUAAAUAUAUACGUGUAUGUGUGUGUGUGUGUGUGUUCAUCAUGCUUGUGUGUGUGUGUAUGGGCUCGGGGAGGGGCGGCGCCCAUGGUGGCCGCCGGGGGCGAGGGAGAGNNNNNNNNNNNNNNNNNNNNNNNNNNNNNNNNNNNNNNNNNNNNNNNNNNNNNNNNNNNNNNNNNNNNNNNNNNNNNNNNNNNNNNNNNNNNNNNNNNNNNNNNNNNNNNNNNNNNNNNNNNNNNNNNNNNNNNNNNNNNNNNNNNNNNNNNNNNNNNNNNNNNNNNNNNNNNNNNNNNNNNNNNNNNNNNNNNNNNNNNNNNNNNNNNNNNNNNNNNNNNNNNNNNNNNNNNNNNNNNNNNNNNNNNNNNNNNNNNNNNNNNNNNNNNNNNNNNNNNNNNNNNNNNNNNNNNNNNNNNNNNNNNNNNNNNNNNNNNNNNNNNNNNNNNNNNNNNNNNNNNNNNNNNNNNNNNNNNNNNNNNNNNNNNNNNNNNNNNNNNNNNNNNNNNNNNNNNNNNNNNNNNNNNNNNNNNNNNNNNNNNNNNNNNNNNNNNNNNNNNNNNNNNNNNNNNNNNNNNNNNNNNNNNNNNNNNNNNNNNNNNNNNNNNNNNNNNNNNNNNNNNNNNNNNNNNNNNNNNNNNNNNNNNNNNNNNNNNNNNNNNNNNNNNNNNNNNNNNNNNNNNNNNNNNNNNNNNNNNNNNNNNNNNNNNNNNNNNNNNNNNNNNNNNNNNNNNNNNNNNNNNNNNNNNGUGAUGCGCGGGGGCGGCGACGCAGGGACGGCGCGACGGGGAAGGGCCCAGGGCGGCGACGGAGACGAGGGCGGCGACGGGGACGGGGACGGGGGCGGCGACGGGGACGGGGGCGGCGAUGGCGACGGGGUCGGUGACGGCGUCGAUCGAUCGGGGCGGGCGGUUCAAUGGGGAAAUAGAGGAAGAAACAGAGGGAGAAUGAAAUUUUUCGAAGUGUUGUAUAUAUAGAAGGCACCUUUAGUACCGGUUGAAGCCACCAACCGGUACUAAAGGUCUGUUUUGGCCAGGCCAAGCGGCGGGAAGCGCACCCCCUUUAGUACCGGGUGGUGGCUCCAAUCGGUACUAAAGGCCCCCCCUUUAGUACCGGUUUGUGCCACCACCCGGUACUAAAGGGGGUGCGCUGGCGCAGGUGCGGUGCGGCAAGUUUAGUCCCACCUCGCUAGCCGAGGGGCGACCGCACUGGUUUAUAAACCCUCGUGCGAUCGCUCUCUCGAGCUCCUCUCCAAAGCAGGCCUACUGGGCCUACGUGUUCUUUGCUGCCCUGUUGGCCCACUUGGCCUUUGCGGGCCUGCAUCCUGGCCCAACAACAGGUUGGGUUUCUAGUCGUAUGCAGGCCGCUACAGCCUAGUAGGCGGGCUUUUUUUUGCUUUAUUUAUUUUUGUGUUGUUUUUUUGUGUAUUUAGAGUUUCUUUGUGAAUAUUUUUGCUUUAGGUACAAAAAAUUACAAACUUUCUGUUAGUGCCCGUAGUUUUCAAAUUUGAAUAGUUUAAAUUUUGAAUUAUUUGAAAUUAGUGUGAAUCACUAGUUUGUGAAUAAUUUAACUUUAAAAAUCAUUAAAGGCAUGAAAGAAUUUGUUUGCACAUAAAAUUUCUUCGCGUUUCAAAUGCCAAAACACAUAACUACCCUAACUAUUACAGAGAUUCCCCUCUGGGUGUGAAACACAAAAGAAAGUGAUGAUAGUGAAGCCGAUCACAUCCCAGAUCUUUGGGUGUGAAACUUUUUCUUCGCGUGUGUCCCUUUGCACCGUAACCAUGGAAAAUCUUCAUCAUUUAACGGGAUGCUCGGGUCAAUAUUCACUGUGAAUGGAGAAAUUUCAUCAAACUUUUCAUAAUCUUCUGACUUGUCUGUCUUGUCAUCCACUCCCACGAUGUUUCUCUUCCCAGAAAGAACUAUGUGCCGCUUUGGCUCAUCGUACGAUGCAUUCGCUUCCUUAUCUUUUCUUUUUCUUGGCUUGGUAGACAUGUCCUUCACAUAGAAAACCUGUGCCACAUCAUUGGCUAGGACGAAUAGUUCGUCUGCAUACACAAGAUUGUUGAGAUCCACUGUUGUCAUUCCAUACUGCGGGUCUUCCGUUACCCCGCUUCAUGUCAUAUUGACCCAUUUGCACCAAAACAAAGGGACCUUUAAACCACGUCGAUAGUCAAGUUCCCAUAUGUCCCGUAUAUAACCAUAAUAUGUUUCCUUUCCCGUCUUGGUUUCUGCAUCAAAGCGGACACCACUGUUUUGGUUGGUGCUCUUCUUAUCUUGGGCGAUCAUGUAAAAUGUAUUAUCAUUUAUCUCGUACCCUUUGAAAGUCAUUAUAUUCGAAGAUGGUAACUGGGACAGCAAGUACAUGUCAUCUUGAAUAGAGGUGUCAAGCAUGGUACGUGUCUGCAACCAGCUGGCGAAACUCCUGGUUUGUUCACGUGUAAUCCAGUCAUGAGACCGCUCCGGGUGUUUGGCGCGUAGCAAAUUCUUGUGUUCAUCCAUAUACGGAGCCACCAAGGCGGAAUUCUGUAGAACUGUGUAGUGUGCUUCAGUGAGAGAAUGUCCGUCCAUACAUAUUAUUUGUUCCCCUCCUAGCGUGCCUUUUCCAUCCAGUCUGCCCUUAUGCCGCGAUUCAGGAACACCAAUCGGCUUAAGGUCAGGAAUAAAGUCAAUACAAAACUCAAUGACCUCCUCAUUUUGAUGGCCCUUGGAGAUGCUUCCUUCUGGCCUAGCACGGUUAUGAAUAUAUUUCUUUAAGACUCCCAUGAACCUCUUAAAGGGGAACAUAUUGUGUAGAAAUACAGGGCCCAAAACGUUAAUCUCUUCGCAUAGGUGAACUAGGACGUGCGUCAUGAUGUUGAAGAAGGAUGGUGGGAACACCAACUCGAAACUGACAAGACAUUGCACCAAAUCAUUCUGUAACCUUGGUAUGAUUUCUGGAGCGAUUACCUUCUGAGAGAUUGCAUUGAGAAAUGCACAUAGCUUCACAAUGUCUAAUCGAACGUUUUCCGGUAGAAGCCCCCUCAAUGCAACCGGAAGCAGUUGCGUCAUAAUCACGUGGCAGUCAUGAGACUUUAGGUUCUGGAACUUUUUCUCUUCCAUGUUUAUUAUUCCCUUUAUAUUCGACGAGAAGCCAGACGGUACCUUAAUACUGAGCAGGCAUUCAAAGAAGAUUUCCUUCUCUUCUUUGGUAAGAGCAUAGCUUGCAUGACCCUGAUAUAUGCCGUCUUCUCCGUGCAUACGUUGCUGGUCCUCCCGUGCCUCAGGUGUAUCUUUUGUCUUCCCAUACAUGCCCAAGAAGCCAAGCAGGGUCACGCAAAGAUUCUUCGUCACGUGCAUCACGUCGAUUGCGGAGCGGACCUCUAGGUCUUUCCAAUAUGGCAGGUCCCAAAAUAUAGAUUUCUUCUUCCACAUGGGUGCGCGUCCGUCAGCGUCCUUUGGAACAGGUUGUCCGCCAGGACCCUUUCCAAAUAUCACCUUCAAAUCCUUGACCAUAUCAUGUACAUCAGCACCAGUACGGUGGCGAGGCUUCGUCUGGUGAUCCGCCUCACCUUUGAAAUGCUUGCCUUUCUUUCUUACGGGAUGCGUGCUCGGAAGAAAUCGACGAUGUCCCAGGUACACAUUCUUCAUACAACUAUUCAAAUAUAUACUGUCGGUAUCAUCCAAACAGUGCAUGCAUCCGCGGUCUCCCUUGUUUGUCUGUCCUGAAAGGUUACUGAGAGCAGGACAAUCAUUGAUGGUCACGAACAACAACGCCUUUAGGUCAAAUUCUUCCCCCAUGUGCUCAUCCCACGCAUGUACACCUGUUCCAUUUCACAGUUGUAAGAGUUCUUCAACUAAUGGCCUUAGGUAUGCAUCAAUGUCGUUGCCGGGUUGCUUAGGGCCUUGGAUGAGCACUGGCAUCAUAAUGAACUUCCGCUUCAGGCACAACCAAGGAGGAAGGUUAUACAAACAUAGAGUCACAGGCCAGGUGCUAUGGUUGCUACUCUGCUCCCCAAAAGGAUUAAUGCCAUCUACGCUUAGACCAAACCAUACGCUCCUUGCGUCAUCUGCAAACUCCUUCCCGUACUUUCUUUCGAUUUUUCUCCACUGCGACCCAUCAGCUGGUACUCUCAACUUUCUGUCUUUCUUAUGGUCUUCUCUGUGCCAUCGCAUCGCCUUGGCAUGCUCUUUGUUUUGGAACAAACGUUUCAACCGUGGUAUUAUAGGAGAAUACCACAUCACCUUGGCAGGAAUCUUCUUCCUGGGGCGCUCGCCCUCGACAUCACCAUGCUCAUCGUGGCUGAUCUUAUAGCGCAAUGCACCACAUACCGGGCAAGCGUUCAAAUCCUCGUACUCACCGCGGUAGAGGAUGCAAUCAUUAGGGCAUGCAUGUAUCUUCUGCACCUCUAACCCUAGAGGGCAGACAGCCUUCUUUGCUUCGUACGUACUCUCGGGCAAUUCAUUGUCCUUUGGAAGCAUAUCCUUUAUCAUUACCAGCAACUUUCCAAAUCCCUUGUCAGAUACACCAUUCUCUGCUUUCCACUGCAGCAAUUCCAGUGUGGUGCCCAGCUUUUUCUUGUCACCUACGCAAUUCGGGUACAACAAUUUUUUGUGAUCCUCUAACAUGCGCUGCAACUUCUUCUUCUCCAAAUCACUUGCGCAGUUUCUCUUUGCAUCGGCAAUGGCCCGACCUAGAUCAUCAACGGGCUCAUCUGAUGCCUCUUCUUCAGCUUCUUCCCGCAUUGCCGGCCCAACUUCUUCCCGCAUUACCGGCUCAGCUUCUUCCCCCAUUGUUGUAUCAUCGUAUUCAGGGAACCCAUGGCCAGGAUAGCUGUCGUCGUCCUCUUCUUCUUCAUUGUCUUCCAUCAUAACCCCUCUUUCUCCGUGCUUGGUCCAAACAUUAUAGUGGGGCAUGAAACCGGACUCAAACAGGUGGACGUGAAUGGUUCUUGACGUAGAGUAAUUGCGACCAUUCUUACAGCCAGCACAUGGACAAGGCAUAAAACCAUCCGCCCGCUUGUUUGCCUCAGCCGCAAGCAGAAAAAUAUGCACGCCCUCAACGAACUGGGGAGAGCAUCGGUCAUCGUACAUCCAUUGCCGGCUCAUCUUCAUUACACAACACCGAAUAGACCAAAUUAAUACAAGUUCAUACAUAAAGUUCAUACAACACUUAAAUGCAACAAACAAAUAACUCUCUAGCUAAAGCAUUUAAAUGCAACAACAAAUGCGAUCAAGAUCGCAACUAAGGUAACAAUUGAUCCAACAGCAUAAUGAUACCAAGCCUCACUAUCGAUGGCAUAUUUUCUAAUCUUUUUAAUCUUCAAGCGCAUUUUCUCCAUCUUGAUCUUGUGAUCAUCGACGACAUCGGCAACAUGCAACUCCAAUUCCAUCUUCUCCCCCUCAAUUCUUUUCAAUUUUUCUUUCAAGUACUCGUUUUCUCUUUCAACUAAAUUUAACCUCUCGACAAUAGGGUCGGUUGGAAUUUCCGGUUCACAUACCUCCUGGAUAAAAAUAUCUAUGUCAACUUGAUGGGCAUAAUUUGUCAUAAACACGAAAUGCAACAAAUAGUUUUAAAAAAGAAUAUACCACAUCCGAAUCAUAACAAGGACGAGGGCCGACGGGGACGGAUAUCAAAACCAUGGCACUAUGUAUAACAAACAACGUACGGGUAAGAUAAUUAUUAUACGAGUAACUAUAUAUCCAAAUCACACAAACAUCAAUUUUUUAUAUAAAAUUUCAUGAACAAGAGGCUCACCACAAGGUGGUGCCGGCGACGGGACGGUGCGGGCCAUCGACGGUGGUUACGACAGAGAUUUAGAAGGCACUAAGUAAACCACACCUACAUAUGCAAACUAAGUGUUAUUUUGACCUCAAAUUGCAUAUAAAUCAAAUACUAGCACAUAUAUAUAUAUAUUUCCUCCCAAAUUACUAAACUCACAAAUUAAUAACUAUAUGAACCAAUGCAAGAGCUAAUCUAGCAAUGAGAGAUGAAAGGACAAAGUUGCUAACCUUUGUGAUCACUUGAAUGGAUGGGGGCCUUCAAAUCUUGACAAAUUUUGGGCAAAAUGUGUGAUGAGCUCGAGGGGAGAAGAGGAAGAACAGAGAGGAGAGGAGAGGGGAAAGGGGGAAGAACAGAGCGAGCUGGACGAAGGGUUUAUAUGCAGGAGGACCUAUAGUACCGGUUCGUGGCACGAACCGGUACUAAAGGUGCUGGAGGGGGCCCAGACUGACAACAUCCUGCCACCACCCUCAUUAGUACCGGUUCGUGGCACGAACCGGUGCUAAAGGUUAGCCACGAACCGGUGCUAAAGGCUAGCCGUUGGAACCGGCACUAAUGUAUACAUUUGUGCCGGCUCUAAUACAAACCGGCACUAAUGUGCAGCACCCUCCUCCAGCACGCCCCUAUUGGGCUGGCCAAUGAGCGGGACCGGACACCCCAAUUUUUUUAUUUUGUUUGAUUGCUUUUACUUUUUUCCGUUUUUUAUUUUUUUAAUCUUUGAAAUUAUUGCGAAUUUAAAGAAGUUCCAAAUUUCAAAAUAGUGAAUUUUUGAAAAAUGUUCCAGAAAUAAUAAGAUGUUCAUGGUUUAAGAAAUUUUCAUAACCUCACUGUCUUGCAUACAAACUUGGCACAAUCAACAUGUGAUCCAUACGUAGUUUUCUCAUCAAGGUUACUGCCCUCUCUUCAUCCUAAUGCAUUUCACACAGAAAAAAUGUGUCUUGUUAAUGACGCCUCUUGAUAUCCAGAAGCGAGCCAACUGUCGGAGCACUAAGGAGGCCCUUGUUGCGCCACAAUUUGGCUACGCGACACCGCGAUAACUAUCAUCCUUUUGUUAUGACGAACAAUUGCUUUACGAGCAAAGAAACAAUUAUUCCUCGUUUUCGUAGAGGAGCGAUGACCUUUUUUAAGUGCAAAAACAAAGUUUAACCAAACUCUAGGGCUGCUAGAGCUUGGCAGAGAAACAAACAUAAGAAAAACCACGCAUGCAUCUCCCUCAAAUGCCCAGGUUUUCGCUAAUUACAAGCGCUCGUAGAAACCAGUUUACUCAAUUCCGCGUGGAUGAUCAGAUACGUAACACCCUCGUGCUGCUCGUGGAUGAAGUUUGUGCUGACUCAUCAUCGACGGUGGCCGCGGCAAGAUGCAUCGAUCUGCUCCAUGCCGCUCCACUCGCUUACGGCGGCGAAUUACAGGCAGGGGAUUCCAGCGUCACCUCACGUACUACUAUUAAUGUGACCUUUACCUAACACUAUUAGUGUGAGUGUGACCUUUAACUAACACUACUACUAGAAGUACUAUGAGUAAUAAAUGAUGUUUACUCGAUCUAUUUCUAUGCCUAACCAUAUACAGUAUAUCUUAGGACUUUAAAGCGACGGAUGUGGACACCCAUGUUUGUUGAGGUGUUGCCAUCCCCGAUCGAUCCGUGAUGGCUCUAUAAAUGUGUUCGUCAAAAAGCAGCUAGUUCUAAGUGCCAAACACAAAGAACGAAGGAACCAUGGCUGCUCUGAAAGCUCUCAUAUGCGUCGUGUUACUACUUGGAGUCAUCGGCUUCGCCUCCCCUCACAUCUCGGCGGGGCGUAUCGCUCCGGUGGUUGCUCCGGCAGUCCAUUGUGCAUCGACUGCCGAACCGAGCAUCGUAUCUACUGUAACAGGUGAGUUUAAUUGUUACUUAGUUUUUUUUGCACAAGCUCGUACGUGACCCUUGCCGCUCGUACGUGACCCUUGCAGCGGCCGUGAUAUCUAUCUGCUAUGAAUAGGAGGAUGCAGUGGUAGCGCUCCAGCUACCACAGAAGAGAAGGGACUGCUGCCUUCGAGAGCAUCUUCCUUCCGCCCCGCCUCCCACCGUCGCAUGAAAACCUGCUGAAAGUUCCACCAGGAAGCACCCCCUAAGGUGAAGGAAAAACAAGAUGGAACCACUAAGUCAUAAUAUUGAAUAAUGAUGUAACAGUUUUGGUUAUCGUGCAUGUAUGCCACCAUGGGGAGCCACGUAUGUUUCAAUUCACUGGUCUGUUCCGACAUACUCCUAUAUGUUUUAAUAGCAACUCGAUCGUUGAAAUGUUACAUCGAGUUUAUUAGCAGAAGUUUUAUGCUAGCUCCGGGGAAACGUUCGAUCAAAUUUCUUGCUACAAAUUCUUAUGCUCCAAAUUUAGCACUAAAAGAAAUUUUGAAUGACAGACGCAAAUAUCAAAAAUGGAGUGGCUGUAAGUUCAAAGAACAAACAAAAAUGUGCUCGAUUUUGUGAUGAUAUGGGUCGAGAAGCCACAUGUUCGUUGUAACCAAUAAUUGUGCACCUGAUGGAGUUCAUCCUAGGAAAAGGUCACAUGUCUUCUCAAAAAAGAAAUGAAAAGGUUAGAUGUUAACACCCUAGAGAACUGGGGUGAACUUCCAAACAACCUGGUAAACCAUGCUAUAGAAUAUAUUUAGCUUCUCUUAGUCAAUCCUGUAGUUUACCAACUUCCAAGGCACAGAAUAUUUGUGUAGGUCAUUUUCCUCAAAAUAUCUGCAUAGACGAGUAAAUAGGUAACUUCGUAAGGAUGUUACCACAUUUUUCAGUUAGUGAAUUGUGCAUAUGAACUUAUCUCUGUGCUACUACAUCAAAUCCUCAGUUAAUCAUAUAAAGAAGACAUUGAAUAGUUGGUUUUCUAUUUCCCUCAUCCAAGAGGCAUCUAGCAAGUGGGCCAACUUAAUAGUGUUUUACAAUAUUGUAAGGCAAAUUAUCAGUCGAAACUAUUACUUGAAUAAUUUGACUUACUUACGAGCCCUUUUACGGUGAUUGGGGAGGUACCACCAGUACUUUAAGGUACCACCCCUGAAUUAUUAGUUAACUAGUUCCCUCAUCCAAGAGGAAUCUAGCACAUGGACCGAGAUAGAAUACUCUCUAAAAAAUAUUAGCUGAAUGAUUUGACUUAUAAUAUUGUGCUAACCUUUUAUGGUUUUGAAAUUCUAAAGAAAAAAGUUUUAUUAAAAUAGUGUCCGGUUCUAGAAAUAUGAAAUUUGGUAUUAAAGGCAAAUUAAUACAGAAUUGCAAAGCAAUUUCCUAGAUCACAGUUUCUUCAGGAAUGCAACUACAUCUGUAAAAACAAAUAAAGGAGACAUCCUACCAAAUGAACGCAAAGAUCACACAUAGCAGUGGAAUGGAAUAGAUAGUCGGUGCCAAAACUUAUAGAUGAAUCUGCAUUUGGCAACAAAAUAUAUGUGCUUGUACGAAACAGAUGCAUGUCUGGCAAGUCAUGAGAUGAACAUUAUUUUGUGAAGCGUAGGCUAGAGCUGAAAAUCAUAGGAUCUUGAAACCAGCUCACGAUUUUCGCACAUGGAUAGUUGCCUUCCACACACCCCUGUCCAUGGCUAGUCUGCAAACUACGUCUUAUGAUGAACCCAAGGAUAUAUGUUUAGCAUUCUAUAUGUAAGUAUUUUUGUCCACAACCUUGGUCAAAGUUUGUGAGGUUUCACUUUUCAAAACAAGUUAUAUACACUAUAUUAUGAAACAAAGGGAAUACGUACUUACGUGGUAACUGGAAAUCACAUCGACGGCCAAUCAGAAAGUUUUCAAUUAGCCUCACUGGCUCCUUGCACGCGGCCUCCCCGCACACGGCUCGCUGUUGCGUGCCGCCCCACUUGCUGCUAGCCCUCCAGAAUAACAAUUGAUUUCAGUGUAUAAUGUACUGUUUUCAUAUAAAAUAACAAUUGAACAAAAACAUGUGUCUUGCCCGUCUAACGCCAUCCUCAACAACAGAAACCUGACACUCUACAGCACCUAAGACUAACGCCCCAGAAUCUUAAUCCUAUCUAGUGAUCUCGAAAUGAAUUUCUUGAAUGUUGGACCGUGUGGUUUGGCUUGGUUGGUGAGGGAGAUAAAUAAGCACGCCAGCAUAAUUUGACAAAAAUGCUGCGCUAGCGACACAUCCAGGGCGGCAGAAAAAGCCUCCUCCCCCCGUGCGGCGGCGACGCGCCGCACGGGGGCCAACCCGCCGGGCCUCCUCCUCCCCCCAGCGAACGACUCUCUUGUCGCCGCUGAGAGCGUCGCAGGCUAAGCAUGCGUGCCACAACGGCGGCCGCGGCAAUCUUCCUCUCACCGGCGAUCAUAUCUGAGUGGUGGCGAUCCAUUUUUGAUGAUUCAAGGGCGGUGGCGCGGGCCGGCGGCGACCAGGGUUGUCAUCUUGGCGGCAGCGGCGACGGAAUCGUGGGGGCGGCUAGGGCGCCCGAUCUACAUCCAUAUCGGAUUUGGGUGGUGGUGCUCCUCAGGCCGUCAUGCGUAUUCUUUGUUCCGCCGCAGCAAGGGCCUUUGGACUAGGCCAGCGACAUGAGGACGUCGGGGGCUCCGGCCCUGAGCGCGGAGGUGGUGGCCAUCCUCUUCGCCGGAGGUGGUCGGCUCGAGGGUCGUGGCUUCUCGCGUCCAGUCCCGGCGUCGUGCGGGGAGGCGAGGCUGCCGGUGAAAACCGUGCUAUGACUCCGGUCAUGUUGGGCGAUGGCGGCGUCUUUGCGUCGUUAUCUUGUUGAAGACAUUGCAACUCCAGCUUCCGUCGACUUGCUUGCGCUGCUCUUGGUGAAAACCUAGAACCGGGAUUCCCGGAUAGGACGAUGGCGCCGCUUUUGGCGUCCUUCUCCCUCAUGGGGGCAUCGUUUUUGAGCAACAGCUGGACGGAGGAGACAAGUGGUGGAGCGGUUUUACAUUUACCAUGUUGGUGACGGCGGAUCUCGACGGCGUGGUGCAGUGGAGACUUGGUGCCCGAUGCGCGGUGAUGGACUCGCGCAGGAGGGUGACGCUGUGUGGCGUCAUUGUGGCGUCGAUGGCAGCGAGAUUGGGCAAGGUAGAUGCAACAGUAUAGCUCUGAAGAUGGAUUGGUGGCAGGUGGUUGCGGCGGCCUCAUACCCGGCAGGCGUCCUGAUUGAGGAGCACGCCGGACUGGUGGGUGUCCCAUACCUGGCAGGCGUCCUGGUUGAGACCUCAGAUCUUAGAUGUUAGAUUUGGCUGGGAGGUCUGUUUGGUAUUAGGCCCAGACUAUCAGCAUCCCUUCAUCAACUGGAUAGAAGUAGCGACAGAUGUUGCCUAGACGGUGGCUUUAGUUUUACUAUUGUAUGACUUCAUAAGGUCUUGUGUCUAUAAUUAAUAAACGGGCUGUAUGCAUCGUCCAGAUGCAGAAGUUGGGGGUCUUCCUCCUUUUCUAAAAAAAAUAAUAAUUCGACAAAAUAAUCCCAAUAGUAAAAUGACCAUACGAGUUAUGGUCAGAAGAAUGACCAUACAAGUUACGGUCAGAAUGACGAGCAUAAUUUUUCGUAUAAAAUUCUGGCAGCAGCAAACUGGUGAGCUGGCUGGCCGAGCCUAUAACUAUGGCUUGCCAGGGUGUCAAGGUCGGCUUGGCUCAGUCCAUGUCCAAGGUGAGAUGAGCUUCUAGGAAUGUAGGGCCGAAACCGACUCUGCUUGACCCCAGGUUUAGGCAUGUACAGUACUCAAUGCUUCUUGAUCAGGGUUUGAAGAGGAUAAUAGCAUCGUGUCUCAAAAAAAUGUAUCGGAGUUUAAACAAAAAUAUGUUACUUGCCCGUUUAACGCCUUCCUCGACAACGGUAUACUGCACACAAGAGCAACCUGACACUCGCUAUGCCCCACACCCUUAAUCCUAUCUAGUGAUCUUCAAAAGAAUUUCUUGAAUGUUCAACGGUGUGGCUCGGCAUAGCUGGUGAGGGACAUUAAUAAGCAUGCGAGCAUAAUUUGACAAAAAAAUCCCAACAGUAAAAUGAGAAUGACAAUACGAGUUAGGGUCAGAAGAUGGAGCAAUUCUGAUAUUGUUUAUUCUAUCCUGAAACGUCCAUUGCUGAUUACAAUGGUCUCAUGAGUCAUGACUAGCAGACUCAGGCCUGCCUAUGUAUUGCACAUAGUUGUAGACAAGCAAUAGCAAUGUUGCGAGUAAAUUAGUUAACUAACAUUGUCGCCAAACUUUCGUCUGGAUCCUCUGUUUGACGGCUCCGAGGUCUCUUGUCACGCAGUGCAUGAAAUGUACAGUUGAUCAUCAAGGUAGAAAGCAGCAUUUAUGUUAUGUUAUGCUCCAAAUUUAGAUACAUUAAAACUGAGAACCAUCCCAGCCCUCUCAGGGCAUCAGCAUUUCUAAUAGUUGGAUUGCCACUAUUAAUCAUUUUCGGCCGUCGGAUUUGUUGUUAGUCCCACCUAAAUCUCCUGUGCAGGCUAACUCGCACAUCAGGCUACGCUAAACUUUUCGGGCCACUGCUUCUGUGGCUUUUUUGGGUGUCUUACGUUCAAUUUGGCCUACUAGCCUACUGGACCUAUACAUUAAAACUGAGAACCAUCCCAGCCCUCUCAGGCCAUCAGCAUUUCUAAUACUCGCUCCAUUUUUGUAUACAAGGCCACAAAGCCAUAUUACAGGUACGAAGGCAAAAAUUAAUGUCAUCUGAGUCAAUGUUGCAAGCCACCUUGUUUCUUUGUUUGCCGUGUAAAUUAAUGUGUAUUCUUCUCUUUCAUGCACAUCAAGCCAAUGCUCACACUCCCGCACAUAUGCAAGGGAUAUUUAAUGUCCUCUGCUAGUACUACGAGGCGAACACCAUUAAUGUUGGGGAUAUUACUACUGAGCGUAAACCGGCCCGUCUGGGCCGAGUUAACUUCAUCAGUAGAUCAACAGUGUAGAAGCCCAAGAGGCAUGAGAAUAAGGGCCCAAGGCCUGUAGCCGGUUUAGCACCUGUAGCUAUAAACCGGCCCGGUAUGUAAACUUGUACCAUAAGUUAGGAAUAGAGAGAGACCAACCCGGAUGUGUAUGAACCGGAGAUUGGGACUCUCUGAACCGACGGGCGUCACCCAUCUAUAUAAGGGGACGACCCGGGACGGUUCAAGGACAACAACCCGAGGCCUAGGAGAAGCUUAUUUGCUCCCUAGUCAUCGAGAUCACAUCAAUCCCAUCACAACUAGACGUAGGCUUUUACCUUCAUCGAAGGGGCCGAACUAGUAUAACUCUGUGUCUUUGCGUCCGCUUUAACCCCUUCAAGUUAAACCGUAGCGAUGGCUCCACGACUAAGUCCUUUCAUGAGGACAUCUGCCGUGACAAAACCACGACAGUUGGUGCCCACCGUGGGGCUAUCGCACGAUAGUUUGAUGAUCUUGCAGGGCAAGUUCGACGGACUCGAAGGCUAUGCCGUGGGCCGGCUGACCAAGAGUCGUCGCGGCAAGCUCUACAUCGACGACGCAGGAUGGGGCCCCGAGGCCGGUUCAAUCGAGUACGGAUACCGGGUCCCCUUUGGUGGCAUCCACGUUUUCAUCGGCAAGAUCGGAGAGCCAGGGCCUGAGCUGGACAUCUGCACCGACCUCGUCGAGACAACUCAGCGUACGAGAUCUGCCCAAGCUAAACCGGCCGUGAGGCGUGCCUUUGUGGGAGUUAUCCACGGAGGAAGUCACGAGGGAGGAUCAGAAUCUGGUACUGAAACUGUCGUUUGCUCUGACGACGAAUCAUCAACCGGAGAGACGGAAUCUCUGUAUCAGCUACAAGAUGGCCGGAUUGGGGGCUGUUCCGAUGGUGACAGUAUUUCGGACCCCUCUGAUCUACCCAACCUGGUUGGAAUAUUCAUGGCUGGUACACAAGCAGUGCUUCAUUCUUCGACGGCUGCGGCGACAAUAGCCGGUUCAACAGCGGCGACGGCUGCCGGAGCAGGAGGCCCCGUGCGCCCGCCAGCUCAAGUUUUAUCAGAUCUGUUCGAUGUGUUGGCUGCCCUCAUGGCAGAAGUUAACCCGGCAGAUCAGGAUGCUCACGAUGCGGAGAUUGCAAGAGUGAAGGAACAAAUCGCCCAGGCCAAAGCGGAUCUGGCAGCUGCUGACGCCAGGAUGACGGCAGAGCGGGCCGCUUUAGAUGCACAGGCUUAUAGGCUCAUGUUGGAUCAGAACGCGUCGCAUGAAGUCAUGAAGAGGAAAUAUAGAUCCCGUUUGCCUUCAGGUUUCGGAGGAAGAGACCUUUUCAACACCCCCAGAGCAGAAACCAGUAAUCCACCAGCAGUAAACCGGACGGAAGCGCCUGGGAUGGCCGCGCCGGUUCAACCCCUUUUUAUAGAUCUGCCUCGUCAUAACGCCGGAGUGCCUCAGGCUGUGCAAACACCUCCGGGCCACUACUCCAAUCCGUUGGAUAACCUUGUUGCAGCUGCGGCGUGAUUGGAAGCUAUUCCAGUUGAAGGUGAUUCACCACAGGCAGUAGAGACGCGCCGGGUUAAGAGACUCCUUAGAACAGCCUUAGUUCAACAGGAAGCAUACUCAUACAGCCGCGACCGGAUCCACUCUACCCCCCGCCCAAGUCGGAGCUAUAGCAGGCGCGUGGAUGAACCGGCCGUAUCAAGUAAUGAACGGCGUGGUGCGCCCCGUGGCAACCACCCGACAGGUGGUGUUGAUAAUGCCCAGGAGGUAGUAGACCGGGCCCGGACACGCAGGGAGGCCGAGUUAGCAGCACAACACCAAGCAUAUCAGCCUACGCCGGUUCGUCCAACCGUAUCGAUCGAGCCUGGCCUUUCCUCUAGUUCGCUGGGGGUACCUUGCCUCGCCCCCGCUUUACGCAAAGUACGCUUGCCCAAAGACUUCAAAGGUCCGCGCAAGGUGCCGAAUUACACUGCCGAUUUAGCUCCAGAAGCAUAGAUAGAAAGCUAUGAAAUGGCCAUGGAGAUGCUGGAUGUGGACGAGGCCGCGUGUGCAAAGUACUUCACCAUGAUGCUCGAAGGCACGGCCCGUACUUGGUUGAAGAGCUUACCACCCAAUUCUAUCAGUUCAUGGGCCCAACUGCGAACCCGGUUUAUCCAGAAUUUCAAAGAUACAUGUAAACAGCACAUGUCCAUAGUGUGCAAAGAAAUUCUGCCUUCAUCAGACCGGAUCAACGCGGAUUCUGCGAUCAUAACCCUGGAGGGUAAUUGCCGGUUUACGCCUUUAAAAUUAAAGUUGGGACGCAUGAAGCGGUUUUGUAAUGACAUGGGCACUCUCAUGGGCGCUUUAGUGAAGUAUGCUGAUUCUGAUAGUACCAAGGAUCCCGAGUCUGACGAUGACGAGACAGGGAAGGGAAAGAAGAACAGCGGCUCCAAGGGCCAGCAACAUCAUUCGGCAGGUAACAGUGGAGGCAAGCGUAAGGUGAAUGGUAACGUGGACUUCGUAGCCAACACCAACGCGCAGGACAAGGGCCAACGGCGCAAGGGUAAACGGCCGAAUCGAAGCGGAACGCCUAAUCCCAAUCCGGAUCGCUUGAACUAUUUAUUGAAUCAGCCCUGUCCGAAGCACGGAAUGACGGAGAUGCCAGCAAACCACCUAUGGAAGGAUUGCUAUAUUAUGCAGGAGUUCAAGAAUUCCAACGCUUUCCGGUAUGAUCAAGGUUCUGGCGGCGGUUCAGGAUCCGGGCCGGGUUUCGGUGGAGGAAAUUCCGGUUCAGGAUUUAAUGGUACGGCGGGCGGACAUAGUAACCAGAAUAAUCAGAACAACCAAGGAGGUUAUAACCACCAACAGCAACAGUCGGGUUGUCAGAGCCACCCGAAGUAGUUGAAUAGUGGGCAGUACCAUGUCUUCACCACCAGCUUAGACAAGCGAGAUCGGAAGCUUCAGAAGCGGGCAGUCAACACUGUUGAACCGGCCACGCCUCGCUACCUACGCUGGUCAGAACAGCCCAUUGUUUGGAGUAGAGAGGAUCAUCCUCCCUGGGUGGACAAUCCGGGUCAGCUAGCCCUGGUAGUGGCACCUCAGGUGGGAGGUUAUAAGUUCACCAAGGUACUCAUGGAUGGAGGGAGCAGUAUUAACAUCCUGUACUAUGAGACCUUCUGUCGUAUGGGGCUAACAGAUAAACAUCUCAAACCGUUCAAUACAGUGUUCCAUGGUGUGGUGCCUGGCAAGUCAAGCAUAUCCGGUUGGUAAGAUAGCUCUGGAAGUGGCCUUCGGAGAUGAAUAUGAUUCUAGAUUAGAAACAUUGACGUUUGAGGUGGUAAAAAUACAGAGUCCAUAUCACGCCCUAUUUGGGCGGCCGGCUUAUGCCAAAUUCAUGGCACGGCCUUGUUAUAUUUAUCUGCAGCUCAAGAUGCCGGGUUACAAGGGGACAAUAACGGUUCAUGGGAGCCGCAAGAUCGCUUUGGAAUGUGAGGAAGGUGAUGCGGCUUAUGCAGAGUCGGUUUGUGCCACCGAGGAGCUAAAGUAUUAUAAGGACAAGGGCCAGCGGCGCAAGGGUAAACGGCCAAAUCGAAGCGGAGCGCCUAAUCCCAAUCCGGACCGCUUGAACUAUUUAUUGAAUCAGCCCUGUCCGAAGCACAAAACGACGGAGAUGCCAACAAACCACCUCUGGAAGGAUUGCUUUAUUAUGCAGGAGUUCAAGAAUUCCAACGCUUUCCGGUAUGAUCAAGGUUCUGGCGGCGGUUCAGGAUCCGGGCCGGGUUUCGGUGGAGGAAAUUCCGGUUCAGGAUUUAAUGGUACGGCAGGCGGACAUAGUAACCAGAAUAAUCAGAACAACCAAGGAGGUUAUAACCACCAACAGCAACAGUCGGGUUAUCAGAGCCACCCGAAGCAGUUGAAUAGUGGGCAGUACCAUGUCUUCACCACCAGCUUAGACAAGCGAGAUCGGAAGCUUCAGAAGCGGGCAGUCAACACUGUUGAACCGGCCACGCCUCGCUACCUACGCUGGUCAGAACAGCCCAUUGUUUGGAGUAGAGAGGAUCAUCCUCCCCGGGUGGACAAUCCGGGUCAGCUAGCCCUGGUAGUGGCACCUCAGGUGGGAGGUUAUAAGUUCACCAAGGUACUCAUGGAUGGAGGGAGUAGUAUUAACAUCCUGUACUAUGAGACCUUCCGUCGUAUGGGGCUAACAGAUAAACAUCUCAAACCGUCCAAUACAGUGUUCCAUGGUGUGGUGCCUAGCAAGUCAAGCAUAUCCGGUUGGUAAGAUAGCUCUGGAAGUGGCCUUGGGAGAUGAAUAUGAUUCUAGAUCAGAAACAUUGACGUUUGAGGUGGUAAAAAUACAGAGUCCAUAUCACGCCCUAUUUGGGCGGCCGGCUUAUGCCAAAUUCAUGGCACGGCCUUGUUAUAUUUAUCUGCAGCUCAAGAUGUCGGGUUACAAGGGGACAAUAACGGUUCAUGGGAGCCGCAAGAUCGCUUUGGAAUGUGAGGAAGGUGAUGCGGCUUAUGCAGAGUCGGUUUGUGCCACCGAGGAGCUAAAGUAUUAUAAGGACAAUGUUGAUCCGACGGACAUGACUCCGUUGAAGAAGCCAACCACAGAGCAUGAUCCGGCCCUAAAAUUCAAAUCGGCAGCUGAGACUAAGCUUGUUGACUUCGUGCCUGGUGAUUCAUCCAAACAGUUCAGCAUCAGUGCCAACCUGGAUCCAAAAUAGGAAAGCACGCUCAUCGAGUUCAUCCGUGAGAAUCGGGAUAUGUUCGCCUGGAAACCUUCUGACAUGCCAGGUGUACCGAGGGAACUCGCUGAGCACACUCUUAAUAUUGAUCCCAAGUACAAAUCGGUGAAGCAGUUUCUCCGCCGGUUUAACGAAGAAAGACGCAAGGCCAUCGGAGAAGAAGUAGCCAGGCUCUUGGCGGCUGGUUUUAUCGUGGAAGUUUUCCAUCCAGAGUGGCUUGCUAAUCCGGUGCUGGUUCUUAAAAAGAACGGCACUUGGCGCAUGUGUGUGGAUUACACAGAUCUUAACAAGGCUUGUCCGGCAGAUCCUUUCGCUCUCCCCCGCAUUGACAAGAUUGUUGAUGCUACGGCGGAUCGUGAGUGUUUGAGCUUUUUAAAUGCAUAUUCUGGGUAUCAUCAGAUCAAGAUGGUAGUUAAGGACCAGGAGAAAACAGCAUUUAUCACCCCCUUUGGAGCCUUCGGCUAUGUGUCUAUGCCUUUUGGGCUCAAGAGCGCCCAAGCUACUUAUCAACGCUGUGUACAGAAUUGCCCGCAUAAACAGAUCGGCCGUAAUGUGCAAGCUUAUGUAGACGAUAUUGUGGUUAAGUCAAGGGAGAAGGAGACACUGAUUGACGAUUUGUAGGAAACCUUUGACAGCCUGCGGGUUUACAAGAUGAUGCUCAACCCGGCCAAAUGUGUUUUUGGUGUUCCCGCAUGCAAGUUAUUGGGUUUUCUCGUGUCCAACAGGGGAAUCGAAGCUAACCCGGAGAAGAUCACGGCUAUUACUUCCCUGGCUAAACCGAAGUGCAUUAAUGACGUCCAGCGUUUGGCAGGCCGGAUUGCCGCAUUGAGCCGGUUUAUCAGCCGCCUCAGAGAGAAGGCCAUCCCUUUGUACCAGAUGCUGAAGAAGACAGAUCUGCUAUAUGUUGCUGCUAAUGCCAGGGCGAUUAGCGUGGCCAUUGUGGUAGAGCGGAAGGAGGCAGGGAAGGAACAUCCGGUUCAACGUCCGGUUUAUUAUAUCAGCGAAGUACUUAUUGAAUCUAAGCAAAGGUAUCCGCAUUGGCAGAAGCUGGUGUAUGGGGUUUUUAUGGCUAGCCGGAAGCUGAAGCAAUAUUUCCAAGGGCACCCCAUCACAGUGGUCAGUUCUGCUCCCUUAGGCGAUAUGAUACAAAACCGAGAAGCGACUGGCCGGAUUGCUAAGUGGACUAUAGAACUUGGGCCGCACGAUCUAAAAUACGUGCCUCGGACGGCGGUAAAAUCUCAAGCGCUUGUAGAUUUCAUUAAUGAUUGGAUAGAGUUGCAAGCACCUGAAGAAAAGCCGGAUCACACAUAUUGGACCAUCCACUUUGAUGGAUCCAGGCAGUUGGAGGGCUCGGGGGCUGGAGUCGUAUUAACUUCCCCACGAGGUGACAGGUUUUGUUACGUUCUUCGUUUAAUGUUCCCUUGUACUAACAAUGCAGCUGAGUAUGAAGCCUUGCUCCAUGGUCUCCGGAUGGAUAAGGAGAUGAAUUUAAGACGGGUUAAGUGCUUCGGUGUCUCGGACCUAGUGGCUCAACAAGUGUCCGGCACUUGGGAUUCCAAGGACCCGCUCAUGGCUGCAUAUCGUCGUGAGGUGGAUAUCGUCGCGGGUCAUUUCAAGGGCUAUCAGGUGGACCAUGUGGACCGUCGGAAGAAUGAAGCGGCAGACGCUUUAAGCCGGUUGGGCUCUCAACGCAAACCGGUCCCGCCCAAUGUUUUUCUUGACGUACUGUAUAACCCAUCGGUCAAGCUCCCUGGUGAAGCGGAUUUGGCUAUUCCUGAUCCGGAGGCUCAAUUGGUGGCAGCCCUUCACGUCAUUCCGGAUUGGACGCUCCCUUAUCUUGCAUACAUGAACCGGGGCGAGUUACCAGAAGAUGAGACGUUGGCCCGGCAAAUAGUCCGGCGGUCUAAGUCUAUGACUAUUAUUAAUGAUGAAUUGCAACAUUGCAGCGUAUCCGGGGCGUUUCAACGCUGUGUGUCCCCUGAGGAAGGCUAUGAAAUAUUGCGUGAGAUCCACGAAGGAGACUGUGGUCACCAUGCCGGUUCAAAAUCCUUGGUGGCUAAAGCAUUCCGCCACGGUUUUUAUUGGUUGACUGCCCAUGCUGAUGCGGAAGAUCUAGUCAGACGGUGUGAUGGUUGCCAAAAGUUUUCCAGACGUGCUCACGUACCGGCCCAAGAAUUGAGGAUGAUUCCGAUUACUUGGCCAUUUGCGACUUGGGAGCUGGAUAUGGUUGGACCUUUCAAAAGGUCCAAGGACAAAAAGACCCACCUCCUGGUGGCGAUUGACAAAUUUACAAAAUGGGUGGAGGCAGAACCUGUUAGCAAGUGUGACGCGGCUACGGCAGUUCAGUUCAUCAAAAAGGUGAUUUUCCGGUUUGGCUUUCCACACAGUAUCAUCACAGAUAAUGGUACCAAUUUAUCCAAAGGUGCCAUGAAAGAGUUCUGCGAACGUGAGCACAUCCAGCUUGACGUUUCUUCAGUAGCCCACCCACAGUCCAAUGAUCAAGCGGAAAGGGCUAAUCAAGAGAUCUUAAGAGGCAUCAAGCCCCGGCUUAUGGUCCCUUUGCAGAGCACACCGGGUUGUUGGGUCGAAGAGCUACCAUCUGUGUUAUGGAGUAUCAACACUGCGCCUAACAGAUCCACGGGAUACACACCGUUCUUUAUGGUCUAUGGAGCGGAGGCGGUUCUCCCCAGCGACAUCCGUCAUGACUCACCUCGUGUGGCAGCUUAUGUUGAAGCGGACAACGAGACGGCACAGCAGGACGCUUUGGAUCGGUUGGAUGAAGAGCGUGACAUAGCAGCUGCCCGCUCGGCGAUUUACCAACAGGAUCUUCGUCGUUACCAUAGUCGCCGGGUCAGAACCAGAACUUUUCAAGAAGGAGAUUUGGUGCUUCGGCUCAUCCAAGACCAGACUGAUAUGCACAAGUUAUCCCCACCUUGGGAGGGACCUUUCGUGGUCAGCAAGAAUCUGCACAACGGGUCAUACUAUCUGAUCGAUAUUCGAGAGCAUAAAGACUCACGCACGUCAGAGGAGGAGACCAACAGGCCGUGGAACAUAGCUCAUCUUCGGCCUUAUUAUACCUGAGCCAUCGGCUCUACUUAUGUACAUAUUAUGACAGUGUAUAUAUUAUGGAUAAAGUAAUAAACGAGAGCCUCAGCUAAAGCGGGGUAUCUGUUCUGUUACAUAAUGUGUGGUUACAUGGAGUUGUUCUGUCUUAAAGCGGCCUCCGGUUUACCCCUUGAGUUUGCUUUUCAAAAGUCUUGUGAUAUCACUUGGGGGCUUGGUCGUGUCCGAACCAAUGCAACACCUUUUGAUAGGCGAAAGCCACCAGAUCACUUGGGGACAUGGUCAAGUCUGAACCAGUCACGCCUCUUGAUCGGCCUAAGGCCUUAGAGUCACUUGGGGGCUUGGUCGAACCCGAACCAUUGCCACGCCACUUCAUCGGCAUAAUGCCACGGUUUCAGUUGGGGACCUGGCUGACUUGAAUCAUAGCUACGCCUUGUAGGGAGCUUGAUCGUCUCCGACCAUGGUAACACCAUCUGAUCGGCUCAGUAAAGCCUUCUUUUUGCAAACGGUUUAUCAUUGCCUUUGCUUUCAUGAUUUUUUUUGUGUUUCUUAAACCGACAACAUUUUUAAACCGGUUCGAACUAUUGCUUGACGACAGUCGGUUCAUUUUUAAUCUGGAGUUUGUUUUACCGGUUUAGUUUGUUCUGUUAACAUCCCAUUAUGGAGUAACAGAGGGUCCGUCAUGACCCGGCACGGUUUACACUGUAAACCAGCAUUAUAAACACAGGAGCUGUUCUCUCCUUUGACGGUAAGGGUUUAUACAACCUCCGCUUCAGGAUUGGUUAAACCAACUUUAUGCCCAGCGAUGGCAGGUAUUUUGUAUCACAAUUUUUUGAUUGUAUACCUCCAUAUUUCAUUUCAUAUAUAUAUGAACAUCACAAGCCAAACUGGCGGUACAAACCGCCGUGCCGGCUUACGAUUUUGUGACUGCAGGCGAUAUAGAUUGAAAAUUUCGAUCAUUCACGACAAGGUAUCAGUACCUAGGCACGAAGGCAUAUUCAAGGCAAGAGUAUUGACUAUCCUGUUACAAGGCAACAUGGUGCCCAAAUAAGAUCAUUGUUUUUGGCGAAGAAUAAUAAAGCAGUUAUUUAAACCGGCCUCCGGUUCAUGCUUGCUCGCCGCCCCGGCCUGAUGGCUGUGGGUCGUCCUAUGCUGCUUCAGCUUCUUUAUCUCUGCCCACCGGCUGGAAGUCAACAGUAGUCCAGUCGAUUCCCAUUAAAUCUUGAAAGACAGCUUCUUCAUGGACCAGGGCAGAUGAUUCAAUAUCAGGAGCAUAGGUGUGCUUACGGUUUGGGGGGAUCAGGUUCUCUGCUUCAGGAACAGGUGCAGCCACUCGCUUGUUCUGAUCGACAUAUUGAGCUUGAUAAUGUGACAGAUUUGCCUCUUCAACUAGUUGGCAAGCCAGAGGGCGCACCGCCCGGUUUAUCGCUCUUAGAUCAUUCUCAUUGAACUCUGAACCGUCCUCCUUCAAGCUGGGAUAGCCUUGAGCUGCCUCCACAGGAUCGAAAUCUGGCACCCAUGCCUUAGCCCAGAUUAAAGCGUUAAUGGCACCGGUUCGAGCAGCAGACUUUUUCAGCUCUUCAAUCUGGGCGGGGAGCAUGGACAGCCUCCUAAGAGUGUCUUGGAUCAAGGAGGGUGCCGUAUUGUUGUGGGAUGCGGUGGAGAUGAUUCGCUGUGCCCCGGUGUACAACUGCUCCACUAAAGUAUAGACAGCUUUCAAUUUCAUCCGCAUCUGAUCCCAAGUGACCAAUACGAGUGCCUAUGACAAUGCAAGAGCAAUCACAAACCGGAUUUAUCGUAAUACAUGCCAAGUUAUUACAGAAAUCAAGAGAAGCUUACCAAAGAUAGCAGCAGUCAUAGCGUGCACUUGUCGCUUCACGCUGGUCAGCUCCUCCACCACCAGUUUAAGGGCGGCUUCAGCAUUUUCAGCCCUUUUUAUUGAAGCGGCCUUGUCAGUAUCCCAGCUGGCCCGCUCAGACUUGAACCAUUCCUUGAGCUAUUCCAUGGUGGUCAAAGCGGUCUUCAGUUCAUCUCUGGCUUUAGAAGUUUCUGCUUGCUGCGUCUUCAGAUUUUAUUGCAGAUCAUUGAUUUCGCUCUGCAACAACACAAGAGCAAAUUCUAAGUCCCGAGUGCAUAACCAGUUAUACACUUGGCACUUGGGGGUAAUGCAUAUUUGAUCAUCAUCUACCAACAAAAUCACAAAGUCCCAAGCUUAAUACAAGUAUUCAACUUGGCACUUGGGGGCUAAUGGCUAUUUGAUCGAACAUGUUCUAAUGCGGUGCUAUGGAUUACAAUCCCGGUUUAACUAUAUUACAGUUAAACCGGCCCUUGGGGGCUAGGAGAGCUAACAACAAUUGAAAUAUUCUAGUAGAAAGAAACAUGGAAGUUACCUCAAAUUUUUCCUUCAUCAUCUUCACCAGGCCAGCUUCGUAAUUACGGCUAGUAUACAGCCGGUUCAAAUAACCAGCAUGAAGGUCUUGGGGGCUCAGAGCGGCAUAAGUUGCCAGAUCAACAUCCCACUUGCCCUUGCUCAUGGUGGCGGAUUCUUCCUUGGCAAAAUGCUUGGCUAAAGCGACCGGAUUACCCGGUUCACUAUGGCCAAAACCAGUGAUUACAACAUCAUCGUCCUUGCUACCGCCGGUUUGACCAGGAACGGUCAUUUUAUCGGCAGGACGGAUUGGACUGGUGGGUUUCUCAAUCUGGGUCGGGCCUCCAGGCUGGUCAGCUAGACGGGAGGAAUCAAUAGGUCUAUCUUCAGCAACAAGAAUGUCAUCAUGCAAUGGUGGGUCGUUGGGCGUAUCUUCACAAAUAGUCGCUUCAGGAUUCAGGGUGCUAUCCGGUUCUGGAGCAGUCUCUUUGUCAACCGUUUUAUCCAGACGAGCCUUUUUGCUUGGCCUCGGUUUAGCCCUGGAAAAGCACAAGAAUAGUCAAAUACAACGUAUGUUAUGAAAGGAUGCACUGGAAAUAAUAUAAGGUGUAUGACUUACCCAAGCACCGUUUUAAGCGGUGGCAGCUGAGUAGCUGAUGACUCGCCAGAUGAAGAGUGGGAGGUGACCUGAUAAUCGGAGUCAGAUGGAUUAAGGGGUUGACGAACACAGCCCACUUUAGGAUAAGCACUGACAAGCAAAUUAGAGACCUCUGAACGACGUUUUCGAACCGGACUAUUUGGUAAGCCGGCGGAGGUAACUACCUGGCCGCUAUGCCGAGUUGUGCGGCGAACUUCAUGUUGCUGAGUCUUCAUAAGAAAUUUGGGAUCCAAGUAAGCAAGGGGAUGAGAAAAUUUAAUUUUCCGGUUUUACCCGACGGAUUUUUAAUGAAGGCGAAGGACUUGAAUCAGAGGAGAGAAUAAUUACCUCUACAUCAUCAGCAAUACUGGCUUCAGCUUCAUCCUGACAAAUAUCAUCGUUAAUUAGGCGUAUGAGAAGUAAGCCAAGUGAAUCAAAUUUUACCUCAAGGUCCGGAUUACUCACAUCAUCAUCCGCGGCCGGAUCAGAAGAUGCAGUGGUUCUUCUUUUAUAAGCAGUUCUCUUGACAGCUUUAGUCUUUUGCCGGGUUGGUUUCUCCGGUUUGUCGGGCUUCUCUGGUUUCUCUUGAGGACGUUUCUUGCUCCAGAAUGGGUCAUCACCCUGAUUGAGCAGCAGUUGAGGUUAAAAGUCAUGUCCAAAACAACAGUAAUAUAUUCAGCAAAGAUUAGUCAGAAGUCUUACAGAGGGUGGCUUGUUGGUAGCACAGAACGGGAGAAGACCGGUUCGGGCGCAGAGAUGUUCCGGUUCAUUCAGCAUUUUCUUCACCGCUUCAGUGACCUCAUCAUCGGUGAGCUGAAUGUUAAUCUGUCGGAGGGGGUCAUUGACACUACCAGAGUAUUCGCACAUUAAACCGGAGCACUGGGAGAGGGGCAGUAUGCUCCAUGAUAUCCAACAGCAUGCGAGAUCAAUCCCGGUAAGACCAUUAGCCAUGAAGGCUCUGAGCUUAGAAAGUUGAGGAGCAUAUUUACUUCUCUCACUGGUAGUUAACCUUUGCGGGAAGGGAUGUGAAUUACUGAGUCGCUCAGGACAAAAACCGGGCAAAGGAUUCUCAUUAGCAGGUGAGGUGUCUCGGCAAUAAAACCAUGUUUGAUUCCAUUCCUUGGGGUGGCUGUGCAGUUUGACAUGAGGAUAAGUGACUUCCUUCCUCUUUUGAAUUGCCACGCCUCCUAAUUCUGUGUUGGGCCUGUAUCUUGAAAGUAUGUUUCGCAGAGCACUUGGAAGUGGCAAAUAUUGGUAACAGAAUUGGGGCCUGUAUCUUGCGGACGGAGUUGAAAGUUGGCUAGAACAUCCCGGUAAAAUUUUGAACCGGGCGGAUUAAAGCCCCGGGCUAAGUGAUCUGCAAAUACUACAAUUUCUCCCUCCUGAGGUGUGGGUGGACAUUCAUUGCCAGGAACCCUCCAAUGGAUAACAUUUUUGCUGCUUAAAGCGCCAGUCAGAACAAGGUUGUUUAACUGAGUUUCGGUGACCCGGAAGGCGCCCAGUUGCAUUCGUACACUUGCUUCGCCAUCUAAAAAGAAAAGAUAUCCUGUUCAAGGUAUAUGUUGGGACAAAAAGAGAACCGGUAUACCGUGCUGAAUCGGAGACAAGUACAUCUAAGCUGGAGUGCUACGAAGCAACAGAAUCUGGUUAAGGAGUCUUGGCGGUUCAACAAGGGGACUAAUGGUGUAUACCGGUUUGAUUAAUUUUUUCUAUGAAAAGUUAAACCGUCUUGUCUAAAUAUUGAAAGCAACUAAGGUUACGAAUGGUUAAGUAUGCAGAAACAGGUUUCACAAGACUUCUUUACAAUGAAGGAUCUGGAGCCAGAUCAGGAAAGAAGGAAUAAAACAGAACAAGUUUUUAUGCCAUGAACCGAAGAUGAUAUGUAAGAUCUACAGGUAUAGGCACAAGGCUACAGGCGGAUACUAAAAACUGCUGCUAAUCGGAGCAAGCUGUCACAAAGAACUAGCCAGGAGUCUGGCAGGAACAUGCGCAGUUCAUGGAGCACGGCAAGAAACAGAAAACCCUAGAACGGAUCUAGGUCAAGGAGAGCUAAAGGAUUAACUGAGUCGAGGAGAUGCAGAGGAGGUGAUGCGUCUCUCUGGUGCGUUCGGGUUGAUGCAGCAGCCCGGGACGAGGCCAAGGUUGACGGCGGCGGCGGAGCUCCGAGGCGACUGGCGCGAGGAAGACGAAGAGAAAGCAGACGAAGAGAAAGAGGACAAAGGGAAGAAAGGGAAUGACCUUCCAGUCCUAUUUAUAAGGCGAGACACCUGUGUCAGGCGCGGGAAUCCAGGACCACGAAUCUGGGAAGCGGAGCUGUCGCCUCGAUUAUUGCGGAUCUGUUAAAAAAAAGAGAGAAGACAUCAUAAAUGCUAUAUGUGGUGAAGACGUCAUGCCGGUUUACAACAGCUGGAGAAGACGACGUCACGGCGGUUCAACGAUUUCAAGAAAGUAUUUGCAGAUGAAAAUUUUUAUCAAGGAUUGACAUGAACCUGUUCAAAUCAAUCUGGGGCCUAAUGUUGGGGAUAUUACUACUGAGCGUAAACCGGCCUGUCUGGGCCGAGUUAACUUCAUCAGUAGAUCAAUAGUGUAGAAGCCCAAGAGGCAUGAGAAUAAGGGCCCAAGGCCUGUAGCCGGUUUAGCACCUGUAGCUAUAAACCGGCCCGGUAUGUAAACUUGUACCAUAAGUUAGGAAUAGAGAGAGACCAACCCGUAUGUGUAUGAACCGGAGAUUGGGACUCUCUGAACCGACCGGCGUCACCCAUGUAUAUAAGGGGACGACCCGGGACGGUUCAAGGACAACAACCCGAGGCCUAGGAGAAGCUUAUUUGCUCCCUAGUCAUCGAGAUCACAUCAAUCCCAUCACAACUAGACGUAGGCUUUUACCUUCAUCGAAGGGGCUGAACUAGUAUAACUCUGUGUCUUUGCGUCCGCUUUAACCCCUUCAAGUUAAACCAUAGCGAUGGCUCCACGACUAAGUCCUUUCAUGAGGACAUCUUCCGUGACAAAACCACGACAAUUAAUAUUGUAUUGACUAGUGUUAGCGGCCUUGUAUAUCUGCAAAUUAUAAUUUUGAUAGUGGCCUUGUAUAUAAAAAUGGAGGGAGUAGUUGGAUUGCCACUUUUAAUCAUUUUCAGCCGUCGGAUUUGUUGUUAGUCCCACCUAAAUCUCGUGUGCAGGCUAACUCGCACGUCAGGCUACGCUAAACUUUUCGGGCCACUGCUUCUGUGGCUUUUUUGGGCGUCUUACGUUCAAUUUGGCCUACUAGCCUACUGGGCCUAUACAACCAUUGUAAAACAAAAUGCAGAAACUGCUCGGUCGGUAGGUCUGCGAGAGAAAGAAGGGGAUCCGGCGCUGCGCGAGGGGUGAGAGGCCGGUGCGGACAGUUGCAGAGAGAGAAAGAGGAGCAUGGUUGAAAAUCAAGUAGAUUGUUCCGUCCUGAUGGGGAAUGGCUCACGUGCUUCUGUUCAUGGUGUUGGCACGCACUAGUAGAAAACAGGGCAUUUGUCCCGGUUGGUGAGGCCCUUUUGUCCCGGUUCAUGAACCGGGACUAAAGGGUCGUUACUAAUGCCUCCCACCUUUAGUCCCGGUUCUAACACGAACCGGGACAGAUGGGCCUCCACGUGGCCACAGCGAUCAGCCCAGGCAAGGGGGCCUUUGGUCCCGGUUGUUGACAUGAACCGGGACCAAAAGGCUUCCACGUGUCAGCAGCUGGCUGGAGCUGAGGUUUUUCUUUUUUUUUAAAGUGGCUGGUUUAGGGGUUUUGGGGGUUAAUUUUAGGUUGUUAUUAGCUAGCUAUUAGAGAGAAGUGUCCUCUCUUAUAUCUUCGUCCUUAGUUUACCAAGGCUACUGCUAUGUUCAUUUCACCCACUGAUAUAUAAUAACUCAUGCAUGCUCGCAUCAUACAUCAUCAUAUAUAAUAGCAAGUCCUGCUAAUCAUGCAUCAUCAUACAACUUCUACUCAAUAUUAAUAACAAGUCAUACGAUCAUCAUCCUCAUAGUCAUCGAACCCAACCCUACAUAAUUGUUCUUAGCACAUGAUCAUCAGUAUCAGGUAGGACCUAAACACCCUUAAAGUAAAAUAGCAUAAAACAAUAUAGACCCUGACUCUCCAUUAUGAAGAAUGGAGAUCAUCCUGUCUCCGAUUAUUGCGCUUCGCCUCCUUUUGCUUGCAAGAAGCUCCUUACGACUGUCCAUACAUUUUUUCCAUUCUUUGAUUGUCAUGUCUCCACUUCUUUUAGAAAUCCGGUAUGGACAGUUGAGAUUCGUAGGACGACCUGGUUGUAUGUUCAAAACAUCAAGGCGACCGUGCAUAUACAUCAGAUGAGGCACACAAUCAUUCGGGAUUAUCUAUUAAAAAACAUAGUAAUAACUUCGUAGUUAGCAAUGAUGUACUAGUUUUAGAAGUGUUUAAAAAGAUGGAGGGAUGUCGUAAUAGUAAAAAAUCUUACCAGGGUAUCUGCAUAGUAGUUACCACAGUUCAACACGUGCACUAGUGGAACGUAUUGACCAUAAUGUUGAGGAGUUCGAUUGUAGACAUUGUAAUUCUCAAGAUCAAUACAAAAUGCGAUCAGAUGAUUUUUCUCCUUAUAAGUUAAUUCAGAGCCAUCGGUGUAGUGGGUUUUGUCUACCAUUUUCUGCACAUUCUUUGAAGAAUGAAAAUAAGCUGUCAUUGGAAACAAGCUGUUAACUAUUUUGAAAUAAACAAUAUAAAUUACUUAAUAACUAUGUUAAGCUCACAUGGGGGAAGAAUUGGAGGUGUAUCCACAAGGACGCAAAUGCCCAUAUUGUCUUGCUGGAUUGUAGGAUCACCAAGAUCCAUGGUGACAAGCAUACCCUCAUCAAAACCAUACAUCUUGCAAAGUGCUUCUCAAUUUUGCAACCAAAAUGGGUUACACUCUCAGCAUUGUACAGCUUUACUUUAAAAUUCACACCAUGAUGGGUCCUUAGAAGAAUUUUUUUGGUUUCCAUACUUUCAUGGUCUUCAAAACUCAUCCUCUCCAAGACAUAGCGUCUUGCAUAGCAUGGUAUAAGCUAGUCGAAUUGGAAAAGAUGGAAAAUACACGUUAAAAUAGUUGAAGUCGUGCUUAAUUACGAAAAAACUAUUGUCGUUGUUGUGUACCGUAUGAACAUCGAAAGUCUCCUCGAGCGUAAUGCUGAAGCGCCGAUCUUCGUCCAGCUCAAUGAACCUGUCGCACAUACCUCGGUCGUCGUGGCACCAGUCGCACUCCCUCGGGCGGUUUUCAUCGUCCGAGUACGGCAUUUCCGGCCAAAGUUCAUAAUUCAAAUAUUAAACUUGUACAAUUAAGUAUAUGUACCAAAAAACCUAAAUUAGAUCAUUAUUAUGAAUCACGUGUUGACUAUUGGUUGAUGGUACGUAGCUCCUCCUUUCAUUCUCGAGUGCAUUAUUACAACAAAUUGUCUAGCAUACGGGAAUGAAGGAGAAGCUACCCUCACGACGGCGUGGAUGAUGGAGGGGGCUCCUAGAUUUCUGCAUAGUGUGCUCUUCAAUUUUAGCAUUCAAAGUAGGAGUACUUUUCCAAUAUGAGCAUUCAAUAAGCAAAACCAAAUCGUAAAAUAAAGUAGUAUUCAAAUUAGCAUGCAUUCAAUUAUAACCAAAAGUACAUCAUCUCUUGUGUCCGUACAUCCUCGAAUACUCCUCGAAUACUAUCAUACAUAUAGCAUCGCUAAUUAAUACAGCUAGAACCGUAGCGCCCGACGGGUAUCGUCGCUGGCGGUGGACACCCAAAGAUAAGGAACGAUCACAGGAUCAUAGCACCAUUGAGAUCCUUGAAGAACCUGCCAGGUAUUAUCGAACCUGUCCUCCAACACAACCAUGUAGCGACGGACGUGCUCGUCCUCCUCGCUGACACAGUGACGUACCACCUCCGCGGUAUCCGGAAGCCUCGGCACCGCCACUGGCCCACGUGACCGCCACCAAACAAGGAUUGGGUCAACAACGGGUUGCCUCCUCACCAACCUACGUCCCCCAGAAGGUAGCACCUCCCAAUACCAGCCCGGCGGAGCCCAGUCCCGAACAUGGCCCUGAUCAAGCAGGCCUGCACCGCCGAGUCGAGGACGACGAGGAUGUGGGAUAGGCAACAUCGACGUUGACGCGGGAACUACUUCUAUAUAUUGUUAAAUAAAGUAGUUUUAUUAAUUAAAUCAACUAGUUCAACUACUAAGCACUUACUAUAAAUAAAUAAAGUAGUACUUACUAAAAAUAAACUACUUCUAUAUAUAGUAAAAUAAAUUGGUUUACUAAAUCAACUAGCUAGUUCAACUAUAUAUGAAGCACUUACUAUAAAUAAAAUAAAGUAGUACUUACUAAAAAUAAACUAGUUUAACUAUAGUUCUAUUAUUUUUCUAACUAAUUAUAUUAAACACUUCCUCUUCUUAUUUUUUUCCUUUUUCCUCUAUUCUAAAUAUGAACAUAUUGAUAAAUGACUUUGAUCAUGCACAAUUUUCCUAUACAUACACAAUAUGAACAUACAUAAAUUGAGAAAGAAAAUUCUAUGAACAAAAAAUCAUUAAAAUUCUAUGAACAAAAUUACAACAGAAAAAAAUCAUAAAAAUUCUAUGAACAGAAAAAAAUCAUAAAAAAUUGACAUAUUCGAUCUUUGCAUAUAUACGAACAUACAAACAUUCAUAUUCAACAAUAAUAUCACCAAAAAAAUCUAUUAACAGAAAAAAAAAUCUAACAAAAUAUGAACAAAUUACACAAUAUGAAAAAAAAUCUAUGAACCACACAUCUAACAAAAAAAUCUACGAACUACAAAAAAUAUCUAACAAAAAAAUUUGCUCACGGGAUGGCCACGGCGUGAGGGGUGCGGCGAGCGCGACGGGCAGGGGACGUCGACGGUGACGGCGACGGGGCGGCGCGGGACGGCGUCGGGCGGCAACNNNNNNNNNNNNNNNNNNNNNNNNNNNNNNNNNNNNNNNNNNNNNNNNNNNNNNNNNNNNNNNNNNNNNNNNNNNNNNNNNNNNNNNNNNNNNNNNNNNNNNNNNNNNNNNNNNNNNNNNNNNNNNNNNNNNNNNNNNNNNNNNNNNNNNNNNNNNNNNNNNNNNNNNNNNNNNNNNNNNNNNNNNNNNNNNNNNNNNNNNNNNNNNNNNNNNNNNNNNNNNNNNNNNNNNNNNNNNNNNNNNNNNNNNNNNNNNNNNNNNNNNNNNNNNNNNNNNNNNNNNNNNNNNNNNNNNNNNNNNNNNNNNNNNNNNNNNNNNNNNNNNNNNNNNNNNNNNNNNNNNNNNNNNNNNNNNNNNNNNNNNNNNNNNNNNNNNNNNNNNNNNNNNNNNNNNNNNNNNNNNNNNNNNNNNNNNNNNNNNNNNNNNNNNNNNNNNNNNNNNNNNNNNNNNNNNNNNNNNNNNNNNNNNNNNNNNNNNNNNNNNNNNNNNNNNNNNNNNNNNNNNNNNNNNNNNNNNNNNNNNNNNNNAGGCGGAGAUGGGCAGCUUGGCGGCGUCGGGUGCGGGGAAGAAGGAACUGAACCAAAUUUUCACGAGUGCUGCUUAUAUAGGCAAAGCAUUGGUCCCGGUUCGUCAGACCAACCGGGACCAAUGCCCCUUUAGUCCCGGUUGGUGCCACCAACCGGGACCAAAGGCCUCUUUUCAGCAGCCCAAAGGGCGGGAAGCGGCAGCCUUUGGUCCCGGUUAGUGGCACGAACCGGGACUAAAGGGGGUCAUUGGUCCCGGUUGGUGCCACGAACCGGGACCAAAGGGUGACAUUGGUCUUGGUUCGUGCCACCAACCGGGACCAAUGGCCUUGCAUAGCAGCGUGGUGGUGGAAGUUUAGUCCCACCUUGCUAGUUGAGAGCGUCGACCACCUGCUUAUAAGCACUGCUGCCUCCUCUCUCUCGAACUCCUCUGAACUGCAGGCCUAUGGGCCUAAUCUGACACUACUUUGCUUGUGGGCCUGCUGGGCCUUCUGCGGGCCUGAAUCCUGGCCCAUGGUAGGGUUUCUAGUCGUAUUCAGGUCGUGGGGGCCCAGUAGGAGGCACUUUUUUGUUUUUUUGUUUUCUUUACUUAUUCUUGCUAUUUUUAUUUUUUUCCAGUUUUUUUGUUUUGUUUUCUGCAUUAUUUAUUUUCUUUUGUUUUUUGCUUUAUUUUUUAAUUCUUUUUGCUUUUCGUUUUAGAAAAAUUAUAAACUUUCUGUUACUGCCAUUAGUUUUCAAAUUUGAAAACACUUUUUUUGUUUUUUUGUUUUCUUUCUUGCUUUAUUUGUUUUAUUUUGUUUCUACUCACAACAAAAUACUUAUUGUUGCUAUUGUUAUUUUAUUUUCAAUUUUUUGUUUUGUUUUCUGCAUUAUUUAUUUUCUUUUGUUUUUUGCUUUAUUUUUUAAUUCUUUUUUGCUUUUAGUUUUAGAAAAUUUAUAAACUUUCUGUUAGUGCCAUUAGUUUUCAAAUUUGAAAACACUUUUUUCAUUUUUUUGUUUUCUUUCUUGCUUUAUUUAUUUUAUUGUGUUUCUACUUACAACAAAAAGUGAAGACUUUCUGCACAACCAUUAUGAUGAUUCCAUGCCAACUUUCAACCUUUUUGUAGUUCAUUUGAAAUGGAUGUUGUAAUAGACAAGUUUCCGUAUGAAAUCCUAAUACUUCGAAAGAGAUUGUCCGUUUUGUACACGAAGUGCAUCCAGUUGUUGCCGUAACCCUCUCAACUUUCUUGCAUAUGCUAUGUGGAUGAAAUGAUGAUACCAUGUCAAAAUAAAAGAGAGGCACAAUUCUCAUCUGCACGUUGCUUAGCUUCAGGCCAACAUGCAGGUGAGCACUGCGCUUCUCCCUUCAUCGUCUCUACACUCAGGGCUUAUAAACCGCUGCGAGUGUGUCAGGCCCCCGACUCGAUGUCACAUCGAUCUAGCCGGUAACACCUCAUAUCACUUUGCGGCCUCACGCACGGUAUCCCCACGGGUGUCGUCUUACCUUUGCCCGGGACCGUUUGCGCCUUUUGGCUCACGUAUAUGAUAGUGUCGCUAGCAUCCAUAUGAUAAGGAGCCCGGGCUGACAUGACUAGUCAUGAACCCAAAGUGGCACAGACUUACAGGGACAGGCAUCCAUGACCCAGCUUCGAACGUGUCGGUCAUCAGCAAGUGGGUCCGGGCUGUAGCACUGGGCUAGCAGGACUCCGGUAAACCGGGCUGUAGCGGGCUAGCAGGACUCCGGUACUCAAAGCGUGACAUUUCCCCGAAGGGACAGACACAGGAACGAAGAAGGACACAUGCCGGCCAGCCUAAGUGUUCCAGAGCAGUAGCAAGCUACCAUGGCUCAGCGGUAACACUAGGAGACAUUUCCCGGUAAGAGAGGCUACUAAAGAUAAACAACUAGAUAGUCAGAUCCCACACAUACCAAGCAUUUCAAUCAUACACACAAUAUGCUCGAUAUGUGCAAAUACAACGAAGCAUCACAACAUGACUCUAUGACACAAGUACUUUAUUUAGGGCUCAGGGAGCCAUACAUAACAUACACAAAGGUACGGGUCUCGCGACCCAACAUACAAGUCAUACAGUCAUACAAGCCAACAGCGGAAGUAACUUGUCUGAGUACAGACAACUAGUAAAAUAAAAGAGGCUUGGAAAGCCUAGCUAUACUACGUGGUCCUUCACAAGCUCAGGGUCACCACCUGGGUCUUUAGCCUACUCGUUGAUGUCAACGUCUACAUAGAACCCAUCAGAAGGGGUUGCAGCGUCUUCUGUAAAAAUGUAGAUUAUAGCAACAUGAGUACAAAGGUACUCAGCAAGACUUACAUCAGAUCCUACAUACAUGCAUAGUAUCAAGAAGGGUUGGUGGAGUUAUUGCAGCAAGCCAGCUUUGACUCUUGGCUAGACUAUCCUACGAUACUCCAACUUGAAAUGGUUUUGCGCACACGAGUCCACUAUUCACCACUUCAAUACACUACCGAGGAUCCACCUCCGUCUUCCUACGGAAGAGCCAUCCUCGGCACUCACACUUAUCUUGAGGCUUUUAGUAGUUCCCAUUUACUUGUCUAUGAACUGUAUAGGCAACCAAGUAGUCCUUUACCGCGGACGCGGCUAUUCGAAUAGAUCAUGUUAACCCUGCAGGGGUGUACUUCUUCAUACAUGUUUUCACCACUUAGUGUCUGCACACGACAUGUGCUCGGCAGACUUCAAGCGAAAGCCGACGUGGGUGUAGACCACGACCUACCUAAACACUUAAGCCUCUAGUCCAGGUUUAUCGCCUAUUCAGGUUCCAUCCGCAGGCAGUCCGGCCGAGGUUUCCCAUACGGCCCCGAACGAUGUGAACAGGGUUCCCGAGAUACCUAACGGGUAUUCGGUACACCGUGCCACGUACCUACCGCAUCACAGCCCACCCCUACGGUCAGCGCUGUCCACGGCCUCCAGUAGGCUACAAACACCAGAAACUACUUGCAACUCCUGGACAGAGAGCUAGGGUGAAUAAGAAGUCGAGCGGGGUCAUAUUUCAGGGCCCAAUGUAUGGUAGUAGCUGAUUCUUAAAUCACACAUACAGAUCUCAGUGCUUAAGGUCGGCUUCAAUGAAACAACCCACCAUGUACUCCUACAUGGCCUCUCAUCGAUACCUUUACCAAAUCGUGUUCACCACACCACUCUCAUUACCAACAUAAUCAUUUCACUCCAGCCCAUCACCCCGAUGAACCAGACCUGACACGACUCUAAGCAUAGCAGGCAUAGCAAGGUAGGAACAACACAUACAUAUGGCUCAAUCAACUCCUACACAUGCUAGUGGGUUUCAUCUAGUUACUGUGGCAAUGACAGAUCAUGCAGAGGAAAUGGGUUCAACUACCGUAGCACACAGCAGUUUGAAUCGCGUUGUCUUAAUGCAGUAAAAGAGAGCAGGAGCGAGAACAUGGGACUGUAUCGAUAUGAUCAAAUGGUUGGUUGCUUGCCUGAUGGUUCGAUGCACGGAUACGGUUCUUCGUUAGGGUAAUCACGGUACUCCUCGGGGACAGAUCCUGUCGCAAAGGACAUCGAUACACAAGCAUCACCAAACAAUGUGCAACAAUAUGAUGCAUGCAUGAAACAUGGCAAUAUGAGUGUGUUGGGCUAAUGCAACUAAAACCAGAAGUGUUUGAACAAAUUUGAAUCAAGGAUUCAAAUUUCAAAUUCAAAUAUGGCCUUUUAAAGUGCCUUUUCUUGUUCUGCUUAAAACAUCAAUUUAACUUGUUUGAUCAUGCAUGAAAAUAGUACAGAUGGAUAGAUUGGAUUUUUCUGAUCAUUUUUCAUAUAUAAUUUGUCCAAUUUGGAGUUACAGAAUAAAAGUUAUGAAUUUUUGAAGUUUAAAUAAUAUUCUGGAAUUUCCUGAUUUAAUUUAAAUCCAGAAAUUUAAUUACUGCGUCAGCCUGACGUCAGUGUGACGUCAGCAGGUCAACGGAACAGGUCUGGGUCAAACCUGACAGUGGGUCCCGCAUGUCAGGGUGAUUAUUUUAAUUAAAACUUAAUUAAAACUAAUCCUGUUUAAUUAACAGGGCUGGGCCCCAUCUGUCAUUGACUCAGGGGAGUCAACCAGGGCCCACCCGUGGUCAAAGUCAAAGUCGGCUGCCGGCGUUUAGUCGCCGGCGAGCCCGACGCGGCGGCGGAAGUGGUUUUGGUCGUUUCGGUCACCAAAUGGACCGCGGAGGCCACCGGAGUGGAGCUGAGGACAACCCGCAGCUCUUGGCGGAGCCCGUUGGGGUCGGGGUGGCCGGAGUCGACGGCGGCGAGCUUGGCUGCGGCCGCCGGGGUUCGGUCGUGCACGGGAACGGUGCUGGAGCUCGAAGUCGAGCAAAGCGAGGCGCUAGGAAUGCUCUACAGGGUCUUGCGAACUCGUUGGACUCGCCGGGGUGACCAAAUGGUCACCGGAGCUGCGUCGACGGCGAGCUCGGCGACGGCGGAGGUUCGGCCGGGCGAGAGAGAGAGCGAGGGAGAGGAGGGGAGAGCCGGGGGAGAGUGAGAGAGAGCAGGGGGGAGGCGUGGCGUCGUCCAGGGACACCGAGGCGAGGAGGGGAGGCAGGCAGGCAGGGAGAGAGGUGGCGUGGCGCGGUGGCCGUGCGCGCGCGCCGGCCACACUCCCCUCCCUCUGUCGGGACGAAGACGACAGAGGAGGGAGGUGGGCUGGGCCGGCUGCUGGCUGGGCCGGCCAGCUGGCUGGGGUGCACAGGGAGGAGCCCAGGUAAGCUUCUCCCUUUUAGUUUUUUUGUUUCUGUUUUUAUUUAAUAUAUCUGCAACUUUGUUGAAUUAAAUAAAAUACCUAGGCAACUCCAAAAAUCACCAAACUAUUCCUGGCCCAUAGUUGGAUUAUUUCCAACAUGAAACAUUUUAGUUUGGAGAUAUUUGAGCAUUUAAAUAUUUUAUAUUAUUUUAAAUGCCCAAAUUCAAAUACUUAUGAUUUAAAUCAAAAACCCUAGGAUGGCCUAGGAAAAUGUGCACCACUUUUGGCAGAGGUUCUGAACCAAGGCAAAAAUGAUGGGCAUUUUAGAAGGGCAUUUCAGGUUCAUUGAAAAUUAUUUUUAGUAACCCUAGUUGGUUUCAGAGGGGACUGGGGGUUCUGUCAUCCCCAUUUCAAGUUUCUGAUGAAAGAGUAAACAUGAUGCAACACUCUAAUGCAUGACUAGCUAGGUUGUGACAACUCACCCCCACUCAAAAGAAUCUCGUCCCGAGAUUUGGGUUCCUCCAAGAAGAAGGCGGGAUAUUCAAGUCGAAGACGAUCCUCCCUUUCCCAAGUUGCUUCAUCCUCAGAAUGGUGCGACCAUUGAACCUUGAGAAACUUGAUAUUAUGACAUCGCGUGGUACGUUCGGCCUGAUCGAGGAUAUGAAUGGGGUACUCUCGAUAUGUAAGAUCAUCUUGGAGAUCAAGCGUUUCGUGGUCCACUCCACGGAUAGGAUCCGAGAAGCAACGCCUGAGUUGAGAAACGUGGAAGACAUCGUGAACUCUGGAGAGGUGCGGAGGUAGUUCCAACUGGUAGGCAACUUCUCCUCGUUUGGCAAGAAUGCGAAAAGGUCCAAUGUAACGAGGAGCCAAUUUGCCUUUGAUACCGAAACGAUGGGUUCCCUUCAAAGGGGUGACCCGAAGGUAAGCCUUCUCGUCAACCUCGAAAGUCAUAGCCUUAUGUUUUCGGUCAUAUUGACUCUUUUGACGGGAUUGGGCUGUUUUCAACUUUUCACGAACGAUACGAACUUGUUCUUCUGCUUCCUGAAUCAUGUCCGGGCCAAAGAAUUGUCUUUCCCCGGUCUCUGACCAGUUAAGGGGUGUUCGACAUCGUCGUCCAUAGAGAACUUCAAAAGGGGCUUUACCCAAGCUAGAUUGAUAGCUGUUGUUGUAAGCGAAUUCGGCAAAUGGAAGGCACUUCUCCCAGUCCAUUCCGAAUGAGAUAACAGAGGCUCGAAGCAUGUCUUCUAGAAUCUGAUUGACGCGUUCCACUUGACCACUCGACUGAGGGUGGAAGGCGGUGCUAAAGGAGAGACGAGUUCCCAUAGCAUUUUGGAAACUUUCCCAAAAUCGAGAGGUGAAAAGACUUCCUCGAUCCGAAUUGAUUUCCAAAGGAACACCAUGAAGGGACACUAUUCGGGAGAUGUAUAAGUCUGCCAGCUGACUAGCGGUUAUACUCUCGCGAACAGGUAGGAAAUGAGCUACCUUGGAAAGACGAUCGACCACGACGAAAAUAGCAUUAUUCCCUCUUUUGGUCCUGGGAAAACCGGUAAUGAAAUCCAUACCAAUUUUAUCCCAUUUCCAUUCAGGAAUAGCUAAGGGUUGAAGGGUGCCAGCAGGCCGUUGAUGCUCUGCUUUUACACGACGACAGACGUCGCAAUUAGCAAUAUACUGAGCAAUUUCUCUCUUCAUCCUAGUCCACCAGAACCUCUGGCGUAGGUCCUGAUACAUUUUAGUGCUACCGGGAUGAAUGGUGAGAGGAGAUUCAUGAGCCUCCUUAAGGAUCAGCUGUCGUAGAUGCUGGUUCUUGGGAACCACUAGACGGUUCUCAAAGUACACAACACCAUGAUCAUUUGUGGAGAAACAACUAGCACCUCCGCUAGCAAUGUUCUCUUUGAUUUUAGAUAUUCCCUUAUCUCGCUUUUGGGCAGCGAUGAUUUGAUCCGUAAGAGUAGGUUUUGCUACCAAGGUGGAAAGAAAACCUUGAGGUACAAUGUGAAGGUUAAGCUUCCGAAAUUCAUCAUGGAGAAGCGGUUGACUUUGUUGUAACAUCAGGUUGUUACAAUAAGAUUUACGACUUAGCGCAUCAGCCAUGACGUUGGCUUUCCCUGGGGUAUAGGUUAUUCCUAAGUCGAAGUCUGUGAUCAACUCAACCCAACGUCUCUGCCUGAGAUUCAAAUCCGGUUGGGUGAAAAUAUACUUCAGACUUUGGUGAUCAGUGAAUAUCUCGCAACGAUUACCGAGGAGGUAAUGUCGCCAGGUUUUAAGUGCAUAGACUACGGCUGCAAGCUCUAGAUCAUGAGUAGGAUAAUUCUCCUCAUGUGGGUGCAAUUGCCGUGAAGCGUAAGCAAUUACAUGUCGAUCUUGCAUGAGAAUGCAACCUAGUCCUUGUCGCGAGGCGUCGCAGUAGAUAACAAAGUCUUUGGAGAAGUCUGACGGUACCAGCACGGGAGCAGAGGUCAGGCGUCUUUUCAGUUCCUGAAAGCUGUGCUCACAUUGUGGAGUCCAUUCGAACUUCUUAUCUUUCUUGAGGAGUUCAGUUAGAGGUUUGGCAACCUUGGAGAAGUUCUCGACAAAGCGACGACAAUAGCUCGCUAAGCCUAGAAAACUCCGAACUUGCUUGACCGAUUCGGGUGGAGUCCAGUUAAGGACGGCUUGAACUCGCUCAGGGUUAACAGCAAUACCUUUACCAGAUAUUACAUGACCCAGAUAGGUCACUUCUGACAACCAGAAUUCACAUUUAGAAAAUUUGGCAUAAAGGCGAUGCUCUCGAAGUUUCUUCAACACUAGCCUUAAAUGUUCGGCAUGUUCUUCCUCGUUCUUGGAGUAGAUGAGUAUGUCAUCGAGAUAAACCACGACGAAUUUAUCCAAAUACUCCAUGAAGAUUGAGUUCAUUAACCGAGAAAAAGUGGCUGGAGCGUUGGUUAAACCGAAGGACAUGACGGUGUACUCGUAUUGGCCAUAACGAGUAACAAAGGCCGUUUUAGGAAUGUCCCCGUUUCUGAUUUUGAUUUGAUGGUAGCCCAACCUCAAAUCCAUCUUGGAGAAGACUGAGGAUCCAGCGAGCUGAUCAUACAGGUCGUUGAUCCUGGGAAGCGGGUAUUUGUUCUUGAUUGUGACCAAAUUGACAGGUCGGUAAUCUACAACCAUCCGGUCCGUACCAUCCUUCUUCUUGACGAAUAGGACGGGGCAAGCCCACGGAGAUGAACUAGGGCGGAUGAAACCCUUUUUCAAGGACUCAUCGAGUUGUUUCUUAAGCUCGGCUAGUUCUAGGGGUGCCAUCUUAUAAGGUCUUCUAGCAAUCGGAACGGUUCCGGGGAUGAGGUCGAUUACGAACUCAACAUCCCUGUCAGGUGGAACACCUGGCAAUUCUUCUGGGAAGACAUCCGGGAAGUCACGGACUACCGGCACGUCCUCAAGGUCUGGCAAAGGGCUGGCGUUAAGAGAAUAUAAUUGUCGCUUGGCUAUUCGGGUCAAGACAUUGACUAUCUUCCCCGAAGGAUGGGUGAGUUGAACAGUCCUAGAGAAGCAAUCAAUUUUGGCUUGAUGAGCUGACAUCCAGUCCAUACCCAAAAUGAUAUUAAUAUCUGAAGAUUUAAGGGCUAUCAAAGAUGCGAGAAAAACAAGUCUGUCGACUUGGAUUUCAUUUCCAUGGCUUACUCUAGAAGUUUGCCAUUUGAAUCCCGGAGUUUGAAUUACCAUAGAGGAUGGCAAGUCACAGAAUGCAACGUUAUGCAAGCGAGCAUAAUUUUCAGAUAUAAAAGAAUGAGAGGCUCCUGUAUCGAAAAGAACAGAUGCCGGGUAGCAAUUAACAAGAAGCGUACCGAGAACGACGUUGGGAUCUUCUUGAGCUUCUUCGGCAGAGAUACAGUUGACAUGGCCACGUGAAGCGGUGACCGGUUUAGCAUGAAACACUUUUCCUGUCAGCUUGCCACGGCCAACAGCUUUAGCAGAUUGAUUGGGGUUGGUCUGGGGGCACUCCCGCAUAUAGUGACCAGAUUCCCCACACUUGAAACAAGUCACGGAACUGGUACGUGGAGGAGCAUUAUUGGUUGGUCCCCCAUAGGGCUUGGCCGGUGCAGACUGUUGAACAGGGCGGGGCGCCUGGAAAGAUGGCCUCGGUGUGAACCUGGGUGGCAGGGCGGUGUUGGGUACCCACACGCGGUGCUUCUGAGGACCAGCACCGGAUGAGGAACCCGUGUCACGUCCAUGCUUGCGUGUUGCGUCAUAGUCAGUCUGACCAGUUACAGCACUGAUGGCUUUGUUGACAAGUUUCGAAAAAGAUGUGCACUCAUGCAGACGGAGGUCGCGGCGAAGCUCAGGACUAAGGCCCUUACGGAACCUUGCUUGCUUCUUGGCGUCAGUAGAAACUUCCUCGGUUGCAUAUCGGGCGAGAUUACCAAACUCCCUUCUAUAGGCAUCCACAGAAAGUCGGCCUUGGGUGAAACUGCAAAAUUCUUCACGUUUACGGUCCAUGAGACCCUCCGGAAUGUGAUGUUCACGGAAAGCCUCGCUGAACUCAGCCCAAGUAGUGACAUGGCCCGCUGGGCGCAUAGCUCCAUAAUUCUCCCACCAUAGACUGGCGGGGCCUUCAAGAUGAUAUGCAGCAAAGGUGACCUUGUCAGCCUCCGCUACCAGCGCGGAACGCAGUUUGUGAGAGAUACUGCGAAGCCAGUCAUCAGCGUCGAGAGGCUCGACGGAGUGGUGGAACGUGGGUGGAUGUAAUUUGAUAAAAUCACUGAGUGACACCACGUUAGCCCUCUGAUGGUGUGCUGUAUUCUGUUCAAUACGCUCCAACAAACGGUUUGUCUCCCGCUUGUUUCUCUCAGCUUCCAUCAUAACCUCGGCUAGUGAAGGAGGAUGAGGCAGAUUUGCAUUCCUGGCUUCACUGCCUUCGGCCUGCUCUUGGGAAGCAGGGUUAGCGCGCGUGUUGACCAUCCUAGGUAAACAAGACAAUGAUUUAGUCAGGAUGGUAAAAUUCCGACAUAGGAUACAUAAUGUAAGGAAUAACUCGGAAUGCAAGAUGAUCAUCCGUAUGACAUGGUAGAUACAGAAACUGCUUCUUUUAUUCCAUCGUCAUACACACCAUACAGGGUUUAGUACAAGACCAAACAAAGUACUAUUACGGUGAAAAGAGGAUUACAUCUCAUCGGAGGCAUUCCAAGCUCCUAUACAUUAUUUUUCUACACCCCCGGAAGGAGUACAAACUAGGUCAUAUCCCACGAGUCACGCAGGACGAUAGACGACACAGCUAGUGCGAACUAGUGAUACUGCUACUAACUCAGACCGAUCCGUAGUAGUCCUCGUAGAAGUCACCUCCAUAGCCUGGAAGUUCAACAUGAUCAUCCGGAAAUAGACGAUCUCGCGGAGCUUGUGGACCAUAGGGGCUAGGAUGAGGUCGUGGACCAACAAACGGUGGCCUGCGGGGACCGCGAGGUGGGGUGAUGCCUCCUACAUCACGCCAAACCAUCACGUCUGGCAGAGCAGAUCUCACAGGAUAGAGAUCGCGCAUAUCUGAAUAUCCAGCUUGCACCGCCGGUGCGAACCGAGUCAAAGUGGCCCAGUGGUCGGCACGGGUAUUGAAGAGCUCUAACCUUAAGGCCCGAUUUUCACGGUCCUUAUCCUCGAGCAUCUCAGCAGUGGUGCGAGUUCGUGAAUCCUCCUGAGUGGAAUCAGCAUAAAUAGCUUGGAGAUAUCCUUGUGCUCCCGGAAGUGAUCCUGGCAUAUACCGGAAAUCAGAGUCCCGAAAUAACCCAGAUCUGACUCGCAUAAUGGUCAUCAUAGAGUAGGCGGCAUCCUGCACAGCCAUCUCGAUAGUAACCCCGAGUCCAUAGGAGCAGUGAAGAGGCUCAGUGGAUCCAGGAUAAGAUGGAAAUAUCCUGACAGUGCAGAGAUACUGGCUUUGAUUAAAAUCUCGGAAUUGCUCUUCGACCGUGUACUCAGGAUACCAGCGGUAUCCAGCCUCAGUCAUUACCCUGACCAACUUAGCAGUAUGUCCGGGUACAUCUAGGCAUCGAGUCAGGCGAACCACUUGAUUGAGGUCGCGAGUGGCCAUCUGAAAGCAUAAUCAUAAUGCAAAGGCAUUAGAAUUUCUAGCAAAAUUUCGGCAGCAUAACAGCUGUAAAUGCUCAAAAAGGAUAUUGAGACAUUUGACAAAGGAUUUCGUACACACUCAACAUCAUCACAUCAAGUCUUGAAACCAUUUCUACAACAUAAUGUGGUAGAAGAACUGAACUAGGCUGAUAACCAUCAAACUUAUAAGGUACUACUGAUUAGUAACACGUGAUCCUGAUGGAGAGAAUAGAUCCUAAUUCCUUAACCCCCGGUGGAAGAAUGGACUGACUCAGAUCAGAAAGUCACAAGGUAUAAGGAGUAAAAGAGCCUUACGUUCCAUCCCACAAGCAAUUCCCCUACAUAUAACUAAAGAAUUUCUAGACUCAACAUCGACCAGUUUGGCUUGGAGAACCUACAGGCAGUCCGGCUCUGAUGCCAACGCUGUCAGGACCCCGACUCGAUGUCACAUCGAUCUAGCCGGUAACACUUCAUAUCACUUUGCGGCCUCACGCACGGUAUUCCCACGGGUGUCGCCUUACCUUUGCCCGGGACCGUUUGCGCCUUUUGGCUCACGUAUAUGAUAGUGUCGCUAGCAUCCAUAUGAUAAAGAGCCCGGGCUGACAUGACUAGUCGUAAACCCAAAGUGGCACAGACUUACAGGGACAGGCAUCCAUGACCCAGCUUCGAACGUGUCGGUCAUCAGCAAGUGGGUCCGGGCUGUAGCACUGGGCUAGCAGGACUCCGGUAAACCGAGCUGUAGCGGGCUAACAGGACUCCGGUACUCAAAGCGUGACAUUUCCCUGAAGGGACAGACACAGGAACGAAGAAGGACACAUGCCGGCCAGCCUAAGUGUUCCAAAGCAGUAGCAAGCUACCAUGGCUCAGCGGUAACACUAGGAGACAUUUCCCGGUAAGAGAGGCUACUAAAGAUAAACAACUAGAUAGUCAGAUCCCACACAUACCAAGCAUUUCAAUCAUACACACAAUAUGCUCGAUAUGUGUAAAUACAACGGAGCAUCACAACAUGACUCUAUGACACAAGUACUUUAUUUAAGGCUCAGGGAGCCAUACAUAUCAUACACACAGGUACGGGUCUCACGACCCAACAUACAAGUCAUACAGUCAUACAAGCCAACAGCGGAAGUAACUUGUCUGAGUACAGACAACUAGUAAAAUAAAAGAGGCUUGGAAGCCUAACUAUACUAUGUGGUCCAUCACAAGCUCAGGGUCACCACCUGGGUCUUUAGCCUACUCGUUGAUGUCAACGUCUACAUAGAACCCAUCAGAAGGGGUUGCAGCGUCUUCUGUAAAAAUGUAGAUUAUAGCAACAUGAGUACAAAGGUACUCAGCAAGACUUACAUCAGAUCCUACAUACAUGCAUAGUAUCAAGAAGGGUCAGUGGAGUUAUUGCAGCAAGCCAGCUUUGACUCUUGGCUAGACUAUCCUACGAUACUCCAUUUGAAAUAGUUUUGCGCACACGAGUCCACUAUUCACCACUUCAAUACACUACCGAGGAUCCACCUCCGUCUUCCUACGGAAGAGCCAUCCUCGGCACUCACACUUAUCUUGAGGCUUUUAACAGUUUCCAUUUACUUGUCUAUGAACUGUAUAGGCAACCAAGUAGUCCUUUACCGCGGACGCGGCUAUUCGAAUAGAUCAUGUUAACCCUGCAGGGGUGUACCUCUUCAUACAUGUUUCCACCACUUAGCGUCUGCACACGACAUGUGCUCGGCAGACUUCAAGCGAAAGCCGACGUGGGUGUAGACCACGACCUACCUAAACACUUAAGCCUCUAGUCCAGGUUUAUCGCCUAUUCAGGUUCCAUCCGCAGGGAGUCCGGCCGAGGUUUCCCAUACGGCCCCGAACGAUGUGAACAGGGUUCCCGAGAUACCUAACGGGUAUUCGGUACACCGUGCCACGUACCUACCGCAUCACAGCCCACCCCUACGGUCAGCGCUGUCCACGGCCUCCAGUAGGCUACAAACACCAGAAACUACUUGCAACUCCUGGACAGAGAGCUAGGGUGAAUAAGAAGUCGAGCGGGGUCAUAUUUCAGGGCCCAAUGUAUGGUAGUAGCUGAUUCUUAAAUCACACAUACAUAUCUCAGUGCUUAAGGUCGGCUUCAAUGAAACAACCCACCAUGUACUCCUACAUGGCCUCUCAUCGAUACCUUUACCAAAUCGUGUUCACCACACCACUCUCAUUACCAACAUAAUCAUUUCACUCCAGCCCAUCACCCCGAUGAACCAGACCUGACAUGACUCUAAGCAUAGCAGGCAUAGCAAGGUAGGAACAACACAUACAUAUGGCUCAAUCAACUCCUACACAUGCUAGUGGGUUUCAUCUAGUUACUGUGGCAAUGACAGGUCAUGCAGAGGAAAUGGGUUCAACUACCGUAGCACACAGCAGUUUGAAUCGCGUUGUCUUAAUGCAGUAAAAGAGAGCAGGAGCGAGAACAUGGGAUUGUAUCGAUAUGAUCAAAUGGUUGGUUGCUUGCCUGAUGGUUCGAUGCACGGAUACGGUUCUUCGUUAGGGUAAUCGCGGUACUCCUCGGGGACAGAACCUGUCGCAAAGGACAUCGAUACACAAGCAUCACCAAACAAUGUGCAACAAUAUGAUGCAUGCAUGAAACAUGGCAAUAUGAGUGUGUUGGGCUAAUGCAACUAAAGCCAGAAGGGUUUGAACAAAUUUGAAUCAAAGAUUCAAAUUCCAAACUCAAAUAUGGCCUUUUAAAGUGCCUUUUCUUGUUCUGCUUAAAACAUCAAUUUAACUUGUUUGAUCAUGCGUGAAAAUAGUACAGAUGGAUAGAUUGGAUUUUUCUGAUCAUUUUUCAUAUAUAAUUUGUCCAAUUUGGAGUUACAGAAUAAAAGUUAUGAAUUUUUGAAGUUUAAAUAAUAUUCUGAAAUUUCCUGAUUUAAUUUAAAUCCAGAAAUUCAAUUACUGCGUCAGCCUGACGUCAGUGUGACGUCAGCAGGUCAACGGAACAGGUCUGGGUCAAACCUGACAGUGGGUCCCGCAUGUCAGGGUGAUUAUUUUAAUUAAAACUUAAUUAAAACUAAUCCUGUUUAAUUAACAGGGCUGGGCCCCAUCUGUCAUUGACUCAGGGGAGUCAACCAGGGCCCACCCGUGGUCAAAGUCAAAGUCGGCUGCCGGCGUUUAGUCGCCGGCGAGCCCGACGCGGCGGCGGGAGUGGUUUUGGCCAUUUCGGCCACCAAAUGGACCGCGGAGGCCACCGGAGUGGAGCUGAGGGCAACCCGCAGCUCUUGGCGGAGCCCGUUGGGGUCGGGGUGGCCGGGGUCGACGGCGGCGAGCUCGGCUGCGGCCGCCGGGGUUCGGUCGUGCACGGGAGCGGUGCUGGAGCUCGAAGUCGAGCAAAGCGAGGCGCUAGGGAUGCUCUACGGGGUCUUGCGAACUCGUUGGACUCGCCGGGGUGACCAAAUGGUCACCGGAGCUGCGUCGACGGCGAGCUCGGCGACGGCGGAGGUUCGGCCGUGGUGGGGAGGAGGCUACGGUGAGGGAACGAGGGGAAGGAGAGGGGGAAACGGUGGCGUAGCUCACCGCGGUUGCAGUGGGCGUCGAAGCAGGCUCGGGGACGCGCUGGAGACGGCGAAUUCGACGGCGACGGUGGUCGGAGCCCGAAGAGGGGAACGGCGACGUGGCGGCGAUGCAGGGCUUCCGGGGAGCUGUGGAGCGGUGGGGAGGAAGAGGGAGUCGAGGCGGAGCUCCUGAGCUAGUCGGGGGAGCGAGGGGUGGUCGGAGACAGCGGCUAAGGCGAACGGCGGUGACGGUGGUGUUCGGCCGGGCGAGGGAGAGAGCGAGGGGAGAGCCGGGGGAGAGUGAGAGAGAGCAGGGGGGAGGCGUGGCGUCGUCCAGGGACACCAAGGCGAGGAGGGGAGGGCAGGCAGGCAGGGAGAGAGGUGGCGUGGCGCGGUGGCCGUGCGCGCGCGCCGGCCACACGCCUGGCCGACUGGCGCCAGGAGGACGACGGCGGUGGUGGGCUGGGCUGGCUUGCUGGGCCGGCCAGCUGGCUGGGCCGCACAGGGAGGAGCCCAGGUAAGCUUCUCCCUUUUAGUUUUUCUGUUUUCUAAUUUCUGACUUUUGUUUUGAUUUAAAUAAUAUAUUAAAUCAUUUAUUUAACUUAUGCCAAUUUUUGCAGGAGCCAUAUAUAUUAUUCCAAAGCUCUUUUAUAAAUGGCAUAAUAUUUGGGCAUAUAUUAAUAUAUAUAAUUAAUAUAUUUCCAAUGCAAAUACUUAUGCAUUAAUUCCAAAUGCCCAAAAUAAAUGUCCAUGAGCCACUAAAAAUAUUGGUUUGAUUUUUAUCUCUGUCCAAUAUUUUCAGAGAGCAACAUGAGCAUUUUCUUGGAUCCUUUUGGAGAAAUUUUUAUUUGGGUCAUUUUCAAAAUGAUUAUGAGGGUUUCACAGAUCCCCAUUUCAAUUUUCUGAUGAAAGAGUAAACAUGAUGCAACACUCUAAUGCAUGACUAGCUAGGGUGUGACAGAGUGCCUCUCGCUUGGCGAGGUGGGACUAAAAAACAGCUGCAGAAAGAAUCAACUAAAAUACUCUUUUACCGGUUCAUGCCACGAACUGGUACCAAAAUGUGCUUGUGGGGACCCAGCCUUAAAAUCUGUACCAAAUAAAAUGCCUUUGUAACAGCCUUAGAACUGGUACUAAAGGAAUCUAGUAAAAAGCUUUUAUAAACCUCUAUUAUUAUUGAAACUAAAAUUAUAUAGAAUUUUGUUACAAACUUUAAUAUCAAAAAGAAUUAUCAUAAAAGAAAAUAAAUAAGUAAUUAGAGUUUAGUUCAAAGCAUUAAANNNNNNNNNNNNNNNNNNNNNNNNNNNNNNNNNNNNNNNNNNNNNNNNNNNNNNNNNNNNNNNNNNNNNNNNNNNNNNNNNNNNNNNNNNNNNNNNNNNNNNNNNNNNNNNNNNNNNNNNNNNNNNNNNNNNNNNNNNNNNNNNNNNNNNNNNNNNNNNNNNNNNNNNNNNNNNNNNNNNNNNNNNNNNNNNNNNNNNNNNNNNNNNNNNNNNNNNNNNNNNNNNNNNNNNNNNNNNNNNNNNNNNNNNNNNNNNNNNNNNNNNNNNNNNNNNNNNNNNNNNNNNNNNNNNNNNNNNNNNNNNNNNNNNNNNNNNNNNNNNNNNNNNNNNNNNNNNNNNNNNNNNNNNNNNNNNNNNNNNNNNNNNNNNNNNNNNNNNNNNNNNNNNNNNNNNNNNNNNNNNNNNNNNNNNNNNNNNNNNNNNNNNNNNNNNNNNNNNNNNNNNNNNNNNNNNNNNNNNNNNNNNNNNNNNNNNNNNNNNNNNNNNNNNNNNNNNNNNNNNNNNNNNNNNNNNNNNNNNNNNNNNNNNNNNNNNNNNNNNNNNNNNNNNNNNNNNNNNNNNNNNNNNNNNNNNNNNNNNNNNNNNNNNNNNNNNNNNNNNNNNNNNNNNNNNNNNNNNNNNNNNNNNNNNNNNNNNNNNNNNNNNNNNNNNNNNNNNNNNNNNNNNNNNNNNNNNNNNNNNNNNNNNNNNNNNNNNNNNNNNNNNNNNGCAAAAAGAAUUAUCAUAAAAGAAAAUAAAUAAGUAAUUAAAAUUUUGUUACAAACUUUAAUAGCAAAAAGAAUUAUCGUAAAAGAAAAAAAUAAGUUCUUAUUGUUGCUAUUUUUAUUUUUUUUCUAGUUUUUUUGUUUUGAUUUCUGCAUUAUUUAGCCGUUGGUCCCGGUUCGAGCCACCAACCGGGACCAAUGGUGGUGGGCCAGGAGCGAGGCCCAUUGGUCCCGGGUCGUCCCACCAACCGGGACCAAAAGGUCCAGACGAACCGGGACCAAUGGCCCACGUGGCCCGACCGACCCCUGGGGCUCACGAACCGGGUCUAAUGCCCCCAUGGGUCCCGGUUCUGGAAUGAGCUGGGACUAAUGGGCUGACCCGUCCUGGACCUUUUCCCCCUUUUCUACUCGUGACGGUAGAUCUGAAGUUUACUUCGGGAAAGAUCGUGCAACUGAAGAACGUGCAGCAUGUCCCCGCCAUCAAGAAGAAUCUCGUUAGUGGCUCCCUUCUAUGUAAAGAAGGGUUUAAGUUAAUAUUUAAGAAUAACAAAGUAGUCGUAUCUCGGUAUGGACUGUUUGUUGGAAAAGGAUAUGAUUUUGCUGGUUUGUUCCGCCUUUCCCUGGAGGAUUUCUGUAAUAAAGCCGUGAACCAAAAUCAUUCUAUGUGAACGAAUCUGAGGUUUGGCAUUCACGUCUUUGUCACAUAAAUUCCAGUUGUAUGACGCGGCUAGCUAAGAUGACUUAAUCCCGAGUUUUACUUUAGCCAAAGGCUCUAAGUGCCAUGCGUGCGUGCAAGCGAAGCAACCUCGUAAGCCCCAUAAGCUUGCGAAGGAGAGACACCUGGCACCAUUAAAGCUCAUACAUUCAGAUCUCUGUGAGAUGAAUGGUGUGUUGACUAAAGGUGGAAAGAAAUACUUCAUGACUCUCAUUGAUGACUCCACUAGAUUCUGCUAUGUGUAUUUGUUAAAUACUAAGGAUGAGGCUCUACACUACUUUAAAGUCUAUAAGGCUGAAGUUGGGAACCAACUUGAGAAGAAAAUAAAACGGGUCCGGUCUGGUCAUGGAGGAGAAUACUUUUCUAAUGAGUUUGAUUUAUCUGUAUGGAACAUGGUGAAAUCUGAUGUACAUGACAUGAAGGUCGGUACGAUCAUGGAGUCUAGGGAUGCUACAUUCUUUGAGGAUAUUUUCCCCAUGAGAGAUAUGCAAAGCACCUCUAGACUGGAAUCGGAUGAGACUCCUGAACCUGCCAUUCUGAUGGAAUAUUAUGAACAUGAAAGUGAUGAGAGUUCCAUGGAGGGUGACGAGGAAGCUCGUGUUAGGAGCAAGAGACAAAGGACUGCAAAGUCCUUUGGUGAUGCUUUCCUCGUGUACAUCGUGGAUGAUGACACUCCCAGUUCCAUUUCAGAAGCUUAUGCAUCUCUGGAUGGUGACUACUGGAAGGAUGCGGUCCGUAGCGAGAUGGAUUCCAUCUUGGCUAACGGGACAUGGGAGAUCACUAAUCAUCCUUAUGGUUGUAAACCAUUGGGAUGUAAGUGGGUGUUCAAGAAGAAGCUUAGGACUGAUGGUACUAUUGAAAAGUACAAUGCUAGGCUUGUGGCCAAGGGUUAUACCCAGAAUAUCUGCAUAGACGAGUAAAUAGGUAACUGCGUAAGGAUGUUACCACAUUUUUCAGUUCGUGAAUUGUGCAUAUGAACUUAUAUCUGUGCUACUACAUCAAAUCCUCAGUUAAUCAUAUAAAGAAGACAUUAAAUAGUUGGUUUUCUAUUUCCCUCAUCCUAGAGGCAUCUAGCAAGUGGGCCAACUUAAUAGUGUCUUACAAUAUUUUAAGGCAAAUUAUCAGUCGAAACUAUUACUUGAAUAAUUUGACUUACUUACGAGCCCUUUUACGGUGAUUGGGGAGGUACCACCAGUACUUUAAGGUACCACCCCUGAAUUAUUAGUUAACUAGUUCCCUCAUCCAAGAGGAAUCUAGCACAUGGACCGAGAUAGAACACUCUCUAAAAAAUAUUAGCUGAAUGAUUUGACUUAUAAUAUUGUGCUAACCUUUUAUGGUUUUGAAAUUCUAAAGAAAAAAGUUUUAUUAAGAUAGUGUCCGGUUCUAGAAAUAUGAAAUUUGGUAUUAAAGGCAAAUUAAUACAGAAUUGCAAAGCAAUUUCCUAGAUCACAGUUUCUUCACGAAUGCAACUACAUCUGUAAAAACAAAUAAAGGAGACAUCCUACCAAAUGAACGCAAAGAUCACACAUAGCAGUGGAAUGGAAUAGAUAGUCAGUGCCAAAACUUAUAGAUGAAUCUGCAUUUGGCAACAAACUAUAUGUGCAUGUACAAAACAGAUGCAUGUCUGGCAAGUCAUGAGAUGAACAUUAUUUUGUGAAGCGUAGGCUAGAGCUGAAAAUCAUAGGAUCUUGAAACCAGCUCACGAUUUUCGCACAUGUAACUUUUCGAGUAGAUGAUUUUUCAUAUAAAAAACUUUUUCAUCCGAGUUAGUAUGCAAAAGUUAUGCCCAUUUUACUAAAUUCUAGAGAGAUUUUGCAAAUAAAGUCGAAAUUCACAUUUGCAAAUUUUCCCAACAACUAGACCACAUAUCACAUGGCAAACUUAUUUUUUCUUAUUUUUUUGACAUUUUCAUCAUUUUCUUUUAUUUUUUGUAAAACUGAAAAGGUGAUCCACGGUGGGGGGGGGGGGUGUGGAGUUUGAAAAUGGGACCUUUAGUACCGGUUCAUGCCAUGAACCGGUACUAAUGCCUCAAACCCCAUUAGUACCGGUUGGUGGCUCGAACCGGGACUAAAGGUCUAACCUUUAGUACCGGUUGGUUCCACGAACCGGUACUAAUGGGCAUCGCACCCUUUAGUGCCGGUUCGUGGCACCAACCGGGAAUAAAAGGUUCAGACGAACCGGGACAAAUGGCCUACGUGGCCCCUGGGCGCACGAACCGGGACUAAUGCCCCCAUUAGUCCCGGUUCUAGACUGAACCGGGACUAAUGGGCUAACCCGGCCUGGACCGAAGCCCUCUUUUCUACUAGUGCACCAUCAAGAGGUUGUAGCUCAAAUGAUAUGUGUUUUCGUUCUAAGCAACCGUAACUCAUAUGUCACUCAGGAUGCUAGAUGUAUGCAGUUAAAUGACAUAAAUUCUUAUUUCUAGAUCAUAUAAAAAUAUAUUACUCCCUCUGAUCGAUAUUAGUUGACACUGCUUUAGUUUCUCCACUAAUUGCAUCAGUAUGAAACCCACCGCACACAUUUUUGUCGAACAACUACUGGUUUUGAGGGAAACCUACUGGUACAGCUAUAACAGUAACAUUAUCACCAAAUGUGCUAAGAAUUUUGAUGCAAGCUGGAACAUGAGAGACCGCACAGUAAGCCAAAACAAAACCACACUGGACAAAGGGUGGUAAAAGCCUAAAGCACGUGCCGCACUUUUAUCCUGAGCAUUCAUCGCCGUCAUAACUUGAUUCAGAAGCAUAUCGGCACCUAGAAGAAGAGCAUCCUUAGCUGCACCUGAUAACGUGUCUGCCUAGUACAUUAGCAAAGAACAUAGGUCAACAUGGUCACAGAAGGGGUAACAUAUUUCUAAGAGCAAGAAGUACUGUACAUCCUGCCUAAAAAAACUAUACAGUACUUAUUACAGUCCAUGGUAAGAUCAAC